ACAGACAUGGAGGGUAUGGCCAUGGCCACCACGGCAAAGGGGGGCCUUGUGCUGCUAAGACUAAAACCAAGAAUUUGAUAACCUGUUAGUUUCUGUGACUUACGUUGCAGGUGUGUUGUAAGGGUAGUAGUACAAAAUAAAGUUGUUUGGUUGAGUAAUCUGUAUGAACUCUCAAUCAUAGACUCGACUCGUCUUAAGCUUGUUCUCGUGUUCUCUAUAAUGUACGCAUUGGAAUGUGUUCUCUUGUUAUGUGAUAAAAUGUGAUUUAACAUAUUAUGUCAAAAAUGUUUAGUAUGGCUUGGCUCCUUAAAAUUGAGGGGGAGCACAUCCUCACAACAAACGAGAUUUUGGCACUAGUUAAACUUCACAAAAAUUAAAAAAAAAAAAAAAAAAAGAGGUUAAAAGAACUCAAAAGAAAAAUAAAAUUAAAGGAAUUUGCCAAGUGCCAAAACUCUAUUUGUUUUGAGGAGGAACUACUCCUCAGUUUUAUGGAGCCAAACUUUUUCCUAAUAUUAAUGGAGUUCAUAUAUGACUCAUUUGUUUUGUGUGAUCACCAUUUGGUUAAUGAAUUGUGCACAAAAUUUAAUAGGAUACGGAUCAUCUGCUAUGAUUUUAGUCCUCUAAUAGGAUGGAUCCUACUUUGGAGCACAUGUGGUAUUGGUAGUUCCUACUCGCAUUUACAAAUACAUAUUGGUUGGUCCAUUAAAAUGCAAAUAUCACCUCUCAUAUCAUUAUGCGAACAUUGGGAACAAGAGUAGUGUUUCCACCGUUGACAAGGGAUUGGAAGAUCUAGCUCGACGGAAAAAUAAGGAGUAAAACUUAUAGAAGCAUGCAUGCCGUGUAUGUAUUGUUGUUAUCAUGGCGAUACUAAUUUGGCAAUUAAUUUUCUAAUGGGUGAAUUAAAAAAACAUUUUUAAUCUAUAUAUGUAAAGUUAAAUAUCCUUAUGGUUAAAUUUUAAAAUAACCCAUUUAAGAAAAAUUUCAAAACUCAAGUAUUAAUUCAUUUUGAAGGGACAGAUACAUUUAUUUAAAAAAUAAUAAUGAAAAGGAGAUAAGAAUUUAUGACCAACAAGAAUUCUAUAUAGAUUACUGUUGAGGCCCAAAAUUAAUGUCAUGAGAAGUCCAAGGAUAUUUAAAGCCCAAUAUACAAUAUAAUAUUGGCUACGCGUUAAUCUAAAUUGUAUUUUGGGAAGUUAUUCAUUAAAUAAAUAUAGAAAUAUUGUACAUGUCAUGCCAAGCAAAAUACAUUUUCCUAUGCUAAACCACCUGACAAGCUUAAGUGGACCCAAACUACAUAUAUGUAUGGGGAUUUCUGAGUGGGUUGUGGUAUGGAUAGUUAUAAGUGUUCAUAAAACCCGUUGAAGGACCAGACAAUGGAAGUUUUAGAGCUGCUUGGGAGUACAAAACUCAGACCCACUUUCCUGAGCCUAAUUACAUGGGUAAGUAGAGACAGAACUCCCAGCCUCUUCCAAAACUCAAACCCACUUUACUGCACACUCAUGGAAAAACCAACUGUUGAGCACUGUACAUCCCUCCUUGCAAUACACACAACGAAACCAGAAGAAGAACGGCAUGAGGCAAGCUCAUCCCCCAACUGCCGUAAACACACAAAGCCCAAGCCUUCCUCCAUUCUCUUCUUUCAUAACACCACUCCAAGCCCUGAACAUCACACGGAAAACCAUCCCAAAACAUCCCAACUCCCGAAAACACCACAUGCAUCUCACCUUCAACAUAUCUUAUUCCAAUCCAAGCAGCAAAAGCACUCUCUCUUACUAAAGCCUUCUACCUUUGAAGCAUGAGUAUAUAGAUAUAUAAAAAGGUAGAAGAGUACAGUAUUUGUACUGUAUUGACCCUUUGUUUGUCCAGGCGGUCUGAUAGAUGUUUUGAUAUGUAAGAUAACGAUCCAGAUUGAGCGCUAACUUAUCCAGGGUCGAUGAGGCCAACAAAGUUUACGAUAUUUGCCAUUUUUAAAUAGUCAAAUAGGUACCUAAAAAUAUGAAAUUCAAUUAAAUGAAAUUUUAAUUUAAAAGAAAGGGAAUUGUAAAAAAAUUGGAUGUUUAGAAUUACCUUAUGUAUACUGCAAUCACUGUGGAUCUGAUCUCAAUCAUGGAUGCAAGCUAUAAAAUAUCUUCAUACAAGAUGAAGGUAUCAUGCUCAUACCCAAACACUUCCCCUGGAAUGUUAACUCUCACGGUCUCGUUCGAAGGCAACUUGGUUUGGAAAAAUUGGCAUAGGGCUAAUAGAGGAGACAGCAAAUCCAGCUUUGAGAAAUCCUGAUUCAAUAAAUAAAGAAAGAACUAUAAGAUAGCUUGCAAAAAAGUAAAAUAAAUGACUCUAACUAAACCAUCCAAACCGUCGUGGUAUUAAAAUAUUAACGACGGUGAUUUGAAAAUACUGACGUAGUAAAGAAUCGAAACGACGGUAAAAAUAAACCGCCUUUGUGUCAACGUUCUAACGUCGCAAAACUAGAAAAAGGUCGUCUAGAAUAAAAUGCAGUGAAGAUGGCUUGUAAAACAAGUAAAACAAAUGACGCUGUUUUGGUUAUUGUUAAUACUUAGAAAGGCAGACAUUUGUAAGCUGGUAGAGAAAAGGAUCACAUACCACCAAGCUUGUUACGGCUGUUCUUUAUACAUAUUCUGUUUAUCUGUUCUAUUUGUACUUGUGAUGCAGGGCUUUUUGUUUCUGUUCCUCUUGUCACAAAGAAUUUUUAUUUUAUUUUUGUUUAAGAUAUUAUGUUAUUAUGUUCUUUAAGACAACUUACGCGGCUACGGUGUUCAUUGUUGUCAAGAAAAAUUAAUGGUCAUGACCGUUAGAAGUCAGACCAUUGAAAUCCAUCCUUUUUAUUUAUUUAUUUAUAUUUAUAAAUGUGGUCACAAUUUUUUUUUUUUUUAUAACACAAAGGCGAUAGUGUUUUAUUAAUUAAUGAGGAGAAAAGGGUAACAAGUACAAAAAAAUCAGACAAAGACCUAGCGGAUUAGGCGAGUACUCUACACCAAUUCAUGUUUUCACAAGCACUUUUUAAAUGUUUUCACAAUCUUAUCAGAAAUCUUGUCAUAUAUGGAAUAUUGUCUCUAAAUAGUAAUUUAAUUAAAUUAAACAAUACAUAGUUGUGGAAUGUAUGAGUGUUGUACCAUAGUUUUUCUCAAAAUAAUAAAAUAUGAAGGAUCAUAAAACUUAGCCUUAUAUGGUUGGAGAUGGAAAAAUUUAGCCAUGCACUAUUCUUUAAAAAAUUAAUAUUUUGGACGGCUAAAUUUUUAGCCCUGGACUACAUUUGGCCCUAUGACUGGAGAUGGCCUUAGAAUCCAUACACAAGUUUAACAUACACAUAUCCUUUUCACUUAAGUUUAACAUACAUGCUAAUGGGGGCUAACUCAGUGGAAAAUGACAUUGAUUUACAGACUAGAGGUCUUAGGUUCGAACCCCCAUAGCAUCUUAGUUGUGUGUGUAAGUUUAAACCAACGCUUGUAUUAAAAAAAAAAAAAUUUAAAAUACACAACCUAUUGUUGAUGAAAAAUUAGAAUCCAUUAAAAGGUCAUGUAUUAAAAGAAGUACCAUUUCUAUAAAAUAAUAAUAAUAAUAAUAAUUUAAUUCUUUUCAGUUAAAUUUUCCAAAAAUUAUAGUAGUUUUCUCUAUCACAUACCUAAGUCAAAAGUAAUGGAUAAUUUGAAUAUCUUUAUUAAGUAAAGCCCAAACAUAUCUUAGAAAUCGACAGUACACACUCAUUAUUUGAAUUUUGAAACACGGACUUAUCAAACCCAGUAAGGCCCUCCCAUAAGAAGCAAAACAAGCUCUAGUUCUUUCUUCUUUCUCAUACGUACAAUCCGGACUCAGGCAUGGUGGUGCCGGAUCAAUGAAAUAAAAGCAACACUAUCUUUCAUGACUUUUCCAACAUGUGUGAAGCCAUCUUCUUUUUUGUAGACGAGAUCCACCAUUCUUGUUAAAUUAAGAACAAGUACAAGGACAGGCAUUGGCACAGAGGUUGGCCUGAGGAACUCCUCGUUGAUAUCUUUCCACGAAUCCACAAUCUGUUUGUGGAACUCCUCUCUGCAGCUUAACUUAUAAAUGGGAUUCCCUAAAGUAUCUCGAAUUUCCAAAUUCCAAUUCAAACUCUUCACCACCAUCUCCAAAUACCUCCACCUCAAACCUUGAACCGCAGAUUUUCGGCUGUGUUGUAUUCGUACACUUACAUGAUCACCAACGCAACAAAUUGGAUCCGAGUGUAGAAAAGUGUGUUUUCAUUGGCUAUGCCCCAUAUCAGAAAGGUUAUCGAUGUUAUCACCCUCCAAGUCAGAAGGUCUAUACCUCCAUGAAUGUAGUGUUCUAGGAACACGAUAUAUAUUUAUCAGAAGCACAUGAGGAGAAUCUAGACCCAAAUACCCUGAAUUUUCUGGACUUUUUAACAACGGAAGAGACUCAGCAUCAAAGCAAUCGGUUGCCUUUCCAAAACGACCUGUCGCCUCCCUUUGAUAGUGCAAAAGAGGCGUCUCUACCUCAAAGUGACCGGUCGCCUCUCCCACACAACUGGUCGGCCCCCUAUAUUCCUUCACAAGCGGAGCCACUAGUCAAAACAACCGGUUGCUUUGCCCAAACAAUUAUCGAUUGGUAUGCUCUAUGUAUGUUAUUGUUUGGUAUAAUUCAUAUAUGACAGUUGACUAGUCAUAAGAGUAUUUGGUUAAGAUCUAGAGUGUGUGAAAUUUGUUGCGUUCUUGGUUGAAUAUCUUUUAAGUUUACCCCUCGUCACCUAAGUACCAAUUUCAAAACCAUAUGUAUAUUUUAGCAUAUUUUGCAUUUGGACCAGUAGCCACAUAACAUGAAGAGAAAUUAAUGGAGGAACAUCCACAACGAAAAGCAUCAAUUAAUUUAUUGAAUCUGAGGGGUACAGUUGUUUCUUCCCAACUUUUUGAACAAGAAUUGCAUAUUAAUUCAGUUAUGUAAAAGGUUGCAGGUUGGUGAGUCUGUGUAACGGUGGACAAGAUAUAAUGGGUGAAAAGUACGUAGAUUAUUCAUCAAUUGGUAAGAGGAAAUAUUUAAGCCAAUCAACUCAUCAAAUGUUAUUUUAUUCUACUAUUUUAUACUUAGGACACCUCAUCAACUCAUAUAUAGCAGCCCUUGAUACAUUAAAAAAAAAAAACAAAUAAAAAUACCACUUCAGCAGGCAUGGGUUAGGCCGGUUAACAGUGAGUCUGUCCCUUUACACUUAAGUUUGAAUUCUCCUUUUAUAAUUUAGAUUAAUUUAGAGUACUUUAAACUAUUACUUAUAUAUUUAUAUAUAUUAAAAAAAAUGUCAUUUGAUUCAGUUUUUAUACAUAAAAUAAAAUUAUGGACUCAUAGCAGCCCUUGGUACAUUAAAAAAAAGAUUAAACAAAAAAACAGCAGCCCACUAAUAGACGUUCCACUAUAAAUAGCACAAUACAACACCUCUUCAACUCAUAGCAGCUCUUGAUACAUUCAAUUAAGAGCACAUUGAUCAUUUCCUCGCACUUAGGAAUAAAAUGUCUGCUCAAGUUUUAGCUGCAUCCCAAGCUCAAAGCCCAAAUGCGAUUCCUGAUCAUUUUAAGCGAUGUUCAGCUAAUUUCUCUCCCAGUACUUAGGGCGAUUAUUUUCUGUCAUAUGCUUCUGUGGUAGGAAAUUAAUUAAUCCUAACAAUUAUUUAUGGGCUAAUAAUACUCAUCAUGUGCUAUAGCUGCGUCGUAUAUUUUGAAUAUUUUAUUAUUAUAAAUUAAUUUUGAUAACUUCCAUGCACCAUGAAUGAAGGUCAUACUUUCCUUAAUAUCCUUUUCAAUUUGUUCGUGUAGGAAACAGAUAUCAAAGCAGAGCAAGAUGUCCAAGAACUGAAGGAAAAAGUGAAGGGGAUGAUAAUGGCUCCAAUGCUUAAAAAUCCAUCAAAAAAAUUGGAGUUAAUUGAUGAGAUUCAGCGGUCUGGUGUCUCCCUCCAUUUCGAAAAUGAGGUUGAGGAAGUUUUGCAACAAAUUCACAAGAACUCUUACGGCGGUGAUGAAGAAAAUGAUUUUGACCUUUUCACAAUUGCUCUCCGUUUCCGGUUGCUUAGACAGCAAGGUUACAAGGUUUCAUGCGGUUAGUCCUCUCUCUCUCCCCGCGCUCAUAUGUUUUGUUUUAUAAUUCUAGAUUAAUUAAUUUUCUUCUUCUAUAAUUUUCUUCUUCUAUAUCUCUCUCUCCUCGCUCACAUGUUUUGUUUUAUCAUUCUAGAUUAAUUAAUUUUCUUCUUCUAAGCUAGCAGACAUUUUCAACAAGUUCAAGGACGAUGACGGGAAAUUUAAGGAAACACUUGUGGAUGAUGUAGUAGGACUGUUGAGCUUGUACGAAGCCACACAUCUUAGGAUGCAUGGAGAGGAUUUACUGGAUGAGGCGCUCACCUUCACCACAACUCAUCUUGAGUCAGUGGAAGCACACCGUUUAAGCCCCUUGCUUGCAAAACAAGUAACCCAUGCCUUGUAUCAACCAUUCUGGAAGGGCUGCCAAAGGCUAGAAGCAAGGCGUUACUUGGCUAUCUUUGAGGAGGAACCUCAUCCAGCAAAUGAAACUCUCCUAACUUUGGUAAAGUUGGAUAUAAACCUAGUGCAGCAAGUCCAUCAGAAAGAACUAAGUGAAAUUUCAAGGUUAAUUAAUAUACAUACAUAUAUAUUAGUGUUCAUCAGUAUACUAAUUAAGUUAUUAUUAUGUAAUUAAAUGAUAAAUUCAGGUGGUGGAAGGAUUUGGACUUUGUAAACAAGCUUCCUUUUGCAAGAGACAGAGUAGUUGAGUGCUACUUUGGGGCUCUGGGAACCUAUUUUGAGCCCCAAUAUUGCUUUGCUAGGACAUCAUUAAGCAAAGUUUUUGCUGUGACAGAAGCUAUUGAUGACAUUUAUGAUGUGUAUGGCACACAAGAGUAGCUAGAGCUCUUUACUGAAGCUGUUGAAAGGUGUAUUGAAAUCGAAACCCAAUUAAUUUAUAAGUUGUUUAGAUUAGUCAUUUAUCCUUCUCUAAAUACUGAAUAAGUCAUCACUAUAUCCAUCGGCGGUCCUGAGAAAUUGAGGGCCUUGUGUGAAACUUAAGCCCUCACAUAAUCUAAUAUAAAAAUACUAAAUUUUUUUUUGCCAUAACAUAAUGUUAUAAAACUAUUUUUUUAUAACUAAAAUUUAUCAUCAAUUAGCAUGUAAUAACAAAUACAAAUCAAUAAAUUCAUAAACUUUUUAAUGUUUUUCUUUGAUAAAAUUAAAUAUUAGUACAUUUGAUAAAAUAAAAAAAAAAGAGUUCAAGAGAAAGAAGAAUGAAUGAAUAUUAUAUCCAGUAGUCAAUUAUCCUUCUCUAAUUACUGAUUAAGUCAUCACUAGUCUAUAUCUUAUUAUUAACUUAUUUUAAUCAUCAGGUGGGACAUCUCAGCUUUGGACCAACUGCCGGAGAAUAUGAAAGUUUGUUAUGGAGCAAUGUUGGAUGUAUACACUGAAAUCGAAGAAAAGCUUGGAAAAGAGGGAAUUUAUAUCGCAUCCACUAUGCGAGAGAAGCACUAAGCCUCAUUAAUAUUUUUUAGAUUACAGAGUUGCAAGACCAUAAAUUAGUAUUCUAGUUAAUUUCCAAGUUUAUAUAUGCACAAAUAGUAGUUGAUAUCUUACAUUUCUUUGGGUCGGGCUUCAGACCUAUCUAGACAGAUUUGAGUGCGUGCUUGACUCAGUCUGAUCCAAAUAAAAAAAAAUGCCCGGGAAUGUAAGUUUUUUUUUUUUACUUUUUGGGUUGGAUGCUCUUAAUUCUAAUAAAAUAUAAAUUCUCAUGAUAUUAUUGCAUAGAAAGUAAUUAGAGAUCAUAUCUUGAUUUCGUAGAUGAAAUGAAUGGCUCCACCAGAAAUACACACAAUGGAUGAAUAUAUGGCAGUAGCACUUGGUACAUCCUACAUGAUGCUAUCAACCACGUCCUUCAUUGGAAUGGGAGAUAUUGUCACAAAAGAGUCCUUGGAUUGGGUUCUCAGUGACCCUAAGAUUGUGAACUCUUUAUCAAUACUUGGCAGACUCAUGGAUCACAUGAAGUCCCACAAGGUACAUAUUAACAUAAAUGCAACCUUUUCGUUUUUAUUUAUUUCCCCAUACCCCCUUUUAACCCUAAAUUCAUGUCUAUAUUGACGUAGUUUGAGCAAAAGAGAGGACAUAUUGCCUCAGCUGUGGAAUGCUACAUGAAAGAGUAUGGUGCCACAGAAGAAGAAACGAUAAUCGAACUCCAAAAACAAGUAAAUAAGGCAUGGAAGGACAUAAAUGAAGAGUGGAUCAACCUCAUCACCAUCCCUAUGCCACUACGAUUGAGAAUUCUGAAUUUUGCACGUACCAAUUGUAAUGACCCGGUCCUAAAUAAAUGUUUAAUUAUUAAUUAAACAUAAUAAAAGACCAUUUUGCCCCUAGAAUAUUUUAUUAGGUUUAAAUUGAAUUUUUGACCGGGGAGAAAUUUAGGAAUUUCGACUGUACCUUUGCAUAUAGCACAGUGAGAUGAGUUCAUAGACACGUAGCGGGCUCGAAUCGGAGUUGUAACAAGAGAGAUACGAUCAAAAUACCCUCAGUGGCACAAUCGUAAAUAUUGCAAAAAGGGUUUGAUAAAAUCUGGUUUCUCUCUCUCUUGAUAAAAUCUGGUUUCUCUCUCUCUCUCUCUCUCUCUCUCUCUCUCUCUCUCCUCCGCGCACUCUCUCUCUCCCCGAUAGCAGCCCCCUCUCUCUUUCUCUCUCUCUUCGAUUCUCUCAGCUCCGGCCACGGCAAGGGCCAGCACUGGUCCCAUUUGCUUCGUCUCGAUGCCACGGUCACAACCCGCCCCUUUUCUCGGACGGAGAGCUCGAGAUUUGCCGGCGAUAUCGACUGGUUUCUCUGGUUGUUCACGGCGUCGCUACGGCCAAUUCCGACAGCCAACUCCAGCAACCGAGGUACGAUUUCUCACCUAUUUUUCACGCUCUAGCUGCCUGUUGUGUAGGAAUUGCACGAUAUUCAUGUUUAGAAACUUGAUUUAGAAUUUAGGUUUUGGCCGAAUUUUCAAAGUGAAAUUUCAGCCACUUCCGUUGGUUUUUCAGGGUAUGUCCAAGAACAUAAAUGGUUCCAAAUAUGGUGUUACACCUAGGGUAGGACUCUUGAGCCGUGAUUCUGAGUUUUUCCGACAGUGGGUUAUCACUUUGGACACCCAUGUGCUGCCGGUGCGUGGGUACUGUAGAAAAGGGGCAUUGUGUCCCGAUGCGAUCCCUUUGUUGUCUCGAGGGCAUAGGUAUGAGUGAAUUUCAAUUUGGAUACCGUUUGAGUCUCGAACGGAUAUCGCAUAUUGUGCGUUAUCCGGGUUCAAUAGGUUUGAACUGUUGGAUAGUCCUGAAUUUAUAAUAUGUUAAUCUAGGCAUUUCAAGGAUUGUGUAGGAAUUCACGGAUCGUGAAUCGGAUCCCUGGAUGUUCCGAUUUAAUAACUUAAAGUUUAUAUUUUACAAUAACCGUCCGAUUAUGCGAUCGCGAGCGAUCCAACCGUUCGAUCAAGACCAAAGUUGUGGGACUUGUAUACUAAACCUUGUGGAACCUAUAGGAACUUUCAGAUCGGAAUUUGGAGGUCGUGGGCUCCGUUGACCCGUUUGACCAAGUAUGGGGUAGUUUGACCCUUGGUUGACCGUGAGUCUUCCAGGAUAGUUUCAUCUUCCUAGGAGGACUAAAAUGACCUUAGAGACAUGUCUUGAUCGCUAGUUGAGUUAUGUUGAUUAUGAGGGAUUAGGAUAUAAAUUUUAUUAUUUUAAAUUUGGAGAUUAUGGGAUGCUAUAUUGUGGUUGAGGUUUAUGCUAUUUUGGAAAUUAAUACAUACAUGUAUAUAUAUUAUAAAGAUAUAAAGAUGUUUGAUUUCACUAUAAGUACCAUCCUGCGAUUUUGAGGUCUCGCAUGGCGUAAGAUUUUCCGACGUUGAGACACACCCCAUACGUGGCUUUGGAUGUUCUGGCGUAUAGGGAGAUUUUGUGAUUGUAAGGUCCCACGUGACAUAGGAUUUUUCGGCGUGAGGACAAACCCCAUACGUAGCGUUGGAUGUUCCGACGUAUGGGGAGAUGAUAUGAUUGUUAGGUCACACGUGGCGUAGGAUUUUCUGAUAUGCUGACAGACCCCAUACGUGGCGUUGGAUGUUUCGGCGUAUAAGGAGAUUUUAUGAUUGUUAGGUCUCACGUGGCAUAGAAUUUUCCGACGUUGAGACAGACCCCAUACGUGGCGUUGGAUGUUCCGGCAUGGAGAUUUUGUGAUUGUUAGGUCCCACGUGGCGUAGGAUUUUCCAACGUGAGGACAGACCCCAUACGUGGCGUUGGAUGUUCCGACAUAUGGGGAGAUGAUAUGAUUGUUUGGUCACACGUGGCGUAGGAUUUUAUGGCGUGCUGACAGACCCCAUACGUGGCUUUGGAUGUUCUGGCGUUUAGGGAAAUUAUGUGAUUAUUAGGUCUCACGUGGCGUAGGAUUUUCCGGCGUAUGGGGAGAUUUUGUGAUUGUUAGGUCUCACGUGACGUAGAAUUUUUCGGCGUGAGGACAAACCCCAUACUUGGCGUUGAAUGUUCCGACGUAUGAGGAGAUGAUAUGAUUGUUAGGUCACACGUGACAUAGGAUUUUUUGGUGUGCUGACAGACCUCAUACGUGGCUCUGGAUGUUCCGGUGUAUGGGGAGAUUAUGUGAUUAUUAGGUCUCACGCGUGUCGUGAGAUUCUUCUGGCGUGUGAGACAGGCCCCAUACGUUGCGUUGGAUUUUUCCGGCGUAUGAGGAGAUUAUGUGAUCAUUAUGGAGAUGAAUGAAGAAUUGUGGUACUGCAUUGGAAAGAACUACGUGUGGCUUGAUCCCUUGGUGAGGGUAUGUAGGCAGCCUAGGAUAGUGCCUAGGUGCAGCCGCAGACUAAAUAUUAUUUUUGAGAUUGGUUCUGACCUUGUCAUUGGUCCUGAAAUUCGAUUGAAAACUAGAUGACGUAAAGUGUAUUUAGGCAUUCAUAUUUAUGUUUGAAAUUAUUACUUGCCUUGGUUAAGGUAUUAGUUGACUUAAGAGCUCUGUUGGUAGUUUAGUUUCAGAUUAUUUGAAGGCCGGAGACCGAUUAUGUGAAUUACAUGGAAUUAUCUUGUGCAUGCUGCCAGUUGUGGAUAUUAAAUGUGUUUUGUGCAGGUUGAAAUUUUUGGGAUUGUUCAAAUUACAGGGGAAACUUAGCCAAAAUUUCGGCAGAAAGUCUCGUGCCUUUAUUCCGUUUUUGAAUAAGGAGGCUAUAGUUUUAGUAAGUGGGCCCGGCAUCGGGGUGAUGUCGGAAUUUUCACAGGAUUCGUCUUGAGUUUUGAGAAAUUCGGGGCAGGUCCUGUCAUCAAUGAACUUAUGUACAAGCAUGAAGAUGGCUUUACUCAUGCUGGAGUUGUACUUAAGGAUCUUCUGGUGUCUCUGUUUGUCAACCCUGUGCCCAUAUAGGCCUAAAAUCAAAUUUGGUCUUCUUGUCUUUGCUAUAAAGAAUAAGGUCUCCACAAGUCAUGUCUUUGCUUUUUGGUUUUUAAAAAUAGUAAUUUGGUUUGUUUUGGGUCAUUUGUAGUCGUGGGCAUUACUCAGAAUAAGACUACACUAUUUGUACUGUACUGACCUUUUGUUUGUCAGCCCAUUUAGUACUUUAGAUUUUAUGUGUCAUAUAGAUUAGUUUGCAAUUGAUGUUCUGAAUAAAACAAAGUCGGGUUUGAGUCCAUAUUGUAUCAUUCAAUAGUUAUAUUUUUACAUUUCUACAUUUCUUUUUUUAUUGUUAACAAUAGGAAAAAAAAAACAAAAAAACAUGUCAAAAAACAAAAAAAGGAAACAUGUCAAAAAACAAGCUUUCUUCAAUAUCAAGCAAAAAAAUUUGUAGUGUAUGUUUUCACCCACUCAAAACAAAACAAAAAAAGUUCAUGUCUUCUUCUUUCUCUUCUAUUUUCUCAAAUUGAAACAUUAAAACUUUUAUGAAUUGGAUUUAUGAUUGCCAUUGCAUGCUAAUAGAUAAUGAAUUUUAGUUAUUAAAAAAAUUUAUAAUGGUAUUACCUCAUGGUAAAUUUUUUUAUAAAUAUUUUCAUAUUACAUUAUGUGAGGACUCUCGUUUAAGUUUUGCUCAAGGCCCUCAAAAUCUCAAGGUCGGCCCUGCUCUUUAUGCCCCUACAAUACAAACUUUUAUGAGCUGGACCAAAAUACAUGAGUUCCUCCGUAUACAUGUGUUACGUACGCAUAGCCCAAUCCACUUUUUAACUCCAUAGCCUAAAAGCCGAACUUCUUUUUUAGAAGUAAUUUUUGUACGCUCCGAGUACACCAUACAUGUGACAUGUGAAAAUAUUCUCUAAUACACUUGUAUUAGAUGGUACACGAGUCAACUUGUGUACACAGAAGAACAUAAAAAAUUUUCUCCUUUCUUACUAUGUAAGAAAUAAAUUAAUAUAUAAAUAACCGAAACAUAGAUAUUGGCAUAUUUGUGCAGCACAUCCUUCAACAAUCAGGAAAAAGAAAAAUAAAUAAGUAUCAAAUUAAAGAUUAACGACCUUUUCAAGUAGCAAAUAAAUGCAUUUUAUACUAAAAAAUCCUUUGUAAUUUAAACUAUUACUUAUAUUAAUAAAAAUAUACAAUUAAAUGCAUAUAUAAAUUAUUAAAGAAAUAAAUAUAUAGAUGGAUCAAUAUACAUGCACACAUUCAUAUAUGUCAAGUGAUCUUUAUUGUGUGUAUAUAUAUAUAUAUAUUUAUUUAUUUAUUUCUAUGCGUAGUCGCACAUUCCAUUGCCACAAGAAGUGCCUUCCUUGCAGUGGUUGGUGCACCUGCCACAGUUUUGAUUGUGAGACAUUGGAUUCACACAAUGAGCGUUGCGGCAUAUCUCUGAGCUACUGGCCCUGCGCUGCCUUCAGUUUCAAUAAAUAAAAGACAAAGUGAGAGUUUAUUAGAGCACUUUCAUCCAUUUGCCAAGACAAAAGGAAAGGGCUGUUACUAUUUACAUGAAUAGUGGCAACUCUUGUAAAAAGUUGUGGUGUUUUCACCCAUUGCCAUGACAACAACUAUUCACAUGAGAUGUGAUGAAAGAAAUUUGUAUAGAGUUUUGGUGUGGAAAGUGAAAAAUAUGACUAAGUAUUUAUUUUUAAAAAAUUCUAAAAUUAUUUGUAGAUUUUUUUCAAUUUUAAAUUUUCUGUUGCUGUUUCUGACGUCAGCAUACCCUGGCUUGAGCUCGAGCUAAUUUUGCCUGAGGGCUGGCUUGGUUUCGUAGGCCCAAGCAGUUGCCCUGAUAGCUUAAGGCCGCUGGAAUCAUGAAAAGGGGCUUGGGCCCCCUAUUGCCCUGGCAAGGACUGUCCGAUGGAAAGGCUCUUAGACACCAAACAAUGGACAUUUCAACAACUGGAUAGUUAGUGAGUCCAUAAGCAAUUCCACACUUUUCUUAAUAGAUACAUAUUUAUAUCAAUACCAUUAUUUCAAAUUUUGAUUACCAAAUAAUAGCGUAAGAUAUGAUAAUUUUUUAUUUGUUGUGAAUAAAUGAGAUCUAAUUCGGAUACACCAACACUAUAUUAGCCCAAAUAUGAAAUAGCAACAACUUUAAGAGGAUAUACUCUGCGAACGCUUGCCCCAGUAGAUUCAGUCAUGUCUAAGUCCUCCCCUCUUGCGCCAUCGGGCAGCGCCCAGUGAACUUGUGCACUAAAUUUGCCAAAGCAAUCUCUUGGACAGCCAUGGCAAACUGAAUUCCUGGGCAAACUCUUCUGCCAGCCCCAAAUGGAAUGUAGUGGAAGUAAUUGCCCUUAUAAUCUAUGGCACUGUCCAAGAACCUUUCUGGCUCGAACACCUCUGGUUUGUUGUAUGACUUGGGAUCUCUUCCAAUUUGCCACGCAUUCACUAUAACUUGUGUGUUGGCUUUAAUGUCGUAGCCAUUUAUUUGUGCAUCUUGGGUCGAUAGCCUGGGCAGUAGCAAUGGAAUUGAAGGAUGUAGGCGAAGAGUCUCCUUGAUAACUGCCUUCAAGUAGUGCAUUUCAACCAAAUCAUCCUCUCUAAUUAUGUCUGUUUUCUUGCCAACUAUUCCCCGGACCUCAUUCUGCAAUUUUUCCAUGAUUCUUGGAUGCCUUAAAAGCUCGAACAUUGUCCACUCUAGGAGUGUAAAUGAGGUGUCAGAGCCACCAACAAACACAUCCUACAAGAAUUUUAAUGGUAAAAAUCGAUUAAAAAUUAAUGGAAAAUUAUAUAUAAAACCCAAAAAAUUGGGGUUAGGAAUAACCCACGUGUUAUUUAUCUAUAUAUCUAUAUAUAAAAAAAAAGGUAAAAGGCUUUAAAAGUGAAACAUUCAAAAACCCUGAAAAUACUCGUGCUUCAAAGAAUUUUUGCUGCUUGGAUUGGAAUAGUGUAGUCUUCUAUCUUUUUAAUUAAGGUGCACUGGUCGUGAAAAUGAUUAUGCUUUGAACUCUUUUUCUGCAUGAAGGGCUAGUGGUUGUUCUCUCAUAGGAGAUUUUGGCACUAGUUAAACUUCAAAAAAAAAAAAAUGAAGAGGUUAAAAGAAUUCAAAAGAAAAAAAAUUGGAGCCAAACUUUUUCCUAAUAUUAAUGGAGUACAUGACUCAUUUGUUUUGUGUGAUCACCAUUUGGUUAAUGAAUUGUGCACAAAAUUUAAUAAGAUACGGAUCCUCUGCUAUGAUUUUAGUCCCCUUAUAGGAUGGAUCGUACUUUGGAGCACAUGUGGUAGUUCCUACUCACACUCACAAAUACAUAUUGGUUGGUCCAUUAAAAUGCAAAUAUCACCUCUCAUAUCAUUAUGCGAACAUUGGGCACAAGAGUUGUGUUUCCAACGUUGACAAGGGAUUGGAAGAUCUAGCUCGACGGAAAAAUAAGGAAUAAAACUUAUAGAAGCAUGCAUGCCGUCUAUGUAUUGUUGUUAUCAUGGCGAUACUAAUUCGGCAAUUUCUAAUGGGUGAAUUAAAAAAACAUUUUUAAUCUAUAUAUGUAAAGUUAAAUAUCAUUAUGGUUAAAUUUUAAAAUAACUCAUUUAAGAAAAAUUUCAAAACACAAGAAUUAAUUCAUUUUGAAGGGACAGAUACAUUUAUUUAAAAAAUAAUAAUUAAAAGGAGAUAAGAAUCUAUGACCAACAAGAAUUCUAUAUAUAUUACUGUUGAUGCUCAAAAUUAAUGUGAUGAGAAGUUGAAGGAUAUUUAAAGCCCAAUAUACUAUAUAAUGUUGGCUAUGUGUUAAUCCAAGCUAUAUUUUGGGAAGUAAUUCAUUAAAUAAAUAUAGAAAUAUUGUACAAGUCGUGCCAAGCAAGAUACAUUUUCCUAUGCUAAACUACCCGACAAGCUUAAAUGGACCCAAGCCACAUAUAUGUAUGGAGAUUGCUGAACGAGUUGUGGUGUGGAUGGUUAUAAUUGUUCAUAAAGCCCGUUGAAAAAUCAGACAAUAAAAGUUUUAGGGCUGCUUGGGAGUACAAAAACUCAUACCCACUUUCCUGAGCCUAAUUACAUGGGUAAGUAGAGACAGAACUUCCAGCCUCUUCCAAAACUCAAACCCCACUUUACUGCACACUCAUGGAAAAACCAACUGUUGAGCACUGUACACUCAUGAAUCCUUCUUUAAACAAACAUUCUAUAGCCUAUAAAUAGACCUUCAUCCCUCCUUGCAAUACACACACCGAAACCAGAAGAAGAACGGCAUGAGGCAAGCUCAUCCUCCCACUGCCGUAAACACAGAAAGCCCAAGCCUUCCUCCAUCACGCUUCUCUUCUUUCAUAACACCACUCCAAGCCCUAAACAUCACACAGAAAACCAUCCCAACUCCCGAAAACACCACAUGCAUCUCACCUUCAACAUAUCUUAUUCCAAUCCAAGCCGCAAAAGCACUCUCUCUUACUAAACUUAUGGAGACUUGUUCUCACACCAUAAGCCUCUCAAGCCAAGCUUCAUAUUGAUUAACUGAAGCAAGCUCCCAUGCGAAGCGUACAGUAUCGACAUAGUUGCUCUUUACUAGAGACCACUUCCUCUAGCAUCUUCUCCAGCACUAUUAAUUCCACUACUUACAGCACAUAGUUCACUUCAAGAAAAGCACUUCCAACGCAACAAAAUCAAGCAUAAUCAUUCCAGUACCUAUUAAUUGUACAUCAAAACCUGUAAGGAGCCACUGAAGAUAACCAAAUCACUCCCCUGUCUUAAACUCUUUCGGGGUGCUUUGGGGCCUGGUGCUGCAAACUCAGAAAGGGUAAAGGAGAUCUCAGUCCACCUCACAUUAGUCCAAUAAGCCCAUUGCAUCUCUCAACAAAAUAGACCCUCAUACAAAUGGCGACUCUGCUAAGGACUAGGCCAUUAUUCUUAGAGCGGCUCCUCAACAAUCACAAACUUUGUGAUUCGCACGUCACGCCACUGGGGGCUUCAUAAAGCAAGUUUUCCGUUGCCUUCUUCAAGUUCUUCCUGCAGCAGGAGAGAUGAAAUCGUUAAUUUUUCUUUGUAUUCAGUAUUUAUUGCUAAAAAAAAAGUUCUUUCGAUCAAUCAAGCUGCUAAAAAAAAGGAGUUAAGCAUCCAGGAGCUGUUGAUUUUAGUUUUCUUCCUGGAACAAUUAGAGAAAAACAAACCAAAUUCUACAACCAUUUGCUGACCGAAGUGGUUUAGGCUUCAUGCCAAGGAAAUUUAGAAAAACAAUAUAAAUAUCAGAGAGAGUGAAUCACUCAAACAGAAACCAAUCCAACAUCAAACAUCCAUCUGCCAACAAUAUUUUAGUCCUCCAUGGUUCUCCUUUUCUUACCAGAUAAAAGAAAAAAAAUGAACGAAAAGCAAAAGAGACAGAAUACAAAAACUUAUGUGAAAGCAUCUUCACUUGCUCUGCCCACAGCUCACCAAUCGUGGUCACAAGCACAAGAUAUGAAUUUUGCCACCAAUGCCUCAAGGGUUGAAACGAAAUAACCCCUUGCUAUCACCUUUCUCACAGCGAAAGGAAGAUUUUCUCUGCAAAUUUACACAGAUCGACCACCACCAUCGCUGCAGGACCAGCCAGCUUGCAAUAAACAAUGCAUGAAUCUCCACGUACGGCACCCACUUCAUGCGCCAAUAUUAUAAUCUUAGCCGUGUGUUUUUAUAGUGAGAGUGAGACAGGGCAUGCAACUACUCGCUCAACCCAACUCACCCUGCGCUAGAUUUUUCUUAUCUUUGAAUUAUUUGGUUUUCAGGCACCUAAGGCUUAAAAUAACUUAUAUUCUUUGAAAUUUUUUAUAGGAACUAGUUGUGGCAGAGGUGAUGGGUGGAACGCACCAAGUUAAUUAAAUAAAAACAAGGCUUAAAUUUCAAAAUGGUCUCUGUAAUUUACUUCAUCGGCCAAUUUAAUUCCCCUAUUAUCAAUUUGGCCAAUUUCGUCCAUGUGUUUAUAUAUAUUAGCAAAACUUCAUCCUUUCCGUCAAAAUUUCUGUUAAAACUGAAGAAAAAAAAUAUUUUAAAAUUAAUUUAAAAAACUGCAAUUAUUAUUAAAUAUUCAAAUUCAAUCUAAAAAUUGAAUUAAUAAAAAAAAAUUGCCUCCCCCAACCUCAACCACCUCCCAACCCCACCUAAACCACCAUUUUUUCUCUCGCACCUUCCUCUCCGGCAAAUUGCAAAGAACUUCGUAGCCAAUCAUUGCAGCGCUUGGCUCUGCCAGUUCAUCAUCCUUGUUGUAGCAGAAGUUGGCGACAUUCACACAAACAACAUGCACACUGUAGAUUCUAUAACCCUCUCGAACCCUCGUCGUUGUUUGCACCAAGACCACCGUUGAGCUCGAUUUCUCAACAAGAUUUGCACUCUGCUUUGUCUGGGCGUUGGUUAAUCCGAGAAGAUAGUCUAGGUUGGAGUGGGCUACUAGACCCCCCUUUUCAACCCAAUACAAGAACAUGACUUUUAAUAAUUAAGUUUUUAUUAUUAUUUGAAUUUGAAUAUUUACAUGACAUUUUUUUCUUAAGUUUUAACAGAAUUUUAACAGAAGGGACCACAUUUUUUAAAAUAUACAAAAACAUGGACUAAAUUAGCCAAAUUGAUAACACGAGGACUAAAGUGGUCAAUGAGUUAAAUUUGGAUCUAUAUCUAACUUUUCUAUUUUUUUAUAUACCAAAACUACCCUCAUGCUUUUCAAGAUAUUCUCAACUCUAAGUACCCUCCUCCUAUCUUUCUCCUUCUUGCCAAUCUCAUCAAAACCCAUCAGAGGAGCUUAUUCCCCCUCCUCAUCCCUACCCCCACAGUAGCCCCAUCCUCAUCCAUGUAGCAGCCCCACCCCCUACCGUGCCAAGGGUAGCAUUCAUAUGUUCAAUCAAUGCUUGAAAUGGUAAAAAUGAACAACAACAAAAUUAACGAUAUAGUUUGUGGUUCUAUUUAAUUCAUUCUCCCUUUCAAACCAGUUGAGUAAAGGCCAUUAGACCCACUAACAGGGCCUAGUCUCGUGGAAAAUAUUGUUAACUUGACAGGACCCGCCCCGAAUUUCCCGAAACCCAAGACGAAUCUUGUGAAAAUUCCGACAUCACUCCGAUGUCGAACCCAGUCACUAAAACUAAAGCCUCCUUUUCCAAAAGGAAUAAGGGCAUGAGACUUUCUACUGAAAUUUAGGCAGUCUCCCUUGUAAAUUGAACAUUCCCAAAAUUUCAACCUGCAAUAAAACACAAUUUAAAAAGCCAACUGCUAGCACACACAAUGUAAUAGCACACAGUUUACAGACAAGGCCUCCAGCCUUCAAAUAAAUCAAGGCAGAACAACUAGUAGUACUCUUAAGUGAAUUAAUAUACUGACAAUGCAACUAAGGAACUCAAAUAAUUUUACGAGUACCACUGCAGUCAACAUGAAAUAACUUCCCAAGUUUUCAAUCUGCAAAGACACAAUAAUACUUCUCACAAAUUUCUAGCAUGCAUCAACUACCAUCUAUGAAUUUUCACCAAUAGUCCCAGGGGCCUCGGCCCAUAAUACCAUAUAAUCAAACCUAAAAACAUGUAUAACGUUUAGUCAACAACUGCACCUAGGCGCUACCCUAGGCUGCCUACGUACCCUUACUAAGGGAUCAAGCCACACGUAGUUCUUUAUACUAAAUCCUAAUUCCAAACACAUACAAUACCUUUAUUCAUCUCUCUGUUAAUCACAUAAUCUCCCCAUAUGCCGAAACAUCCAACGCCAUGUAUGGAGUCUGUCAGCACGCCGAAAAAUCCUACUCCACGUGUGACCAAACAAUCAUAUCAUCUCCCCAUACGCGGCGUAUGGGGUCUGUCCUCACGUCGGAAAAUCCUACGCCACGUGAGACCUCACAAUCACAUAAUCUCCCCAUACUCUGGAACAUCCAAAGCCACGUAUGGAGUCUGUCGACACGCCGGAAAAUCAUACUCCACGUGCUACCUAACUAUUACAAUAUCUCCCCAUACGUCGAAAAAUCCAACACCACGUAUGAGGUCUGUCCUCACGCCAGAAAAUCCUACAUCACGUGGGACCUAACAAUUACAUAAUCUCCCCAUACGCCGGAAAAUCCUACGCCACAUGAGACCUCACAAUCACAAUAUCUCCCCAUACGCCGAAAAAUUCAACGCCACGUAUGGGGUCUGUCAGUACGCUGAAAAAUCCUACGCCACGUGUGACCUAACAACAAUCAUAUCAUCUCCCCAUACGCCAGAACAUCCAACGCCACGUAUGGGGUCUGUCCUCACGCCGAAAAAUUCUACGCCACGUGGGACCUAACAAUCAUAAAAUCUCCCUAUACGCCGGAACAUCCAACGCCACGUAUGAGGUCUGUCUCAACGCCGGAAAAUCCUACUCCACGUGAAACCUAACAAUCACCGGAUGGUACUUACACAGUGUAAUCAUCAUCUUUAUAUCUUUAUAAUAUAUAUAUAUAUAUAAAUUUCCAAUAUUGCCUAAACCUCAACCACAAUAUAGUAUCCGAUAUCCCCCAAUUUAAAACAAUAAAUUAAUAUUCUAUUCCCACAAAAUCAACUUAACUCAAGUAGCGGUUAAGACUUAUCAAUAAGGUCAUUUUAAUCCCUCUAGAAAGGUGAAACUAUCUCGAAAGACUCACAGUCAACCAAGAAUCAAACUACUCAAACUUGCUCAAACAGGCCCACGACCCCCAAAUUUGGAUCCGAAAGUUCCUAUGGGCUCUACAAGGAUCAGGAUACACUUCCUGCAAGUUUGGUUCAGAUCGGACGGUCGGAUCGCUCACGAUCGCACGAUCGGACGGUUAUUGUAAAAAUAGCCUUAGGAUUGACAUUUUCGGAGUGUCCGGGACUCCGUUUUACGAUCCGUCGAAUCCUAUACGAUCCUAAAGAUGCCUCGAUUGUCAUAUAUCAAAUUGGAGUUGAUCCAACGGUCUGAACAUGUCAAACCAGAUAACGCCUAAUAUGCGAUAUCCGAUCGACGAUCAAACGAUAACCAAAUUCAAAUUCGAGCAUCCCGUCAUGCUGGGGACGACAAGAGGGUUAUUUUGAAACUCUAAGAUAGGCCACCACAUGACCCACGUGCCACCCCAUGUGCCGGCAGUGCGUAGGUGUCCAAAGAAAUUUCCGGCGGCCGAAAAAUCUCCAAACCGCCGGCCAAGACUCCCAGGUUAGGUAAAUCACAUGUAGUGGAGCAACUUUUGUCCUUGAACCUACCCCAAAAAGUAGACGAAAGUGGCUGAAAACUGGCAGAAUUUCAAUCGCUUAUUUAACCGCCUAAACACAGAAAUUUCUCCUUUGCAACACAACCAUCAGCUAGAACGUCUCGAGAGGUUGAGAAAGCAUACCUAGAUCGACGAAAAUGGUGCCCGGAGGAGUCCGAACGAGCUCUGUGAAUUUUGGGUUAAAACCGGUCGAUUUUUGUCACUUUCCAGUGAGCACAGGUGGUUCCAGCGGCUGAGGCUGGUCGGGACGGAAAGAGUGAGGUGGCCUGGUUCUUUCGGGACCGGUACCACCCGAAACGGUGGCCGGAUGCGACGGUGGUGACCCAAAAUCCCGGCUGAUGAAUAGUAACAGGGGGGCUGUUUCUUGCGAAAGGAGAGGGAGAAAGAAGAAGAAAAAGAAGAAAAAGAAAAAGAAAAUUUAAAACUGCCCGGUUACUGUAGCACGACACUGUUUGCUACAGUACAAAUUUUAAAAAUUACCUUUGCAUCCUUUUUGUUUUCAGACUUUUCCUCUUUCGUUACAACUCAGAAUUGGGCGUGCCGCAUGUCUACGAACUCAUGUCGACGAGCUCUACUUAAUGGUGCCACUUACUUCUCCAAAAUCUUUUCGAAUCAGAAAAUAACCAAAAUACCCUUAUCCAAAGGGUAUAUUCGUAAAUUCAUAUUUAAAUUAAUUUAAUAAUUUAAUUGGGUAAAUAAAUUAGGGUCAGGGUGUUACAUAACUUGCAAACUAAUAGUCUCAUGUUCGAACUCUCAUGGCACCUUGGUAAUGUGCGUGAGAAAAUCCCCUCCUUAUUCCUAACUUUGGCAACCAAAAAAAAAAAAAAGAGUCAUCAGGCCAUCAUAUAAAUUCAUCUCUUGUUGUUCGAUCAACAAAAAAAACUCAUCUUGUUAUUUUUUAUUUCAAAAUUAUUUACAUGUAUUAUUUUAAAUAAUCACAUGAAUGCGUAGAAUAAUAUAAUAAUGUAAAUAUAUUGAAUUAUUUAUCAUUAAACAUCAGUAAAAUUUUAAAAAUAUAGACAAUAAAAUGUUAUUAUAUUGUAUGAUGUACUUGCCAUUUUAAGUUUUUUUUUUUUACUAGUAAGUAUACAAAACAUAUUUUAUUAUGUACAAGGCAUAUUAGUAAUCAAAUUGAUUUUGAUUCCUAUUACUGAAUACUUACAUAAGAAUGAUAUAAUAAUUAGUGGAAAAAAAAGAGGCCUGGUUUCAAACAAAGUACUAAUUACAUGAGUGGGAAAUAUAACUUCUGUUUACUUAUGUUACUCCAUUAAUAAAAUAAUAUAUUAAUUUGUAGCAACUCCGAUCUCUUGGACCAUAAGGGUCACCCACCGUUGGAUGUUAAUCUCCUUCUCACAAUAUUUAUAUACACACCAAUAUUUAUAGAGGAAAUAGGUAACAAAUUUCCUAAAACCCUUGCUAUAUAUUUCUGUCCUGAAAGAUUUAAGGAGCCUCAAAUUUGGAUAUUGCAACCACUUGAGACGUUAAUUAAUUAGACUUUAGAGAACGGUUAGGAUAUUGCAAUUUUUGGAUAUUAUAUAUCACUACUACAUUUUACACUUUGCGCGACGAAGUUAAUUUCGUCGCGCAAAAUAAAUUGUGGUCGCACAAAUUUCAACGCCACAAAAACUUCGUCGCGCAGAAUCCGUCGCGCAAAGAUCGUGAAGAAAGACUUUGCGCGACGAAGUUUUUUCAUUGGUCGCGCAAAGUUACUUUGCGCGACGAAAAAAUAUUGGUCGCGCAAAGUAACUUUGCGCGACGAAGAAAAGUGACUUUGCGCGACGAAAAAUAUUGGUAGCGCAAAGUUUUGCACGACGAAAUACAUUGGUCGCGCAAAGGUUUGCGCGACGAAAAACAUUGGUCGCGCAAAGUUUUGCGCGACGAACUACAUUGGUCGCGCAACUGUUUGCGCGACGAAAUACAUUGGUCGCGCAAAGUCUUAAAAAAAUUCCCGCGUCAAAUUUUUGGUACCCGCCCAAAUUUUUAGAGUUUUACGCGACAAAUAGUAACGUCGCGCAAAUAUUUGCGAGACGAAAUAUUUUUUGUUUUAAAUUUUUUUUAUUUGAAAUAAACUAAUUUAAUAGUUUGCGCUACGAAAUAUUUUUUCUUUAGUAUGAAUUUAUUUAUAUGAAUUUUUUCAAAUUUUUACUUUUUAAUUUAAUUUAAUUGUAUGAUUUCUUUUUAAAAUUACUUCAAUUUAAAUUGAUAUUAAUUUUUUCAAAUUUUUACUUUUUAAAUUUAAUUUAAUUGUAAGAUUUUUCUUAAUUACUUUAAUUUAAAUUGACAUAUUCAAAAUAAAAUUACAUAUGAAACAUAGUGAUCAAAUUAUCCAAUAAAUAUAAAUAUAUAUUCAAAAUGUACAUAUAAAUUAACAAAGUACAAUAAUAAAAUCCUAAUACAAGCGUAUUGUGGUGGUAGUGGCGGAGGAUAUGUUUUGAUAGCUUCCUAAUCCUCAACUUUAGCCGUCAAAGUCUCGAUGAUUCCCUACAAAAAAACAAAUAUAGUCAAAUAACAACAACAACAACAAAAAGAACGCACAAUCUCCCCUAAAAUUGUUAUACCACAAAUCCAACCCAAACUCCAAUCUCUCCCCUUUACUCAACCCCAAACCCCACACAAACUCAAAACUAACUCCAAAAACACAUAUUAAUGAAAAAAAUUUAAAAUUUGGAGAGAAUAUACCUUUUGGCAAGAUUGAGAGUGAGUGAGAAUGAGAGGGAGAAGUGAGUGUGAGAGAAUUAGAAAAGAUAGUGAUAGAGAGAUGAGAGAGUGAGAGAUAGUGAAAAGAUAGAUGAGAGAGUGAGUGAGAGUGAGAGAUAGUGAAGAUAGAGAUGAGAGAUUAAGUGAGAGGAGUUAGUGUGAGAGAAAGGGUGGGAUUUGGGGAAAGGGAAAGAGAGAGGAGAGGUAAGAGUAGAGAAAGAAAUUGAGAAAAUGGUGGAGGAGUUAUUUCAGUUUUAAAAAUCGUAUCACUUUGCGCGACGAAAAUAUGGUUGGUCGCGCAAAGUUUUGCGCGACGAAACAUAUUGGUCUCGCAAAGUUUUGCGCGACGAAUAUAGGAAUAUUGGUCGCGCAAAGUCUAAAAAAAAUUAUUUUAAAAAAAAAAAAAAAUUCCCGCAUCCCAUUUUUGGUACCCGCCAAAAUUUUUAAAUUUUUGCGCGACGAAAAAUAAUUAUUGGUCGCGCAAAGUCUAAAACAAUUAUAUAUAAAAAAUUCCCGCGUCCCAUUUUUGGUACCCGCCCAAAUUUUUGCGCGACGAAAAAUAUAUAUUGGUCGCGCAAAGUUUUGCGCGACGAAACAUAUUGGUCUCGCAAACUUUUGCGCGACGAAUAUAGGAGUAUUGGUCGCGCAAAGUCUAAAAAAAAUUUUUUUUUUUUUUUAAAAUUCCCGCAUCCCAUUUUUGGUACCCGCCAAAAUUUUUAAAUUUUUGCGCGACGAAAAAAACAUAUUGGUCGCGCAAAGUCUAAAACAAUUAUAUAAAAAAUUCCCGCGUCCCAUUUUUGAUACCCGCCCAAAAUUUUUGCGCGACGAAAAAUAUAUAUUGGUCGCGCAAAGUUUUGAGCGACAAAAAAUAUUGGUCGCGCAAAGUCUAAAGUUUUUUUUUUAAUUUUAAAAACCCGCGUCCCAUUUUUGGUACUCGCCCAAAUUUUUUGAGUUUUGCACGAUGAACUGUUGAUCGCGCAAACUUUUGAGAGACGAAAAAUUGGUUCGUAGCACAAUAUUUAUAAAAAUAAUUGUUAUGAAUAAUAAAAAAUAAAAAAAAUUAUUUUAUGAUUUAAAAUAUAAUUAAGGUGAAAGCUACUUAAUAAAUGUAUAUACUAUUCAAUUUCUUAAGUGUUAUACGUACAAAAUAAAUAAAUUUAAAGCUACUUAAUAAAUAUAUGUAUAUAAAUAUAUAUAUAUACACACACCAUUCAACGAUCCAACCAUAAGACUUGUUUGUAUAUACUUCAAGAUCGUAUACCCCAAAAAUCGCAAAAAACAAACAUUCAGAGAUCUAGUAACGGGACAAAACUUUUCGAUAGUUAUAAAUGAAAAAUCACGAUUUAACGGUUAUUUUAACUCCGAUUUUGAUGAUUUUUUUUACAGCUACACUCCUUGACCCUAUAUGAAUACAAUGACUGAAUUUGAUCUUCAAUUUAAAACAUUUGCACUAGUGGAUACCACAAAAUCUUAUGUUAUAUUUAACGAAAAUAUAAAUAAACUCUUAAUUGUUAGUGAAUAUAUUGUUUUGAUGGCAUAUGCAUUCUACGAAACUAGUUUCAACGAUCCAACCGUCAAACUUGUUUUUUUAUACUUCGAGAUCAUAUAUGCCAAAAAUUGGAAAAAAUAAAUAUUCAUAGAUCAAGUAACGGGACAAAACUUUUUGACGGUUAUAAAUGAAAAAUCAUGAUUUAACGGUUAUUUUAACUCCGAUUUUGAUGAUUUUUUACAGCUACACUCCUUGACCCUAUAUGAAUACAAUGACUGAAUUUGAUCUUCAAUUUAAAACAUUUGCACUAGUGGAUACCACAAAAUCUUAUGUUAUAUUUAACGAAAGUAUAAAUAAACUCUUAAUUGUUAGAGAAUAUAUUGUUUUGAUGGCAUAUGCAUUCUAUGAAACUAAUUUCAACGAUCCAACCGUCAAACUUGUUUUUUUAUACUUUGAGAUCAUAUACGCCAAAAAUCGGAAAAAAUAAACAUUCAAAGAUCAAGCAACGGGACAAAACUUUUCGACGGUUAUAAAUGAAAAAUCAUGAUUUAACGGUUAUUUUAACUCCGAUUUUGAUGAUUUUUUACAGCUACACUCCUUGACCCUAUGUGAAUACAAUGACUGAAUUUGAUCUUCAAUUUAAAAUAUUUACACUAGUGGAUACCACAAAAUCUUAUGUUAUAUUUAACGAAAAUAUAAAUAAACUCUUAAUUGUUAGUGAAUAUAUUGUUUUGAUGGCAUACACAUUCUAUGAAACUAGUUUCAACAAUCCAACCGUCAAACUUGUUUGUUUAUACUUCGAGAUCAUAUAUGCCAAAAAUCGGAAAAAAUAAACAUUCAUUGAUCAAGUAAUGGGACAAAAGUUUUUGACGGUUAUAAAUGAAAAAUCAUGAUUUAAUGGUUAUUUUAACUCCGAUUUUGAUGAUUUUUUAUAGCUACACUCCUUGACCCUAUAUGAAUACAAUGACUGAAUUUGAUCUUCAAUUUAAAAUAUUUUACACUAGUGGAUACCACAAAAUCUUAUGUUAUACUUACGAAAGUAUAAAUAAACUCCUAAUUGUUAGUGAAUAUAUUGUUAGUGAACAAAAAAAAACUAGUUUCAACGAUCCAACCGUCAAACUUGUUUGUUUAUACUUCGAGAUCAUAUACGCCAAAAAUCGGAAAAAAUAAACAUUCAGAGAUCAAGUAAGGGGACAAAACUUUUCGAUGGUUGUAAUGAAAAAUCACGAUUUAAUGGUUAUUUUAACUCCGAUUUUGAUGAUUUUUUACUGCUACACUCCUUGACCCGAUAUGAAUACAAUGAACUAAUUCGAUCGUCAAUUUAAAAUAUAUAUUUUCUAACAAAAACCCAAUCCGAACAACAAUAAUAUAUUUUUCUAAUAAAAAUCCGAUCCGAUCUAAAAUAAUAAGUUUAAAGCUACUUAAUAAAUAUAUAUACCGUUUAAUUUCUUAAGUGUUAUGCAUACAAAAUAAAAAACAAAAAUAAAUUGGUUUAGGUGACAAAAUGUUUGGAUUACGUCAUGCAAAGAUUCUAAAAAAUAAAUUUUUUAUUCUAUUUAUUUUUGUAAGGACUUUGCGCGACGAAAAGUAAACUUCGUCGCGCAAAGUCACUUUGAGCGACGAAUUAUUUUUCAUCGCGCAACAUUGGUCGCGCAAGACUUUGAGCGACGAUGUAUUGUCGUCGCGCAAAAGUUUGUAGCGCGAAGUGAGUUUGCGCGACGAAUUAUUUUUCGUCGCGCAAAAUUUGGUCGCGCAAGACUUUGAGCGACGAAGUUUCAAGUUUCGUCGCGCAAAGUAACUUUUAGCGACGAAUAAUUUUUCGUCGCGCAAAAUUUGGUCGCGCAAGGGGUUUUUUUUACUAGUGUAUUCUUUCUCUACUUUACCUUAAUGACUCAUAAUUACCCACUAGCACUGUAACACAGCUUCAAGUUGAAGCCAUGGCAGAGGCGUGGGAGGGGAGAAAGACUACGUAUUUUUAUAGUGUUAUCUCCGACUAAUAAUACCAUAGCAUUCAUGAUAAUACUUCGAUGUGGCAUAACAUUAUUGGCCGAAAAUAACAAAACAAUACUAUCUCCAUUACAACUACGUUUUUAUCCGUGGGCUGCUCUUAGGCUUAUCUAGUCUUUAAAAUGCAGUUGAAGAAUUUAUUAUUAUGAAAAUGACGUGAGAGAGAGGGAGGGGGUCAUAUAUUUUCAGAAUAAUUUUGCUAAAAAACGAAAGCAGAAGAAUUAAUUAUUAUGAAAAUGACGUGUAAUAAAACCACAGGUUGUGUGACAUUGCCGUACGGUACAUGCAGUCGGUGAGUCCACAGAUGACCAUGCAUUUGUUUUGAGUCGGAUUAAGCAGUGAAUGGGGGCACUAGUUGUCCAUCUUUAUAUGACCCAAUGACUUAAGAUAUCUAUAUGCAUACAGACUUUGAGAAAGCACAAAUAGUUUGUGGACAUGAGCGAUAGAUACUGUGGUUUUGGAUUAUCAACAAUGACAGUGUGAACGACUUUUCUUCAUGGUGUGCUUUAGCUACAUCUUCUACGCUUCUGCAUUGGUCACAUUCAUGUAAUCUUGAACAUGAAGCAACGUACCACAAAGGCUACCAAAACUUUAAUAACUGUGGACCAGAAGGAAGCAGUAUAUAGGUCCUACUACCUGUGCAUUUUUGCUGACUAAUAGUUUGAUGCUUAAGGUAAAUCCAAUACAAUUAGUGUAAAUGUCAUUUUACUAUAUAAUUAGGUAUAUCCAAUACAAAAUAAAUCUUUAAUCUUGAACAUAUUUAUAUAGGGGAUUCUAUGACUCACAAAGAAAACCUACGGAUACAUUUGUGUUUAUGUUUAAUCUCAUUUUCUCUUUUGUAAUUCCAUCUACUUUUCAUAAGAGUUUGUUUGAAACAAUUUAUAUAUAAAAACUACCCUUGUUUUUAGAUGAUUAUUGUGGUAGGAUGUAAUCAACAAAAUAGACAAACACGGUAUUUCAAGAAAAGACUAUAAUAAAAACUAUCUAAUUGAAUGAUCAAAUAGUUUCGGAUCCAAUUGAUUGUCACAGAAAUGAUCUUUGAAGAAAUAUCUAAAAACUAGAUGGUAUUGGAUUAUUGAAAUGCAUGGUGAGUCUUAUAAGGGUGUCUUUCAAAUAAACUUAUUUGAGAAAUCCCUCAACUAAAGCCAUAUCAGUCUCCUUCUCACAAUAUUUAUAUACACACCACACCUUUUGUGAAAAUCUAAAAAUGCUAAAUUAUGAAUGAAAACUGACAGUUAAAGAACUCUCAUGAUCACUCUACAAGAUUGUGACCUGAAUGAUGAAUCAGCAGCUUAAGUUUCACCCCAUUAAUAAAAUCUUUUGCCGUUCCCAUCCCACCUCUAAUAAAAGCUUACUUAAUACGUAGUCCCAUCAACCCCUACCAUCAAAGUAAGGGUUGAAUUUGGCGCUCUUUAGCCUUUAAUCACCACAAGAGUCACAAAUUCUUCUCUCUCCUUAUCUUUCCAACCCCACUGAUAUCUCAGGCAGCUCUAUAAAUAGGAAGAACCAAGCCAUAUUAUACUCACUCAGCAAUCAUCUCUUGCAUACUUUCAUAUAUACAUUAUUGUGCUUCUUGUUAAGCAAAACAUGGCAUCCUCAAAGGCUUUUCUUCUUCUUGGUCUUGUCUUUGCUGUUCUCCUCAUCUCCUAUGAGGUCUUAGCUAUUCCAACUCGUGAGUUUCUCACUUUCUUAACUAAAUCAUAAAUAUUAAAUUAGUAAUUGUAUCUUUCUUUCCAGUAACGAUUUGUGAAUUUAUGCACAUUUUAAUUAAGGUGCAUUGGUCGUGAAAAUGAUUAUGCUUCGAACUCUUUUUCUACAUGUAGGGUUAGUAGUUGUUGCACUUGCACGGCUUAAUUUGCAUCUUAUUAAAUACAAACUGAUCUAUGAUUGUUAUAAGUUAUGUAUAUUGUUUUUGCUUUAUAUAUAAAGUUUUUGGUUGUUCUCUCAGAGUCAGAGGAGAGUACAGUCAACGGUGAUGCCCGCGGAUUUGGAGGUCAUGGCCGCGGAUUUGGAGGUCAUGGCCCCGGACAUGGAGGUCAUGGCCCCGGACAUGGAGGUCAUGGCCCCGGACAUGGAGGUCAUGGCCACGGACAUGGUGGUCAUGGCCACGGACAUGGAGGUCAUGGGCACGGACAUGGAGGUCAUGGCCACGGACAUGAAGGGUAUGGCCACGGACAUGGUGGAUAUGGCCACGGCCACCACGGCCACCACGGCCACCAUGGCAUAGGGAGGCCUGGUGCUGCUGAGACUGAAAUCAAGAAUUAGAUAACCUGUUAGUUUCUGUGACUUACGUUGCAGGUGUGUUGUAAGGGUAGCAGUACGAAAUAAAGUUGUUUGGUUGAGUAAUCUAUAUGAACUCUCAAUCAUAAACUGUCCUAAGCUUGUUCUCAUGUUUCUCAUGUUCUCUGUAAUGUACGCAUUGUAAUGUACGCAUUGGAAUGUGUUCUCUUGUUAUGUGAUAAAAUGUGAUGUAACUUUCUCAAUACAUAUUAUGUCAAAAAUGUUUAGUAUGGCUUGGCUCCUUAAAAUUGAGGGGGAGCACAUCCUCAUAACAAAUGAGAUUUUGGCACUAGUGAAACUUCAAAAAAAUAAAAAUAAAAAGAGGUUAAAAGAAAUCAAAUGAAAAAAAAAAUUAAAGGAAUUUGCCAAGUGUCAAAACUCUAUUUCUUUUGAGGAGGAACUGCUCCUCAGUUUUGUGGAGCCAAACUUUUUCCUAAUAUUAAUGGAGUUCAUGUAUGACUCAUUUGUUUUGGGUACCAAAUUUAAUGAAUUGUGCAUUCAUUGGUGGACCCAUAAGCAUACAGUUUUUAAUUUAGGUGAGAUACUCUCGGCAAUUUAAAUCAUGUCAAAAACAUGAUAUCAAAAAAAAUCAGCCAUCAUCGAGUUUGUAGAUAAAGAAAUAAUAUAUAUGAAUGAACGUAAGCUAUAGAGAAGAACAUUACCAAGAGCUUUCGUGCUGAUAACGUAUUGUGAAACUAGAAAUUUGUAGGGAGAAAUAAGAGGAAGAAAGGGAGUAUAAUUUGCUCAAAUAAACUUGUAUUCCAUUCAUAUUUGGUGCCACUAUUUAUAGGGGUAGAGAGGCCUAAAUCAUUUACCACCAAUAAUUGAUAGGUGACAAAUAUAUAAUGAUGAGUAUUAUGAUAGGUUAAUAGUGGCUAUUAUUGUGAGCAUCCAUAACCUAUAAACCAAUAACAUAUGGAUUUAUAACACAAAUACGUUUAUUAAAUAAACAAUAAUUAAAAAGUAAAAAGAAGAUAAGAGUCUAUGUCCAACAAGAAUUCUAUAUAGAUUACUGUUGAGGCCCAAAAUGUCACGAGAAGCUCAAGGAUAUUUAAAGUCCAAUAUAACAUAUAAUGUUGGCCAUGCGUUAAUCCAAGCUGUAUUUUGGGAAUUAAUUCAUUAAAUAAAUAUAUAAAUAGUGUACAUGCCAUGCUAAUCAAAUAUUAUAUUUUUCUAUGCUAAACCACCUAACAAGCUUAAGUGGACCCAAGCCACAUAUAUAUUUAGGGCUUGUUGAACGGAUUGCGGUGUGAAUGGUUACAAGUGUUCAUAAAGCUUGUUGAAGGAUCACUGUUUUACAGCUGCUUGGGAGUACCAAAAUUCAUACCCACUUUCUUGAGCCUAAUUACAAGAGUAAGCAGAGAGGGAACUCCCAGCCUCUUCCAAAACUCAAACCCACUUUCAUUACUAUGCACAUAGUAAUUACUGCACACUCAUGGGGAAACCAAUUGUUGAGCACUGUACACUCACAGAUCCUUCCUUACACAAUCAUUCUUCAGCCUAUAAAUAGACCUUCAUCCCUCCUUGCAAUACACACGCCGAAACCAGAAGAAGAAUGGCAGGAGGCAAGCUCAUCCUCCAACUGCCGUCUACACACAAAGCCCAAGCCUUCCUCCAUCAUGCUUCUCUUCUUUCAUAACACCACUACAAGAGUCUUGAACAUCACACGGAAAACCAUCCCAAACCAUCCCAACUCCCGAAAACACCACAUGCAUCUCACCUCCAACAUCUUAUUCCAAUCCGAGCAGCAAAAGCAUUCUCUCUUACUGAACUUAUGGAGACUUGCUCUCACACCAUAAGCCUUUCAAGCCAAGCUUCAUAUUGAUACACUGAAGCAAACUCUCAUGCCAAGCGUACAGUAUCAACGUAGCUACUCUUCACCAGAGACCACCUCCCUCUAGCAUAUUCUCCAGCGCUAUUAAUUCCACUACCUGCAUCACAUAUUUCACUUCAAGAAAAGCACUUCCAACACAACAAAAUCAAGCACAAUCAUUCCAGUACCCGUUGUACAUGCAUCAAAACUUGCAAGAAGCCACUGAAGAUAACUAAAUCACUCUCUAAGUCUUAAACUCUUUCGGAGUGCUUUGGGGCCUGGUGCUGCAAACUCAGAAAGAGUAAAGGAGAGCUCAGUCCACGUCACACCAGUCCAAAAAACCCAUUGCAUCUUUCAACAAAAAAGACUCUCACAUAAAUGGCAACUUUGCUAAAGACUAGGCCAUUAUUCUUAGAGUGGGUCCUCCACAAUCACAAACUUUGUGAUUCGUAAGUCACCACUGGUGGCUUCAUGCAAAGCAAGUUUUCCGUUGCCUUCAAGUUCUUCCUGCUGCAAGAAAGAAGAAAUCGUGAAUUUUUCUUUGUAUUCAGUAUUUAUUGCAAAAAAAAUUGUUCUCUCGAUAAAGCAAGCUGCAAACAAAAAAAAAAAAAAAAAACAACGAGUCAAGCAUCCAGGAGCUGUUGAUUUUAGUUUUCUUCCUGAAACAAUUAAAGAAAAAACACACAACCAAAUUCUACAACCCCUUUCCGUGACAAGGGUAGCAUUCAUAUGCUCAGUUAAUGCUUGAAAUCACUAGCGGACCCAGAAAUUUUUUAGCGAAUGUGCAAUAUUGACUAAGUAUGAAAAAUGGUUUUUCGAAAUAAUCAUUUUGUCAAGAUAAUUUUUAGCCGCUUUUAUUUCUUACACAUCAAAUAAGAAAAUUUGAUUUUAUGGGAUUUUAGUAUAUAUGAAGUAUAUAUUGACUUAAUGAGCCAUCAUUUUUAGCUUAAAUCGUAUUUUGCACUAAAAUCGAAUUUUCAUAUUUUGAUUUGGUGAGAAUUUGAUUUUCUAGUAUUUUUAUUUGAAUCCAAAUGGGGGGUACUUUCUUAUUUACAUUGUAAACUUAAGUAAAUGGAGUAAUAUAAAAAUAAAUAAAAGUAAAAGGACAAAGACAUUUAAGUAAGGUAAUUUGUACAUCAAUUGAGCAAAUGAGCAAUUUGAAGCACCUACAAUGGUUUUUCCGGCAAGGGGAGGUGCAGCUGCACCUCCUUGCCCCUUAAUAGGUCCGCCUCUGCUUGAAAUGGUAAAAAUGAACAACAACAAAAUUAACGAUAUAGUUUGCGGUUCUAUUUAAUCCAUUCUCCCUUUCAAACCAGUUGAGUAAAGGCCAUCAUACCCAUUAACAUGGUCUAGUCUCGUGAAAAAUAUUUUUAACUUGCAAACUAGUAGUUUCAUGUUCGAACUCCCAUGACACCUUGAUAGUGUGUGUGAGAAAACCCCCUCCUUAUUCCUACCUUUGGCAACCAAAAAAAAAAAAAAAAAAGUCAUCAGGCCAUCAUAUAAACUCAUCUUGUUGUUUGAUCAUAUAUAUUAAUGUAUUUGAAUUCUUAGAAUAAUAUAUUAAUGUUAAUAUAUUUGAUUAUUUAUCAUUAAACAUAUUUUAUUAUGUAACUAUACAAAACAUAUUUUAUUAUUUACAAGGCAUAUUAGUAAUCAAAUUGAUUUUGAUUCCUAUUACUGAAUACUUAUAUAAGAAUGAUAUAAUAAUUAGUGGGAAAAAAAAAGGGCCUGGUUUCAGACAAAGUACUAAACAUGAGUGGGAAAUAUACUAAACACAAUAACUUCUGUUUACUUAUGUUACUCCAUUAAUAAAAUAAUAUAUUCAUUUGUAGAGGAAAUAGGGAUCAAAUUUCCUAAAACUCUUGCUAUAUAUUUCUGUCCUGAAAGAUUUAAGGAGCCUCAAUUUUGGAUAUUGCAACCACUUGAGACGUUAAUUAAUUAGACUUUAGAGAACGGUUAGGAUUUUGCAACCUCUUUGCAAUUUUGGAUAUUAUAUAUUCUUUCUCUACUUUACCUUAAUGACUCAUAAUUACCAACAAGGACACUAGCACUGUAGCACAGCUUCAAGUUUAAGCCAUGGCAGAGGCGAGGGAGGGGAGAAAGACUUCUAUAUAGUGCUAUUCCUGACCAAUAACGCCGUAAUAUUCGUGAUAAUAUUUCGAUGUGGCAUAACAUUAUUGGUCGAAGGUAACAAAACAAUAUUAUCCCCGUUGUAACUAAGUUUUUCUCUGUGGAGCUACUCUUAUUAUGAAAAUGACGUGAGAGAGAGGGAGGGGGUCAUAUUUUCAGAAUAAUUUUGCUAAAAAACGAAAGUAGAAGAAUUAAUUAUUAUGAAAAUGACGUGUAAUAAAACCACACGUUGCGUGACAUUGCCGUACAUGCAGUCGGUGAGUCCACAGAUGACCAUGCAUUUGUUUUGAGUCGGAUUAAGCAGUGAAUGGGGGCACUAGUUGUCCAUCUUUAUAUGACCCAAUGACUUAAGAUAUCUAUAUGCAUACAGACUUUUAAAAAGUAGAAGCAAUACAGCCUUAGAAAGGCAGUGCGUGCAUGGAAAAAGAUUAUCUGGUCCCAAUUUGCAUAUUUAUUAUUAGGUAAAAUACUUUGAAAAAGCACAAAUCGUCAUAGUUUGUGGACAUGAGAGAUAGAUACUGUGGCUGGAUUGUCAACAAUGACAGUGUGAACGACUUUUCUUUAUACUGAAAUAAGAAGUGAACGUGAAUAUUUCUUUCCUAGUACAAAAGAUUGACAGCUACAAUUUAGCAUUCCUAUUCUGGUUAACCACUGAUUCGUAGGAUCUAGAUACAAGGAGAAUUGUAGGUUCAUCUCCUAUAUAUGUUGCUGUACAUUCAGAAUUGUACAUUAUACAAAUAUAUGAAAUACCAGUUUCUUUACAUGGUACCAGAGCCUCCUUUUUUUUCUUCACCAUAAACAUCAAUGGCACCAGACAACGAUGCCAAACCAGUUGACAGAGAGAAGUCCUCAUCCACAACCGAUAGAGAUGCAUAUGACUCUACCGAUCCCUACUGCAUACACCACUCAGAUCAUCCCGGCAUGAUAUUUUCUUCCAUGCCACUGACUGGUGAUAACUACAGCACUUGGAGUCGUAAAGUAUGAAUUUCCUUGAGUGUGAAAAACAAAACAGGCUUUAUUGAUGGGUCCAUUGUGAAGCCAUCCCUCACCAAAAAACCUAUAGAGUAUCAACGAUGGCAGAGGUGUAACGACAUGAUCUUGUCGUGGAUUCUCAAUUCUUUGGAUCCUGACCUUGCUAAUAGUGUUAUUUAUGCUGAGACAGCUCAUGAAGUUUGGACUGAUUUAAAAGAACGAUAGAGCAACGCUCCUAGGAUUUUUCAGAUUCAAUGCAGCAUAGCGACACAUACGCAAGAUCAGAUGCCUCUGGCAACAUAUUAUUCAAAACUAAAGAGCUAUUGGGACGAACUGGGUUCCUACAAUGAUACAGAAGUUUGCUCCUGUGGAGCAAUUAAAGAAGUCGUUGGCCGAGCGCGAGAAACAACAACGCUUGAUGCAAUUUUUGAUGGGACUAAAUGAAUCCUAUGCAGCGAUCCGAGGGCAGAUUCUCCUUAUGGAGCCCUUGCCAUCAUUUAGAAGGCAUAUUCCCUACUUUCACAGGAAGAGAAACAACGUGAAAUCACCACUACCCAUGCAAAUACAAAAAGCAUGGCCAUGUUAAGUAUCCACAAUAAGAAAGGGGGUUCUUCUAAACCCGCUUAUCAAUUCCGCUCAUAACAAGGACAGAACUCACAACCUCGUUCCUCUUUUCGAGGGAGCCAAAAAGAGACUCGACGUUGCACUCACUGCAAUGGAGAUACUCACACCGUUGAUACUUGCUAUUAUCUCAAAGGGUUCCCUCCAGGACAUAAGUGGCACAACAAAGAAGUCUCUCUGCCUGAUAGAGGAAGCAGUUCACACCAAGGAAACCAAAGGAAGUCACAUGCUGCCAAUAAUGUCCAAAACUCAGAUUCACAAGUUCAUCAUCUCCAGUCCAUCGCGCCCCACCUUACACUAGACCAAUGCCAACAAAUUAUGGGCGCCGUAGGUAAAGAAGAUGUUUCACAAACCCAAGUAAAUUUUGCAGGUCUGUCUCCUUCUUGUCUAUUUUCUCAAAAGCAAUCCAAUUUAUUGCAUGCUUGGGUAAUUGAUAGUGGUGCUACCGACCAUAUCACUAAUUCACAUGACUUUCUAAUUGACACAUCUCCAUCCUCCAUGUCCCCAGUAGGAUUGCCCACAGGGGCUAAGGCACCCAUAAAAUCCACUGGCAAAAUCACUUUUGAUGGAAAUUUGUGUCUAACUGAUGUUCUUUGUGUUCCAUCCUUUAAUGUUAAUUUGAUGUCAGUUCCCAAACUCACAGAGUCACUUAAUUGUUGUGUUGUGUUCUUUCCCAAUUUUUGUUAUACACAGGACUUGGUUAAGAAGAAGAUGAUUGGAUUGGGUAGGCGGCAUGGCAACCUAUACUAUUUUGAUCCAAACUAUAUUUCUCAUAAGCCACCAUCCUCCUCACACCAUGUGUUAUCUCGAUAAAAUCUUUGGCACUUGCGGCUAGGACAUCCAUCAGAUGCCCGCCUUCUUAUCUUGGCUCAACAUGAAUCUGAUAUUUUCUUUUCCCAGCACUCCUGUGAUUUUUUCCCAUUGGCUAAACAAACUAGACUUCCAUUUACUUUAAGUUCCAUUUCAAGUAUUGAUUCUUUUGAUUUUAUUCAUUGUGACUAUUGUUGGGGCAAGAUAUUUUUUGACUAUUGUUGACGAUUAUACAAGGUGCACAUGGGUUUAUUUAAUGCCAUAUAAAUCUGAUACUCAAGGUCUUCUUAAAUCCUUCUUCGCCUUUGUUUAUACUCAAUUUAACAAAACAAUAAAGGCUAUUCGUGUAGAUGAUGGUGGUGAGUUUUCUUCUCUAAAAACGUUUUUUUGCAGAUCUUGGUGUGGUUUACCAACAUUCCUACGUCUCAACACCUCAAUAAAAUGGGAUUGUGGAACGUAAACACCAACACCUUCUAGAGAUGGCUCGAGCCUUGCGAUUCCAUGCACAUCUCCCUCUUAAUUUAUGGGGAGAAUGCGUACUCACUGUUGUAUAUCUGAUUAAUCGUCUCCCCACUCCACUUUUAACUGGUAAAACUCCCAAUGAGCUUUUAUUUAACCAUCCACCCAUUUAUAAACAUCUUCGUGUUUUUGGUUGUCUUUGUUAUGCAACUAAUUUACACCCUUCUCAUAAAUUUGAUAAACGGGCACGUAAAUGUAUUUUCGUGGGUUAUCCUUUUGGUCAAAAGGCUUAUCGUGUUUAUGACUUAGAGACCAAAAAGUUUUUCAGUAGCUGGGAUGUUAUUUUUCAUGAAAAUGUCUUUCCUUUUGCUAAUCAACAUGAUGUACCCACUAUCCCUGUCUUGCCUUUAACCCAAUGAUUAUGAUUAUGUGCCUGUCCACAUAUCAGACCCACUACCCACUUCAUCUUCCAAGCCAAAUCCACCAACCAAUCUAGAUAUGCAUCCACCUAGCCCAAACACACACUCUGGCACACCUACACCACCUCUUCCAAAUACACCACCACCUAGUCCACGCACACAAUCUAGUCCAAAUACACACACCCAAUUUAGCCCCAACACGCAAUCUAAUAUAUCCCCUCAACCUAGUCCACCACUAAGUCCAUCACAUGAUACACACCCACCACCAUCGCUUCGACAUUCUGAAUGCCUAAAACAACCUUCAGUGCUCCUACGUGACUACCACUGUUACACCGCCAUGUCUCUCUACUCUAAUUCGUCAUCUUCUUCAAAUACAAAAGGUAAGGGCACCCGAUACCCUAUUUCCCAAUUUCUUAAUUAUCAUAAUUUGUCAUCCACUCACAAAUCUUUUGUAGCUUCCAUCUCUCGAGUUGUUAAGCCAACUACUUUUGCCCAAGCUUCGACUGACCCUCUUUGGCAAGAAGCCAUGGACAAGGAAAUUCAAGCUCUUGAGCAAAAUAAUACUUGGUCCAUAACACCUUUACCUGCAGGAAAACACCCAAUUGGCUGUAACUGUCCAAAGUCAAAUAUAAUUCUGACGGUUCCGUUGAGCACUACAAAGCUCGUCUCGUGGCCAAGGGAUAUACCCAACAGGAAUGCUUAGACUACACGGAGACAUUCUCUCCCACAGCUAAAUUGGUCACUUUCCGAUGCUUGCUUGCUCUUGCCGCUGUACGCAAUUGGCCCCUCCACCAAUUAGACGUCCAAAAUGCUUUUCUUUAUGGAGAUUUAGACAAAGAAGUCUACAUGCUUCCUCUACCCGGCCUUUGCCGACAAGGGGAGCACUUGGUUUGUCGGCUACACAAAUCAUUAUACAGGUUGAAGCAAGCACCACGAAAUUGGUUUGCCAAGUUCACCAAUGCCCUUCAAGAUGCCGGAUUUGUCCAUCCCUAGCAGAAUAUUCACUUUUCACAAGGUAUCACGAUAAUUCAUUUACCAUUAUAUUAAUUUAUGUAGAUGAUAUUGUCAUUAUAGGGAAUGAUCCUAAGGCAAUUCAGUCUCUUAAGGAUUUACUCCAUGCUCGCUUCCGCAUAAAAGACCUUGGAAAUCUUAAAUAUUUUUUGGGAAUUGAAGUAGCAAGAUCAAAGAAGGGAAUUUUCAUCUCUCAACGCAAGCACACACUGGAUAUACUUGACAACGCUGGACUUUUGGGUGCUCGCCCUUAUUCCUUUCCCAUGGAGCAGACGCUUAGACUCAACCCUACUGAUGGCAACCACUACAAGAUCCUACCAGAUGCAGGCGAUUAGUAGGUCGCCUCAUUUAUCUCACAGUAACAAGGCCAAAUCUCUCAUUUGCUGUCCAUGUGCUUAGUCGUUUCAUGCAUGAGCCGCACCAACCUCAUCUAGAUGCAGCUCUUCGUGUACUACAUUAUUUGAAAGGCUCUCCAGGAUAAGGCAUUUUAUUCCCUACUACAAACAACCUAAAGUUAAAGGCAUUUUGUGACUCAUGUUGGGCAAGUUGUCCAACUACCAAGAGAUCUGUCACAGGUUAUUGUACUUUCCUUGGUGAUUCUUUGAUUUCUUAGAAAAUCAAAAAAUAAAAUACCGUGGCACGUUUCUCUACAGAAGCAGAAAACCGAGCUAUGGCAGAUGCGUGUUGUGAGCUCACAUGGUUACGUUACAUCCUCAAAGACUUGGGCAUUCAACAUUCAGAACCAGCAGUAUUGCAUUGUGAUAAUCAAUCAGCCCUUUAUAUUGCAAAGAAUCCAGUAUUUCACGAGUGAACGAAGCAUAUUGAUCUUGAUUGUCACUUGGUGAGACAAAACAUUCAAUCAAGCUUGGUGUCUACUGCCUACACGCCAACAAAGAUGCAGAUUGCUGAUAUAUUUACUAAACCCUUGGGCAAGGUUCCUUUUGGCUCACUAUUAGGCAAGUUGGGAGUAUACAACAUACACUCUCUAACUUGAAGGGGCAUAUUGAAAUAAGAGGUCAACGUGAAUAUUUUUUUGCUAGUAUAAAAGAUUGACAGCUACAAUUUAGCAUUCCUAUUCUGGUUAACCACUGAUUUGUAGGAUCUAGAUACAAGGAGAAUUGUAGGUUCAUCUCCUAUAUAUGUUGCUGUACCUUCAGAAUUGUACAUUGUACAAAUAUAUGAAAUACCAGUUUCUUUACACUUCAUGGUGUGCUUUAGCUACAUCUUCUACCCUUCUGCGUUGGUCACAUUCAUGUAAUCUUGUACAUGAAGCAACGUACCACAAAGGCUACCAAAAAUUUAAUGACUGUGGACCAGAAGGAAGCAGUAUAUAGGUCCUACUACCUGUGCAUUUCUUGACUAAUAGUUUGAUGCUUAAGGUAAAUCCAAUACAGUUAGUGUAAAUGUCCUUUUACUAUAUAAUUAGGUAUAUCCAAUACAAAAUAAAUCUUUAAUCUUGAACAUAUUUAUAUAGGGGAUUCUAUGACUCACAAAGAAAACCUACGGAUAUAUUUGUGUUUAUGUUUGAUCUCAUUUUCUCUUUUGUAAUUCCAUCUACUUUUCAUAAGAAUUUGUUUGAAACAACUUAUAUAUAAAAACUACCCUUGUUUUUAGAUGAUUAUUGUGGUAGGAUAAAAUCAACAAAAUAGACAAACACGGUAUUUCAAGAAAAGACUAUAAUAACAACUAUCUAAUUGAAUGAUCAAAUGGUUUCGGAUCCAAGUGAUUGUCGCAGAGAUGAUCUUUGAAGAAAUAUCUAAAAACUAGAUGGUAUUGGAUUAUUGAAAUGCAUGGUGAGUCUUAUAAGGGUGUCCUUCAAAUAAGCUUAUUUGAGAAAUCCCUCAACUAAAGCCAUAUCAGUCUCUUUCUCACAAUAUAUAUAUAUAUAUAUAUAUAUACACACCAUACCUUUUGUGAAAAUCUAAAAAUGCUAAAUUAGGAAUGAUAACUGAUAGUUAAAGAACUCUCGUGAUCACUCUACAAGAUUGUGACCUAAAUGAUGAAUCAGCAGCUUAAGUUUCACCCCAUUUGCCACAUACCAUCAAAGUAGGGGUUGACUUUGGCGUUCUUUAGCCUUUAAUCACCACAAGAGUCACAAAUUCUUCUCUUCUCUCUCCUUAUCUUUCCAACCCCACUGAUAUCUCAGAAAGGUCUAUAAAUAGGGAGAACCAAGCCACAUUAUACUCACUCAGCAAUCAUCUCUUGCAUACUUUCAUAUAUACAUUAUCGUGCUUGUUGUUAAGCAAAAGAUGGCAUCCUCAAAGGCUUGUCUUCUUCUUGGUCUUGUCUUUGCUGUUCUCUGUUGACGUGGGUCUCCUAAUUAAUCAAGGAGAUCUACUUCCUUGAUUAAUUAAGGGAUUUACUUUUUUAUUUUUUAUAUAGUUGAUAAAUUAUUGUAUAAUUAGGAGAUACUUUCCUAAUUCUUUACUGUAUAUAAUUUCUUCAAACACAAACCCUAAACCCUCAUAUCAAAUUUCGUCACACCCAAACCCUAAAUCAAAUUCCUCAUAUUUACAGCUUCAGAUUCGGAUCUUCAUACCCGAAUCCUCAUAUCCUCUUAUCACAAAACCCUAAACUCAUAUUUUUUUCUCUUAUCAGAAAACCCUAAACACAUAUUUUUCCUCUUCUCUUAAAUCCUUCCGCUACCAUGAAUAUCGUCUCAUCUUCCCAAACCACUGCCUCCACUUCCCCAUCCUCCACAAUUGCCACAACAAGUUCCCAUGGUUAUGUUUUGACAGGACCCGCCUCGAAUUUCCCAAACCCGAGACAAAUCUUGUGGAAAUUCCGACAUCACCCCAAUGUCGGACCCAAUCACUAAAACUAAAGCGUCCUGUCCCAAAAAGGAAUAAGGGCACGACACUUUCUACCGAAAUUUCGGCAGCCUCCCCUGUAAAUUGAACAUUCCCCAAAUUUCAACCUGCACAAAAACACAUUUAAUAUCCCAACAGGCAGCACUCACAAGAUAAUUUCAUGCAAUUCACAAACUCGGCCUUCGGCCUUUACAAAAACCGAAGUGAAACCAAACAACCCACAAAGCCCUUAAGCAAAAUAUUGCCUUCCGCAAGGCAAUUAAUAAACUCAAAUAUGAAUUAUGAAUACCAAACACAACUUACAUCAUCUACCUUUCCAAUUCUAACAUACGAGGUUUUAACCUCCUAACACAAUCACAUUUAUGUCUGCGGCUGCACCUAAUAACCUUAGGCUGCCUACAUACCCUCACUGAGGGAUCAAGCCAGACGUAGUUCUUUCUACUAAAUCCCGAUUUCCAAACACAGACAAUACCUUUAUUCAUCUCUCUGUUAAUCACAUAAUCUCCCCAUAUGCCGAAACUACCAACGCCACGUAUGGGGUCUGUCAACACGCCGGAUAACUUACGCCACGUGUGACCUCAACUUAUUAUUACCAUAUCUCCUCAUACGCCGGAUCUACCAACGCCACGUAUGGAGCCUGUCCGCACGCCGAAUAACCUACGUCACACGGGACCUCACAAUCAUAUCACAUAAUCUCCCCAUACGCCGGAUCUACCAACACCACGUAUGGGGUCUGUCAACACGCCGCAUAACCUACGCCAUGUGCGACCUCAACGUAUUAUUACAAUAUCUCCCCAUACGCCGGAUCUACCAACACCACGUAUGAGGCCUGUCCGCACGCCGGAUAACCUACGCCAUGUGGGACCUCACAAUCAUAUCACAUAAUCUCCGCACACGCCGAAUCUACCAACACCACAUAUGAGGUCUGUCAACAUGCUGGAUAACCUACGCCACGUGCGACCUUAACAUAUUAUUACAAUAUCUCCCCAUACGCCAGAUCUACCAACACCAUGUAUGGGGCCUGUCCCUAGGGUCAUUUAAAUCCUCCUGGGAAGGUGAGACUCCCCCGGAAGACUCACGGUCAACCAAGGGUCAAACUACCCCAAACUUGGUCAAACGGGCCCACUAGGCCCACAACCUCCAAAUUCCGAUCCAAAAGUUCCUAUAGGUUCUACAAUGUUUAGGACACUCAUCCUGCAAGUUUGGUCCGGAUUGGAUGGUCGGAUCGCUCACGAUCGCACGAUCCGACGGUUAUUAUAAAACAUAAACUUUAAGUUAUUAAAUCGGAACAUCCGAGGCUCCGAUUCAAGAUCCGUGAAUUCUUACACGAGCCUAGAAAUGACUAGAUUAACAUAUAAUAAAUUCAAGACCAUCCAACGGUCCAAACCUAUCGAACCCGGAUAACGCGCAAUAGGCGAUAUCCGUUCGAGACUCAAACGGUAUUUGAAUUCAAAUCCGAGCAUACCGUCAUGCUCGAGACGACAAGAGGGUUAUUUUAGAACUUUAAGACAUGCCACCACAUGGCCCACGCGCCACCCCACGCGCCGGCAGCGCGUAGGUGUCCAAAGAAAUUUUCGGCUGCUGAAAAAACUCCAAACCGCCGGCCAAGACUCCCAAGUUAGGUAAAUCAAAUGUAGUGGAGCAACUUUUGUUCUUGGACCUACCCCAAAAAGUGACCGGAAGUGGCCGGAAUCGGAGGCCGAAAACCGGCCAAACUUCCAUCGCUUAAUCGACCUUCAAAACGUAGAAAUCUCUCGAAUCUAACACAACAGGCAGCAAGAACAGCUCGAGAAGUUGAGAAAGCAUACCUGGAUCGACGAAAAUGGUGGCCGGAGGAUUCCAAACGAGCUCCGUAAAUUUUGGGUUAAAAUCGGUCGGAUUUUUGCAUUUUCUGGCGAUCACAGGUGGUUCCAGCGGCCGAGAUUGGUCGGGAUGGAAAGAGGGAGAACGCCCGGUUCUUUUCGAAUCGGUGCCACCCCAAACGGUGGCCGGUUGCGACAGUGGUGGCCCAAAAACCUUGGCGGUGAAUAGUAACAGAAGGGCUGUUUCUUGCGAAGGGAGAGGGAGGAAGAAGGAGAAAAAAUAAAAUUUAAAACUGCCCGGGUACUGUAGUAAAAUUUUAAAAUUACCUUUUCAUCCUUUUCGUUUUUAGACUUUUCCUCCUUCGUUACAACUCGAAAUUGGGCAUGCCGCAUGUCUACAAAUUCGUAUCGACGAGCUCUACGUAACGGUGCCACUUACUUCUCCAAAAUCUUUCCGAAUCAAAAAAUAACCAAAAUACCCUUACCCAAAGGGUAUAUUCGUAAAUUCAUAUUUAAAUUAAUUUAAUAAUUUAAUUGAGUAACCAAAUUAGGGUCGGGGUGUUACAUGUUUUGCAUAGUUCUUCAAAGAAACACAUAUGGGUCAUUGACACCGGAGCCACUGAUCACAUAACCUUUGAUCCUGGAUAAAUUACCUCUCAUACCCCGUCUUCUUAAUUGGUGGUGUCUAAUGCCAAUGGUAACCCCUCCCCAGUAAUUGGGGAGGGUUCCCUCUCUCUCUCUCUCUGACUCCCUCACUUUGGAUUCUUUAUUUAUUGUUCCAUCCUUACAUCAUAAUUUCUUAUCUGUUGCCCAAAUUACUACGGCUUUGAAUUGCAUUGUAACCUUUUGGCCUACUCAUUGGGUUUUUCAAGACAUUCUCAACAGCAAGACGAUUGGUUGUGGUACUAGGAUGGGCAGACUCUAAUAUCUGGACUUGGCAUCUGACAGUGAAGCCAGCCUCAGUCACUCUUACAAAAUUGGGGGUACGAGUGUUGAGAAGCAAACUUCCGAAGUAUGGUUAUGGCAUCGCCGACUUGGACAUGCUUCGUUUGGAUAUUUACAAAAGCUAUUUUCUUCCUUAUUUUCCCAGUUAGAUAUCUCCAGUUUUACGUGUGACAUCUGUGAAAUAGCCAAGAGCCAUCGUGUUCCUUUCCCCUUAAGUUCACAUAAAAGUUUGGUUCCUUUUUCUCUUGUUCAUUAUGAUGUUUGGGGCCCGCUAAAAUUACCACUCUCGGGGGAGCUAGAUGGUUUGUCACAUUUAUCGAUGAUUGCACACGUAUGACCUGGGUUUCCCUUCGCCAAACAAAAGGGGAAGUCAAUUCCAAGUUUCAACAGUUCUAUCACAUGGUGGAGACACAAUUUCAUACAAGAAUUCAAGUUCUUCAGUCUGAUAAUGGCAGAGAAUUUCUCUACCAUGAUCUUACUCAGUUCUUACAAGAUCAUGACAUUAUACAUCAACGCUCAUGCCCUUACACUCCUCAACAGAAUGGUGUGGCUGAACGAAAGAAUAAACACUUAUUGAAAAUGGUUCGUGCCUCUCUCUUUGGUGCCAAUAUGCCUCGGUCCUUUUGGGGAGAAGUCGUCUUCUUUGCAGCAUACCUUAUCAAUCGGAUUCCCUCCAGUAUCCUUAAUUUCCAAACCCCCCUUCAAACACUCUACAACCAUAUCUAAAUACCUCUUGCCAAAAACCUAAAACCACGGAUUUUUGGCUAUGUGGUCUUUGUCCCCUUACAUGAUCACUAAAGCAGCAAAUUGGAUCCCCGUGCUGAAAAGUGUGUUUUUAUUGGUUAUGCACCUCAUCAGAAAGGUUACGGGUGUUAUCAUCCUCCUAGUCAGAAGGUCUACACUUCUAUGGCUGUUGUGUUCCAAGAGCACGACAUAUAUUUUUCAGCCGUACAUGAGGAGCAUUGCGAUGCCAAACAUCUCAAAUUUCAAGACUUUUUCCUUCAUAAUUGUCACUUACUGAAAACCAUCGGUCGUAGAAUGCAAGCGACAGGUAGCCGGAGACUGUGCCUAAGAACGACCGGUCGCAGCCUAAGACUCUGCCUGAAAGCGACCGGUCGUCCCCCAGAAAUCCGAAUCUGCUUCAAAACGACAGUCGUCUCCCUGCUGUCAAACUUAGGAGAACAUUGAGGAGUUUUUGAGCGCUCAGGAAAAUUCUUCAACUCCAGUAUCCCACCAAUCACCUGCUGAGGACGUCAUUCAGGUAACCUCUUUUCUUGAAACUGAUAACAUUAAUGAAAUAUCCCAUGAUGAUUUAAUUUCAGAAUGCAUAGAGCCUGCAUAUCAGAUUCCAAGAUGGAAGAACGUGGAAAACCUCCAGUUCACUACGAAGCAGACCUUAAUGGAAAAUGAAAAUAUCCCAUCAACAAUUAUGUAUCCAUCAGCAGAUUAUCAGAAUUAUGGGUACACUUUGUGAAGCAGUUGGAUGACAUACCUAUUCCCAACAAUGUAACUGAAGCACUAGAAGACUCAAAAUGGAAAGAAGCCAUGAAUGAAGAAAUGCGAGCUCUCCAGAAGAAUGGCACAUGGGAACUCGUGCCAUUACCUCAUGGAAAGAAGACUGUCGGAUGCAGGUGGAUUUAUAUUGUGAAACUCAUAGCAGAUGGAUCCAUUGAAAGAUAUAAAGCUAGAUUGGUGGCGAAGGGGUGCACAUCAAGAUAUGAGAUAGACCACCAUUAGACUUUUGCCCCAGUAGCCAAGAUUAAAACUAUCAGAGUUCUUCUAUCUCUAGCAACAAAUCUCGAUUGGCCAUUACAUCAGUUUGAUAUAAAAAAAUGCAUUCUUACAUGGAGACUUGAAAGAAUAAGUAUAUAUGGACUUGCCACCAGGAUGUAACUUAGCUCGCGACAAGGAGAAUCAAGUUUGCAAGCUGAGAAAGUCAUUGUAUGGGUUAAAGCAAUCCCCCAGGGCAUGGUUUGGUAGAUUCACUAAAUCUAUGAAGAAUUUUGGAUAUAUACAGAGUAAUGCAGAUCACACCUUGUUUCUAAAGCGUGAUGGAAGAGGACUUACUGCACUGAUUGUUUAUGUGGAUGACAUAGUCGUAACUGGAAACGACAUAGAAGAGCAAUUAAAACUGCAUAAAUAUCUAUCUCAGGAAUUUGAGAUGAAGAAUCUAGGUGAUAUGAAGUACUUUCUAGGAAUUGAAGUAGCCAGGUCCACAACUGGUAUAUUUCUGUCUUAAAGGAAGUAUGUAUUAAAUCUCCUCACUGAAAUAGGAAUGCUUGGAUACAAACCUGCUAAUACACCCAUCGAGAUGAUUCACAAGUUAUGUGAAGACAUGGAUCAAGAACCAACCAAUAAGGAACAGUACCAACACCUUGUUGGAAGAUUGAUAUAUUUAGCUCACACAAGACCAGAUAUUGCAUAUUCUGUGAGUGUGGUUAGUCUGUUUAUGCAUUCACCCAGUGUGUCCCAUAGGAAUGCAGUUGAUCGGAUCUUAAGAUACUUAAAGUCAGCACAUGGAAGAGGGUUAACGUUCUAAAAAAAAUAGAGAUCUCGAAGUUGUAAUGCUGAUUGGGCUGGCUCCAUUACUGACAGACGCUUUACUUCAGGUUACUUCACUUUUGUGGGAGGUAACCUAGUCACUUGGCGGAGUAAAAAACAAAAUGUGGUUUCUCGAUCUAGUGCUGAAGCAGAGUAUCGAGGAAUGGCUCACGAAGUUUUGGAAUUACUAUGGAUCAGAAGACUAUUGACAGAAUUGGGGUUCAAGACAGAAAAGUCAAUAGAGUUACAUUGUGAUAACAAGUCACCCAUCGAUAUUGCCCAUAAUCCAGUUCAACAUUAUUGAACUAAACAUGUUGAGAUGGAUAGACAUUUUAUCAAAAAAAAAAACUUGAGAAAAAGAUCAUCCGCCUACCAUUGGUAAAAUCAGAAGAUUAGUUGGCAGAUAUCUUAACCAAAGCUGUUUGUGCAAGAGUAUUUUAUGACUCACGUACCAAGUUGGGCAUUUGUGACAUAUAUGCACCAACUUGAGGAGGAGUGUUGACGUGAGUCUCCUAAUUAAUCAAGGAGGUUUACUUCCUUGAUUAAUUAAGGGAUUUAUUUUCCUAUUUUUUAUAUAGUUGAUAAAUCAUUGUAUAAUUAGAAGAUACUUGCCUAAUUCUUUACUGUAUCUAAUUCCUUGUAUAGCACCAUGUAAACUCUUAAAUAUACCUCAUUAUGGAGAAGAAUAAAGUUAACCUAAUGCAUUCAAACCAUAUUCAUAUUUUAGCAUUCUCCUCAUCUCCUCUAAGGUCUCAACUACUCCAACUCGUGAGUUUCUCACUUUCUUAACUAAAUCAUAUAUAUUAAAUUAGUAAUUGUAUCUUUCUUUCCAGUAACGAUUUGUGAAUUUAGGCACAUUUUAAUUAUAAGGUGCACUGUCAUGAAAAUGAUUAUGCUUCGAACUCUUUUUUGCAUGAAGGGCUAGUGGUUGCACCUGCAUGGCUUAAUUUGCACCUUAUUAAAUACAAACCUAGCUAUGAUUGUUAUAAGUUAUGUAUAUUGUUUUUGCUUUAUAUAUAAAGUUUUUGUUUAGACAACUUGUAAUUUAAAUUGAUGGCCCCUUUAAAAAUAAUUAGGCAUGACUAAUUUUGAAAAUUUUAGCUCUAACAUGUGUUUUGAACACUUAUAUGUAUUUGAUAUACUUGUGUUUUUUAUUUUGGCCCCCUCAAUCUGAAAAUUCUAGCUCCGCCCGGUGAUGAUUUUCUAGAUGACCAUGGUGACGGACGUGGAGGGUAUGGCCACGGACAUGGAGGGUAUGGCCAUGGCCACCACGGCAAAGGGGGGCCUUGUGCUGCUGAGACUGAAACCAAGAAUUAGAUAACCUGUUAGUUUGUGACUUACGUUGCAGGUGUGUUGUAAGGGUUGUGGUACAAAAUAAAGUUGUUUGGUUGAGUAAUCUAUAUGAACUCUCAAUCAUAGACUCUUCUUAAGCUUGUUCUCGUGUUCUCUGUAAUGUACGCAUUGGAAUGUGUUCUCUUGUUAUGUGAUAAAAUGUGAUUUAACUUGCUCAAUACAUAUUAUGUCAAAAAUGUUUAGUAUGGCUUGGCUCCUUAAAAUUGAGAGGGAGCACAUCCUCACAACAAACGAGAUUUUGGCACUAGUUAAACUUCACAAAAAUUAAAUUUAAAAAAAAAAAAAAAAAAAGAUUAAAAGAACUCAGAAGAAAAAAAAUUAAAGGAAUUUGCCAAGUGUCAAACCUCUAUUUGUUUUGAGGAGGAACUGCUCCUCAGUUUUAUGGAGCCAAACCUUUUCCUAAUAUUAAUGGAGUUCAUGUAUGACUCAUUUGUUUUGUGUGAUCACCAUUUGGUUAAUGAAUUGUGCGCAAAAUUUAAUAGGAUACGGAUCAUCUGCUAUGAUUUUAGUCCCCUAAUAGAAUGGAUCCUACUUUGGAGCACAUGUGGUAUCGGUAGUUCCUACUCGCACUCACAAAUACAUAUUGGUUGGUCCAUUAAAAUGCAAAUAUCACCUCUCAUAUCAUUAUGCGAACAUUGGGAACAAGAGUAGUGUUUCCACCGUUGACAAGGGAUGGAAGAUCUAGCUCGACGGAAAAAUAAGGAGUAAAACUUAUAGAAGCAUGCAUGCCGUGUAUGUAUUGUUGUUAUCAUGGAUACUAAUUUGGCAAUUAAUUUUCUAAUGGGUGAAUUAAAAAAACAUUUUUAAUCUAUAUAUGUAAAGUUAAAUAUCCUUUCUUGAUGAACAAUUUGUAAUUGCAUCUCUGUAAUUUUUAUGGGUUUGUGUUCUUGGUGGUUGACUAGUCAUUGUAUGAAUGUUGAAUAUGAGUAAGGUUCAUGGAGACAAAAUUGGUUUUGGUUAUGGUUGUUCUAGUUUAUGCGUUCCUCCUUCUUUGACCACAUUUGUCAAGGAGUCAAAUAAAAAAUUUGAUGUUUUAGAGCCAACUAGGACUCAAAGAUUCAUUCCUACUUGUCACCAUUGUGGUGUGAAAGGUCACAUCCAACCUAGGUGUAAUGCUCUAAGGAAUGUGUCUAGAGCAACCAAUGCAAAUGGCUUUAAGAACCAUGUUUCAUCUCUUAAAACAUGUGAGCUUGCAAAAUCUGUUCUUUGUAAAAGGGAUAAACCAAAAAGGUUCAUUCCUACUUGCCAUCAUUGUGGCACAUUGGGACACAUAAGAUCAAAGUAUUUUGAGUUUAGGAAUUUUGAGAAAAAGUCUUUUGUUCAUUUCAAGAAAGUAAAUGAUGACUCACUUCAAGUUGAAGCCAUGGCAGAGGCAUGAGAGGCGAGAAAGACUAUGUACUUUUAUAGUGUUAUCCCCGACUAAUAACACCAUAACAUUCGUGAUAAUAUUUUAAUGUGGAAUAAUAUUAUUGAUCGAAUAUAACAAAAUAGUACUAUCCCCGUUGCGACUACGUUUUUAUCCGUGGACUGCUAGGCUUACCUAGUCUUUAAAAUGCAGUUGAAGAAUUUAUUAUUAUGAAAAUGACGUGAGAGAGGGAGGGGGUCAUAUAUUUUCAGAAUAAUUUUGCUAAAAAACGAAAGCAGAAGAAUUAAUUAUUAUGAAAAUGACGUGUAAUAAAACCACAGGUUGUGUGACAUUGCCGUACAUGCAGUCGGUGAGUCCACAGACGAACAUGCAUUUGUUUUGAGUCACAUUAAUUAAGCAGUGAAUGGGGGCACUAGUUGUCCAUCUUUAUAUGACCCAAUGACUUAAGAUAUCUAUAUAUAUGCAUACGGACUUUAAAAAGUAGAAGCAAUACAGCCUUAGAAAGGCAGUGCGUGCAUGGAAAAAGAUUAUUAGGUAACGAUAUAAAUUUACGGUACCUAAUACAUUAGCGCUAAUUGAUAAUUUUUUGAUACUCUAAUAAUAAUAUUGACAAUUAGUGUCGAAAUAUCAGGUACGAUAAGUGUCGAAUUGAGAAUAUAUUAGGUACGAUAAAUUGAUAUUAAGUAUUUCGUCGGUAGUUGGUAGGUACUUAGUAGCUAUCAAGUAAAUAUUAUAUGAGAUACGAAGAUCAACAUGAAUUAUAUCUUUGUAAUUUAGUAGCUAUGCUUGUAUCUGGUCCUGAUUUGCAUAUCUAUUAUUAGGUAAAAUACUUUGAAAUUAUUGAACUUUAAACAUUUUCAUUAAUCAAAGGGCUAUUAAGAACCCAAAGGCAAAUAUAAUGGUUUACGUGGGUGGGUAUGGAACUUGUGUGUAUUCUUUGACCUUGUCAAUCUUAUUAAUGAGUGUUGGUUGGUGGGGUCCCGAUUUGCAUAUCAAUUAUUAGGUAAAUUACUUUGAAAAAGCACAAAUCGUCAAAGUUUGUGGACAUGAGGGAUAGAUACUGUGGCUGGAUUGUCAACAAUGACAGAGUGAACGACUUUUCUUCAUGGUGUGCUUUAGCUACAUCUUCUAUCCUUCUGCGUUGGUCACAUUCAUGUAAUCUUGUACAUGAAGCAACUUACCACAAAGGCUACCAAAACUUUAAUAACUAUAGGUCCUACUACCUGUGCAUUUUUACUUGACUAAUACAAUUAGUGUAAAUGUCCUUUUACUAUAUAAUUAGGUAUAUCCAUACAAAAUAAAUCUUUAAUCUUGAACAUAUUUAUACAUGAUAUACGGAUUCUAUGACUCACAAAGAAAACCUACCAUACAUUUGUGUUUAUGUUUAAUCUCAUUUUCUCUUUUGUAAUUCCAUCUACUUUUCAUAAGAAUUUGUUUGAACCAAUUUAUAUAUAAAAACUACCCUUGUUUUUAGAUGAUUAUUGUGGUAGGAUGAAAUCAACAAAAUAGACAAACACGGUAUUUCAAGAAAAGACUAUAAUAACAACUAUCUAAUUGAAUGAUCAAAUAGUUUCGGAUCCAAGUGAUUGUCGCAAAGAUGAUCUUUGAAGAAAUAUCUAAAAACUAAAUGGUAUCGGAUUAUUGGAAUGCAAGGUGAGUCUUAUAAGAGUGUCCUUCAAAUAAGCUUAUUUGAGAAAUCCCUCAACUAAAGUCAUAUCAGUCUCCUUCUAACAGUAUAUAUAUACACACCACACCUUUUGUGAAAAUCUAAAAAUACUAAAUUAGGAAUGAAAACUGACAGUUAAAGAACUCUCGUGAUCACUCUACAAGAUUGUGACCUGAAUGAUGAAUCAGCAGCUUAAGUUUCAGCCUGUUUGCCACAUACCUUGAAAGUAUCCCACCCAAUUAAUCACACAAAAACAACUUCUUUUGACUUGAUCACACAAGACAACUUAGCUAGCUUUUAUUGUCCCGCCUCUAAUAAAAGCUUACUUAAUACGUAGUCCCAUCAACCCUACCAUCAAAGUAGGGGUUGAAUUUGGCGCUCUUUAACCUUUAAUCACCACAAGAGUCACAAAUUCUUCUCUUCUCUCUCCUUAUCUUUCCAACCCCACUGAUAUCUCAUAAAGGUCUAUAAAUAGGGACAACCAAGCCAUAUUAUACUCACUCAUCAAUCAUCUCUUGCAUACUUUCAUAUAUACAUUAUCGUGCUUGUUGUUAAGCAAAACAUGGCAUCCUCAAAGGCUUUUCUUCUUCUUGGUCUUGUCUUUGUUGUUCUCCUCAUCUCCUCUGAGGUCUCAGCUACUCCAACUCGUGAGUUUCUCACUUUCUUAACUAAAUUAUAUAUAUUAAAUUAGUAAUUGUAUCUUUCUUUCCAGUAACGAUUUGUGAAUUUAGGCACAUUUUAAUUAAGGUGCACUGGUCGUGAAAAUGAUUAUGCUUUGAACUCUUUUUCUGCAUGUAGGGUUAGUGGUUGUUGCACUUGCAUGGCUUAAUUUGCACCUUAUUAAAUACAAACUGAUCCAUGAUUGUUAUAAGUUAUGUAUAUGUUUUUGCUUUAUAUAUAAAAUUUUUGUUUGUUCUCUCAGAGGAGAGUAUAGUCAACGGUGAUGGCCACGGACAUGGAGAGUAUGGCCAUGGACAUGGAGGUUAUGGACACGGACAUGGAGGGCAUAACCACGGACAUGGAGGGUAUGGCCAUGGACAUGGAGGGUAUGGCCACGGCCACCACGGCAAAGGGGGGCCGGGUGCUGCUGAGACUGAAAUCGAGAAUUAGAUAACCUAUUAGUUUCUGUGACUUACGUUGCAGGUGUGUUGUAAGGGUAGUAGUACGAAAUAAAGUUGUUUGGUUGAGUAAUCUAUAUGAAAUCUCAAUCAUAGACUCGUCUUAAGCUUGUUCUCGUGUUCUCUGUAAUGUACGCAUUGGAAUGUGUUCUCUUGUUAUGUGAUAAAAUGUGAUGUAACUUGCUCAAUACAUAUAUUAUGUAAAAAAAAUGUUUAGUAUGGCUUGGAUGCUUAAAAUUGAGGGGAAGCACAUCCUCACAACAAAUGAGAUUUUGACACUUGUUAAAAUAACUUUACUUUUUCCUAAUAUUAAUCGAGUUUAUAUAUGACUCAUUUGUUUUGUAUGAUCACAUUUGGUUAAUGAAUUGUACACCAAAUCUAAUAGAAUAUCGAUCCUCUGCUAUGAUUUUAGUCCUUUAAUAAGAUGAAUCGUAAUUUGGAGCACAUUUGGUAGUUCCUACUCUCACUCAAAAAUACAUAUUGGUUGGUCCAUUAAAAUGCAAAUAUCACCUCUCAUAUCAUUAUGCGAACAUUGGGAACAAGAGUAGUGUUUCCACCGUUGGCAAGGGAUUGGAAGAUCUAGCUUGAUGGAAAAAUAAGGAGUAAAACUUAAAGAAGCAUGCAUGCCGUGUAUGUAUUGACGAUACUAAUUUGGCAAUUUCUAGUGGGUGAAUUAAAAAAACAUUUUUAAUCUAUAUAUGUAAAGUAAAAUAUUGUUGUAGUUAAAUUUUAAAAUAAUUCAUUUAAGAAAUUUGUGGUCAAUUUGUGAUUGCAGAGGUUCAAGAGAUUUGUGGUCACUUACUGUUGGAUGUAAAUUUAACGGUUCACUUACUCUUGCACUCCUUUUAAGAAACUUUUUUGAACUAUUGAAUGUUACAUCCAAAGGUGGGUGAUCACAAUCUCUUAGACCCCUAUAAUCCAAGAGAUCGAAACUAUUAAUAAGAUAUACAAAUGCAUGAACUAAUUUAGUUAAAUUGAUAACUCGAGGACUAAAGUGGCGAAUGAGUUAAAACAAAAGAACCAUUUCAACAUUUAAACCGAAAAAAACAUUUUGAUUAUGUGGGCUGCUUUCGCAAGAGAUAAAUAAAACCUCUUUUUCUACGACCUAGUGAUUUAUAAUAAAAUAUUAUUUAUCUUACUAUUUCUAUUGCAUGCUGCCAUAAGCCUUAUAUUUUUAUAUUGUAAUAGAGGUGAAACGCGUCACUCAAUGACUUUCAGUAUGGGCAGUAGCAAAAAUAUUAGAAAUUAAUUUAUGCAUAUGCUCAGUGCUCAAAUUUAAGGGAUGAAGCCACGUGAAGAUUUUGUUAUAUAAAAACAAAAAGAAGCAAAAAAGAAAAAUGGAAGGCCACCCCACGUGAAAUGGUGAAGCAACGGCUACAAUUACAAAGCAAACCAUCAACAAAGAAAUAAAAAAAAAAAAGCAAAAGGAAGCAUCCAAUGCAAAUUAUAAAAAAAAAAGUAAUAGGAAACCGUGCGAAUGCCAGUCUUCAUUCUUAAUAGCUACCAUGCCAAGUAUAUCAAUUUACGGUGCCUAAUACAUAGGGGUGGCAAUUUCGGAUACGACCCGAUACACGACUCGAAACCCGCACGAGAAAUUAGCGGGUUCAACCCGCACGAUAAAAAAACGGGUCAAUUUCGGGUCAACCCGUUCUGACCCGUUUAAUAAACGGAUGGGUUUCGGGUCAACCCGCUAACCCGCUAUAAUACCUAUCUAACCCGUUUAUUAAACGGGUCGUGUCAACCUGUGUACAACCCGUCAACCCGUCUCUUCUCCUUUUUUUUUCCUUCUUUCUUCUCUUCUCUCUUUUUUUUUUUCCUCUCUUUUCCUUUCCUCUUCUCUCUUUUUUUCUUCUCCUCUCUUUUUUUUUUCCUCUCUUCAGUUUUUUUUUUUCCUUCUUUCUUCUCUUCUCUCUUUUUUUUUCCUCUCUUUUCCUUUCCUCUUCUCUCUUUUUUUUUUCCUCUCUUUUCCUUUCCUCUUCUCUCUUUUUUUUUUCCUUCUCUUCAGUUUUCUCUCAUCUCUCUUUUUUCUGUCUUACUUUCCUUCAAUCUUCUCUCCUAUCUCUCUCUCUCUCUCUCUCUCUCUCUCUCUCUCUCUCUCUCUCUCUAUUUUUUUCUUUCUUUAGCUUCUCUCUUCUCUCCUCUCUCUAUCUUUUUUUUUUCUUUCUUUUCCUUAUAUUUUCUCUACUCUCUCUGUUUUUUUUUAAUUAAAAUUUUUUCGGUUGUGAGUUUUGUAACAUGCAUGUUAUUCUUUAUGAACCCGUUACACGACUCGAAACCCGCACGAUAAAAGACGACCCGAACCCGACACGACACGUUUAUUAAAUAGGUUGGGUUCGGGUUGAGCAUUCUUGACACGUUUAUUAUCCCGACACGACACGAACCCGACACGACCCGACCCAUUGCCAGCCCUACUAAUACAUUAAUUAGCACUAAUCGAUAAUUUUUUGAUACUCUAAUGAUAAUAUCGAUAAUUAGGAGUGUAUCCAAUUCAAAUUUUUAAUCACUUUUAUAGAGUUUAAAAGUUUGAAUGUAUUCAAUUUAGAUUUUUAAAGAGUUUAUAAAAGUCUAAUGGUAUUCAAUUGUGACUUUUAAAAAGUAGUUAAAGUAGUUAAAAGUUUUGUGGUAUCCAAAAAGUUAAUUAUUUUAAAAAAAGCUUAUUAAAUGAAUGACUUUUCUAUAAAAGUAUUUGAGCUAAUUGUUAAGAGCAAAAGUCUUGUUAAUUUAUACUAGUGACUUUUAUAAGUAUUUAAGAAUUUUUCAACUCUAUAAAAAUUACUCAUUUAAAAAAAAUCUUUAUAAGUAUGAAUUGGAUACACUUAAUAUUGAAUUCAUAAUAUAUCAGGUAUUGUAAAUUUAUAUUCCGUAUCAGGCAGUAAGUAGCUAUAUAGCCAUAGUUUCGAGUAAAUAUUAUAUGAGCUUUGAAGAUAAUUAACAUUUAUUCUCUUUGUACUUUAGUAGUUGGGGUUGUAUCUGGUCCUGAUUUUGCAUAUCUAUUAUUUGAUAAAGUCACCUCUGAAAAAGCACAAAUCAUCAAAGUUUGUGGACAUGAGAGAGAGAGAUUACUGUGGCUGGAUUGUCAACAAAGUGUGAAUGGCUUUUCUUCGUGGUCCUUUGGCUUCAUCUUCUACCCUUCUGCGUUGGUCACAUUCAUGUAAUUUUAUAAAGGAAGCCACGUACCACAAAGGCUACCAAGGGCUGAGUUGGAAUCCCAUUCUAAGUAAGGAUUCUUAUGGUUUCAAAUGAUCUAGUUACAUGAGAACUAGGAAAGGAGAACUUUCCCUACUUUGAACCCGACUCUUUGAUAUUAAGAAUGCUGGUUUUAAGAAUGAGUGAUUGCCCUUCUCCAACCCUUAUUGCCCAACCUAAAAGCAGACAGCUAAUGCAAUCCACUUAUUAAUAACUAUUGUAGAUUGAUCUAUAUUAAAUUGACUUGUAUUAAUAUAACUUUAUACACAGUACUAGAUAAUAUGGUAGAGAGAUUCAGAAACUUUAAUAAUUGUGACCACAAAAGGAAACAGUAUAGGUCCUACCUGUGCAUUUUUUCCUGCCUAAACCCUAAACACCUUUUGUUUUUGUGAUCAUCUAAACAUGCUAAAUUAAGAAUGAAAAUUGACAGUUAAAGACUCUCACGAUCACUCUACAAUACUGUGACCUGAAUGCUGAAUCAGCAACUUAAGUUUUAGCCCAUUUGCCACAUACCUCGAAAAUAUCCCAUCCAAUUUCAUGCAACUAAUCACACAAAAAAUAACUUCUUUUGACUUGAUCAAAAAAGACAGCUUAGGGCCCGUUUGAAAACCAUUUCAAUUUUAGUUUUUAGUUUUUUUUUUUUGUUAGAGUAUACAGGAAAAAGAAGGAGAAUGAAAUUGAGUGAAGAUGAGAUUGAGAGAGAAGAUGAAAAGAGAGGAUAAGAGGAAGGAGUGACAAAAGUGAAAACAAAAACUAAAAACUGAAAUAUAUUUGAAAUUGUUUUCACUUUUGUUCCUCCUCCCUCCCAUAUCCUCCCUUCUCAUCAUCUCCCUCAUCUCAAUCCUCACUCCCACUCUCAUUUUUCUCUAACAUUCUAGCACAAAAAAUGAAAACCAAAAACAAAAAUUGAAAUGUUUAUCAAAUAGCCCUUACCUUUCGCGUUCCCACCUUUAAGAGAUGCUUACUUAAUACGUAGUCCAUCUAAAGCAGAAAAAAAAAGCAUUGCUUGGUAAAGUCCAAAACCAAAAGAUUAAAAAUAGGGGUUGGGUUUGGCACUUUAUCCUUUAAUCGUACUUAUCUUCUGAUUUGAAAAAAAAAUCACAAAUUCUUCUUUUCUCUCUCCUUAUCUUUCCAACCCCACUGAUAUCUCAUAAAGGUCUAUAAAUAGGGAGAACCAAGCCACAUUAUACUCACUCAGCAAUCAUCUCUUGCAUACUUUCAUAUAUACAUUAUCGUGCUUGUUAAGCAAAACAUGGCAUCCUCAAAGGCUUUUCUUCUUCUUGGUCUUGUCUUUGCUGUUCUCCUCAUCUCCUCUGAGGUCUCAGCUACUCCAACUCGUGAGUUUCUCACUUUCUUAACUAAAUCAUAUAUAUUAAAUAGUAAUUGUAUCUUUCUUUCCAGUAACGAUUUGCGAGUUUAGGCUCAUUUUAAUUAAGGUGCACUGGUCGUGAAAAUGAUUAUGCUUCGAAUUUGUACUAGAUAUAUAUAGCAUUAGUGCUCUAAAAUAUAUUAAUUAUGAGAAUAUCUGGAUGUAAUUUACUCUUUCUGCAGGAAGGGCUAGUGGUUGUUGUACUUGCAUGGCUUAAUCUAUGAUGGUUAAGUGAUGUAUAUUUUAGAGACUAAUGCUAUUUGUAACACAUUUACUGACCAGAUUGCUGAUCACCUCUCUAAUAUAGAUGGGCCCCACAUAUACUGGUGAGGCCACCUCUAUUAGAGAGAUGGUCAGCAAUGUGGUUAGUAAAUGUGUUCCAAAUAGCAGCACUCUAUUUUUUUCUACAUAUUUUCUUGGGUGCUGAUUUUUCCACUCCUUUUUUGGUUUUUUAAUGCUUUUACUUUAACAUAUAAGGAAGUGUAAGUUGACAAAAUAUGAGUGGGAACAUACAAUUUCUAACAAAAGGAGUGUAAGUGGAUAAAAGAUAAGUGAUAAAAUCAGCUCUCUCUCUCUCUCUCUCUCUCUCUCUCUCUCUCUUUUUCUAUAUAUAUAAAGUUUUUGUUUGUUUUAUCAGAGGAGAGUACAGUCAACUAUGAUGACAAUUUUCUUGAUGAUCACGAGCAUGGGCAUGGGCAUGGACAUGACCAUAGGCACGUCCAUGGCCAUGGGCAUGACCACAGGCAUGGACGACAUGGCCAUGGCCACAAUGGCAAAGGGGGACCUGGUGCUGCUGAGACUGAAACCGAGAAUUAGAUAACCUGUUAGUUUCUGUAUUUAUGCUGCAGGUGUAUCGUAAGGGUAGUAGUAUGCAAUAAAGUUGUAAUGGUUUGAGUAAUAUCUAUAAACUCUCAAUCAUAGGUUCGCCUUAAGCUUGUUCUUGUGUUCUCUGUCAUGUACGGAUUGGAUCACCUUGUUAUGUACUAAAAUGUGAUUUAACUUGUUGAAUACAUAUUAUGUCAAAAAUGUCUAGUAUGGCUUGGCUACUUAAAAUUGAGGAGGACAUCCUCACAAUAAAUGAGAUUUUGAAACUUGUUAAACUUCAAAAGAAAAAAAGGUUAAGGGAAUUCCAAAGAAAAAAAAUUAAAGGAAUUUUCCAAGUUUCAAAAGUCUAUUUGUUUUGAAGACGAACUCCUCCUCAGUUUUAAGGAGUGUAAGUUUUUUCCUAAUAUUAAUGGAGUUUCAUAUAUGACUCAUUUGUUUUGUGUGAUGACCAUUUGGUUAAUGAGUUGAGCACCGAAUCUAAUGAAGUGAUUUACGAUUGAUUUUAUGUGAACAUUGGAGGCCAGAGUAGUGUUUCCCACCGUUGACAAGGGAUUGGAAGAUCGAGCUUGAUGGAAAAAUAAUAAGGAGCAAAACUUAUAGAAGCAUGCCAUGCAUGUAUUGUUGUUAUCAUGAUGAUACUAAUUUGGCAAUUUCUAGCUUGAUAAAAAAAAGAAGAAGAUAACUUAACAUCUACUCGUUUACCUAGGCAUUUCAAUACAUAUCUGUCUUCAUGUAAUGUUUACAUUUUUUAAAAGAGAAUGGGAAAAAUACAAGGAGAAGCCUCUAGGGCAUCUUAUAAAGGAAAAAAGAAUCCCAAACAAGCAUGAAAAACAUCUGCUGGGAGAGAAUAUAUCCAAACAUGUGUUUCCUAUGCCAUGGCCUUGAACCGCCAUUGCAUCUGCUAUAAAAUUAGCUUCUCGAAUAACAUGAUUAAAGAAAAUAUAUACUCAAAGGAGCAUGCCAAUCUUAGAAUAUUCUUCUGAUAGUGUGAAGGCAUCAAAAAAAUUCAGACUUGGCGUUUAUGGCAUCAAUAUAUUAGUGUCUGGAAAUCACCUUCAACUUCUAGUCUUCUCCUCUGUCUGCUGGCAACAAAGGAUAAACAAUCUUAGCAAUAAGCACACAAGUGUCUACAGUAUUUCGAGCUCAUGAAAAGAGAGGGUUCCCAUACAAAUAAUAAACCUCGACGGUCCCUGACUGGAUUUGAGCAACAAACCAUAAAAGUUGAGCAUAUAGCAAGUGGGGGAAGGUGGUUUCCAUUGACUGAGGCGAUGCUCCUGUCUAGCAUGGCGAGUCCCUUGGCCAAUGGCUCUAUAAAAAGCCACACCAACAUGUCUCGCAGUAUGUAUGACUUUGAUGAGCGGGUGGAGUUGGAGUUGCUUGAAAAUCCAUUUAUUUCUGCACAUCCCAAAGUUGUAAGAGAAGCCUAGAAUCCAAGCUAGCAAAUCUUUAGAAGGGUUUGGUCUCAAAUUAGAAGGGCAUGGUUCCAUACUUGAGAAGAAGAAGAAAGGCUGUUGUUUAUACCAUAGUCAACAGAUCUCAUUCGCUAAUGGACACGACACUGAAAACCACACAUGCCAAAGGCUUAACCAUCAUAAUCAACCGAAGUGUUAAGAUGAAGAGAAGAACAAAGAAAUGAAGAACAAGAAGAUGAAGCACAGAGAGAAUCUUAGGAGAAGAAUUAGAUUUUCUAUAUUUCGUUCAUCCCUACAAUAGCCUUAGCUAAUAUCUCACUUCUAUGACUCUCCUAACUGCCUUGUAACAAUACUUAACAGCUCACUAACAAACUUCAGGGCUGGCCCUGAUAUUUUUAAGGCCCAGGGCAACGUCGAAAAUAUACCCUAUUUAUGUAUAGCUCUACACAAGAAAGAUCAUUUUAUUUUAUUUGCACAUGUGUGUAUAUGAAACCUUUUAUAACCAUACAAAAAAUUUUAGGGCUCCGACAAAGUGUCAUUUAAUUUUUGUAUAUAAGAAAUGAUUGAAGAUGCUAUGUAUCUAUAGCUCAACACACAAGAAAAAUAAUUUGAUUUUAUUUGCUCGUGUGUUUAGAAUAUUAAAAAAUAGAACUUUUAUAACCACAGAAAAAAGUUUAGGCCUCCGACAAAAUGUUAUUUAUUUUUUGUAAAAAAGUACUAAAAAGAACCAUGCACUCGCAUAAAAAAGAGGCGCAAGGAUAUAACUAGUUACCAAAAUAUGACCACAUAAAAAAAAUUAAAAAAAUUUGGGCCCUCCCUUGAGCCAAGGCCCAGGGCGGUCACACUGACUACCCUAGCUCAAGGCCGAGGCUGACAAGCUUAACAGCUCACUAAUAAUAUUCUAAUAACUCACUCCUUAAUCUGCUAACACUUGGCACUAUCAUCAUCAUGAUAUUCUUACCCGAAUUGACUGCAAUAACCACGCAAGCCUCAAUCAAGAUUGUUGAUGGAAGACCCUACCGAUUGGUGAGGCACAAUCCGCCAUCGCUGAACGACAAUAAGGACCAUCAAAAAAUCCGAAUGUGCUUCUCAACCACUAGGCAUCAUGCUUGCCGAAGAAGGAUCCAAACAAGGCUGUCAUGUCAGUUUUAGGAUACAUGCCAUCACCACAACAAUUGACAGGAAGUCUCACAUUGAAGAAAAUGUGCAAAUAUCCCUUACCAUUUGUCUAUACACUAUUCCCAAAAUGGAAGAUAAUUAAUCAAUGCUACCAUUACUCUGUAAAAAUCAUUUCAGACUUUGCAUUUAGCUAAUUUAAGCAUCAGAGAGCUUUUGGUCGGUACUAGACCGGUGCCAAUAUUUCACCAAUUAUCUUCCUCACAGGUCAUCCUACACUUGCCGAAGGCUGCAUGAGGCAAAGUUUUGAAGAUCAGCUCCCUUUAGAGUUGCAUCCAAUUUUGGACAUCAACAACAAUUUAUGAAGAGGGUUGAAAGAUUCAGUUUUUGUCUCACAUAAAGCACACAUUAGAUUUGCAUGGGCAUUAUUUGAGCUGGUGAUUACUUUUACUUGUAAGAAUCCUCUUGAUUUGGAGGGAUAACCUCCAGUUUUUUUUUUUUUUUUUUUCCAAUGAUGGGUUUUUGGGUGAACAUUUUUUGUGUGUUGAUCUGAUUACUAUGACUAGUCAUACUAUAUAUGUUAUCUCUGUAAUGUUGAAGAAUCUUCACACACCUCUCACUUUAGUUAUUGCUAACACAAGAGAUGUCUAAAUUGACAGGUCCUUCUGAGUGCCUAGAUUGAUAGGACAUCUCACUUUAAUCAUCUUCUAAGUUUGAAUGGAUUUGAAUAUUAAUUGAUAAGUGAAUGUGUCUCUUCUGUUAUGUGUUCUUAGAUCUAUGACUAGUUGUUGACUAGUCAUAUAUUUUCUAGGAUUACUUUGUUGAUACGUCUAAUCUAUGGUCUAUCUUAUCAGCAUUUAAAUUUACCCCUUCCACCUAAUUACUAAUUUUAUUUUGACUUUGGGUGGGAUUUGGAGUUUCCAAAUUUUUGAAAGCAAAUGUUGUAAGGAUAGUACAGCCGAAAAAAUUCAACUAUAUUCUAAUGCAAAUGAUAUUGAAAUGUGGACCUGAAGAAUUGUAAACUAGUGUAAUGGGUUAAGUGAUACAAUCCCUCGAGUCAAACAGAGAGAUAAUGUUUACCAUUUGUUUGUUUGUAAUACAAUCUCAUUUAUCACUCCUUUUUCUCAGCCCAAAUGUAUGAAAUAUUAUCUUUAAUAUCUAAUCAAUUGAAAUAUUAUCUUUCAUAAUCACCCAACAAUUUGAUAUGAUGCUAGCUAUCAAUCACGCUAUCUAACCAACUUUUGACUUAGCUAUUCGUCAUUUUCAUAAUCAAUCACAAACCAAACUCUAUUGACUUUAGUUAUUGCUCCUUACAUUUUGCGCAUAAGGAAAGAGCCAUCUACACCAAUCUGACCACAUUACUAAUCACAUCUUGCACACAAACAAAACUCAUAUGAAAUUUUGCUGAUCACUAACUUAAAUACGUAGUCUUAUCAACCUAUCAAAAUCAAACAAAGCAUCUUGAUUUAAACUAGGUUCUGCCUUUUUCUUUUGGUGAGAAAAAAAAAAAUCUUAAAGGUCUAUAAAUAGAGAGCCAAGUGCCACAUUAUGUUCACUCAGCAGAAAUCAUCUACCCUUCGUACAUUAUUUGUGUUCACCUUGUGCUGAUUACCAUAUGGCAUCUUCGAAAACUUUUCUUCUUCUUGGUCUUGUCUUUGCUGUUGUCCUCGUCUCCUCUGAGGUCGUCUCAGCUCGCGAGCUGGUUCCGACUACUGCUCAAACCCGUCAGUUUCUUUCUUUCUCAAAUAAAUCUUUUGUUUCUUUUAUUCUAGUAUGAGUUCGUAAACUUUUCGAGGCACAUUCUAUAUGUGGUACAGGAUAGAUCAUGACAAUUUUUAAUGAUACGAAUUAAUUUGUAUUUAUAUAUGUGACUUGUAAAGAAAUGAAUGGUUAAGAUUUCUUUAGCUAAAUGAUGUGCCUGCAUGGCUUAAUUUGCAACUUUUCGACAUAUAUAACGUUUUUCUUUUUAUGCUAUUUUCCUCUUCUUUUUUUUUUUUUCUUUCAGAGGAAAAUGUAGAGAAGGAUAACUAUGGUGACCAUUUUCACUGCCACGAGCAUGGACUUUGGGAGCAUGGCCACGGCCAUUGCCACGGACACUGGGAGCAUUGUGGCCAUGGCUGCCACGGAAAAUGGGGACAUGGUGCUGCUGGGAGUGAAAUAGAGAAUUAGAUAUAAACCUAUAAUUUGCCUGUGGUAGUAUAUGUUGCAGGCAUGUUAUAAGGUUCAUAAAUAAAUCUUUGUUUGUCAAUAAAGCAGCAUUAAUUGGUUGAGUAGAUCCAUAACUCCCAAUCACAGCUGGUUUUUAGGGUUUAUUGAUCCUCGCCUUAGAUUUGCUACAAUGCACUUUGAUUUGCUGAGUUGAAGUUGUGUCAAAAGUGUACUGUUGAACUUUGGAAUCUAUCCUUGUAAAUAAAUAAAUUUGAAGUUUUUUUUUAAUUACUGUGCUCCACUGAAUUGAAGUGCAUUCAAUAAAAUUAUAUAACAAAAACUCUCUAUGCGUGGUUGAUUUAUAGAUAGAGUGAUAGAAAUUUGUACAAGUGUUCUAUUGUACUCGGUCCACGUGUCGUGAUGAUAUAGCUGUUAGUCUGUUUGAUAUGAUUAGGGAUUGCUUAAUAGUUAGUUUGCAGGUUAGUUUUGGCGGCAAUUGAUGACUUUGCAGAGCUGUUGAUGAUUUCGUAAAAAUAUUGUAUUCUUGAAUUUUAAUAGCACAAAGUUCUUGUUCAUAUAUCUUCGAGUCAAGGUUGAGGAUAAACUGGGUCUAAUCAUAGAAACAAAAUUGCAACCUUCUACUGGAUUUCAAAUUGGAAAGCCUCUCAUCAAUCAGACUUCACGGAAGCUCACGGCCCAAUACUUAGAGUAGUACGUAUAAAUAGCUUACUAUAUAAGUAGCCAAAGGAAGGACGUGUGCACUUUUGUUACAAUUAUGACAUCCUUAACAUACAAAAACUCUAUGUGUAUAUGUAUAUUUUAUUAGGAGAUUCAUUAUUAUAUCCAAUAUAAGAGCUCAAAUUAUAAAAAUACCAUAUAUGAAAUGGACUUUAGAAACAUACCCAAAGCUCAUUUACAACAUAACAAAAAAAACUUUUAUAAUUACAAAACUGUCAUUGAUUUCUUAACAAACUUAACCCCAAAACCUCAUAAAAAAACCCAAAACACUCAAUAGGGCAUCAAAGUAAUUUAAUAAUCAAAAUUAAAUUAAAUAGGGUCAGCUGUCAUUUUUUGGGUUUGUUUAUAGAAAUUAAAUAGUGUAGGGCUUAUUUAUAGCUUUAGUGCUAAGAAUGUAUAUGACUAAAUAUCUCUAUUUUAUUUUCGAGUCAUACUAGGGAGACCAACUUUAGAUACCAAUUUGUGUACUAUUUUCUAAUAGAGCUGGAGCCCACCAAUACAAUAGGUCACACCUCUAUUAGAGAGAUGGUACACAAGUUGGUUUUUUUUUUUUUUUUUUGAGGACCUUUCCUAUUGAAAGGGGCGAUAGCAUAUUAAACUCACACACACAACACGGAUGCUAGGACUCGAACCCAGGACCUUGCCUGAGGGAGUAAAUACUCCAAACCACUACACUAGUGGGUCCUUUGCACACAAGUUGGUAUUUAAAGUUGGUCUCCCUAGCAUUUUCUUUUUCUUUUUAUAUAUAUGAGUGCUCAAGCGCUAAUUGGUUGGUAAGAUAAGAUGAUGCUAAUCAUUCAUUUGGGCUUACUCCACAACAUCAUCUCACAAUCCAAACCGAUUUUUAGUUCAUCAUUCAAAGAUCACCCUUGUAAAAAGUUAGCCAAAUUAGACAACAUUUUGUCAUUUAGGUGUGAUCAAAUAAACACAAACACAAUUUAUUCAAGAUGAUAAUAAAAUAGUUAAAUUCUUUAUGAUUUGGCUAAUUUAAAAUGACACUAAAGUUUGAGAGAUUAACCUUAACUUUUUAUGGGUGCCAAUAACUUUCCUAUAUAUAUAAUAUAAAUAUUUUUCUCCUCUUUAUUUAUUUGGAAAAGAUGCUUUAUUAAGAGAAGUACUGUGGGGCCCAUUUGGUUCAUGAAAAAGAGACUUAGGGAUGGAAAAUCAAUUACUUUUCCAUAUUUGGUAAGUCCAGGCAUGGAAAAUGGUUGUGUGACAUAUGAGAAAGUAGAGGGAAAAGUGAAGCCCUCCUCCCAACUUGGGUGACAUAUGGGAAAGUUUAAGAAAAUGAGUCAACAUUAAAUGCACAUUUUUUAUGACCAUUUUGUCCCCAUUAACAAUUUAGAACUAUAAUAUAUCAUUAAAUAUAUUUUUUUUAUUUGAUUUAAUACGGGUAUAAUUGAAAAAUUAUACAAACUUUGUUUUCCAUUCCUACUCAAAACAAACUUAGGAAAGGAAAUAAAGUGAUAUCUCUCUGUUACUUUCCCAACAUUUCCUAACGUGAGAAAUGUUUUCCCCUCAAAUCCGUUCUGUGAACUAAAUGGGGAGGGCGGACCUACGAAGGGGCUCAACCGGGUUUUAGCCCAGUGCUAGUUUUGUACUUUAGUCUUCAUUGUACAACAAAAUCCACUACAAUUAAAUAUUAUAGCCCACUUAUCUUUUAGAAUUCAGCGUAUCCUAGCCACCAAAAUCAGAUUUUAUUUUCUUCUACCCAUUGAAAUUCUACCAUAUUUUCUAUAAAACAAAAUAUAUAUAAUCCUACCAUAUAGUAUUAAUUAGCCCAAAAAUUCUUGGUUAUAAAAGAUCUUCCCAAAAAAAAAAGAAAAAUUACCCACCCCUGAAAAAAUUCCUAGGUCCGCCAUUGAGAAGCACUUACACAAAUGAUAGGAUGAAACCAUAUGAAACCCAACGUAAGAGCCAUGAACAAAAACGUAAUCUUAAAAAAGAUUCGAGCCCUGAACUAAUUACAAAAAAACAAAGAAAAGAAAAAAGAAAAAGGAAACCAGAACACCCCUACAUGUUGCACACCCAAAAUGGCUUUGCCAGCAACAGAAAUUGUCAAGAAGAACAAAAAAAUUAAGAAAAAACUUUCAAAAAACAAAGAGAUAGUAAAAUAACACAAUCAUAUAUGGACAAGAAAAAGAAAAGAAAAACUGCAAAUUAGAGAAAGUAAAGAAAACCUGCUAAAACAACCCAACACAAAUUAAAAUACAAAAUAAACCAAGAAAACAUACAAAACAGCAAGAAACCAAAAGAACAUAGAAAUAAACCACAAAGAGUCUAAUUUAGCAGACUCUAUUAGCGGGAUGCCCAAAUAAGUUCCCUUCAUUCUCUUUGUGGUUUAUUGUGCUUUUUCUCUGUUCUUUGUGGUUUAUUGUAGGUUUUCUUUGUGUUAUGGCAAUUUUGUUUUGCUUCUUCUCUUUAACAAGCAAAGAUAAGGGUGCAAUCGUUAUCCAUUAUAAUAUUAUAAUAAUAUUAUUUUUGCCUAAUCAUGCUCAAAUGUGGAAUUCUGAUAAAGUUGGUGUUGGAGAUCAAUUAGAAAUUAACCAAAUAACAGAAUAUAACAACACGAAAAUAAAUUAUAUAUAUUAUCAAAUCAUCAAAUUAAUACAACAAAGUUCAAUACAACAGUAGAAUCAAAUAGAAAAUACUAACGUGAUUGGAUGAUAGAAUUCUGCAGAGUUGCAGUGUCCUUUAGACAACAUUUCUCCUCUACCUCUUGUGUUUGUAAGUUCAAUAGAAGGCUGUCCACUAUGAUUAAACUAUCACAAAUUAAAGCCUAAGUAAGAUGACUUUGAUUUCUGGCGAACAAUGACAUGUUUUUCUCUCAUGAAAUGAUUAUUUGUGGAGAAAUGAUAAUGUGAUUUCAAAAUUCUAUGCAUAAUGGCUUGAACGAAUUGUCUUUUAUAUAGAGGUCUGAUACCUCUUCAUCCAAUACUUGUAAGAACUGCAUAUAUAUACAGUGAGCUUCUAUUGAGGGAUUCCUCAAAUAAAUAUUUGAGGGACACCCUUAUAUGGCCCACUCCGUAUUGUAUUUCACUAAUCCAAACCGUCUAUUUUGUAGAUAUUCAUUCAAAGAUCAUCUCUACAAAAAAUCACUUGAAUCCGAUAUCAUUUGAUCACUCAAUUAAAUUAUUAAAAUUUUAAUACUUUUUUAAAACACCGUGUUUAUUUUUUGAUAUAAUAAAUUCUGUUUUUUCAAAACAAAAUUCCUGAUGGAGUUCCGAUAUGGGAAAGAAGCCUUUAUUUCUUUUGUGUAAUAUCAUGAUAUUGAACCGAGAUGAAAACUUCCUUCAUGGUUCUCUUUACAUUGUCACCCAUUGAAAUUAGUAUUUUAAAGCUAGCCUAUGAUUGAUGAGUCUAACUUCUAACAGUGACCACCGUAUACGAUUUGAAUCAAACCUAAGAGAGACCAUUCUAAAGAAUUUUUCAGAUUAAUGAUUUGUCGAAGUCUCAAUAAAAAGAAAACAGGAAAAGAGAAACUUGAUAUGCAGAUCGUAUGAAGAUUUCCAAUCCCCUUCCGCUACAAAAACAAAAGCUUCAGUGUCUCUGUUCUUUUCUUUCCUGGAAGUGUUAACAGCAUAAAAACUUUUGUCAUUUGUUAUGAGUUGCAUAGUUUGCAUGACAUCAUUAUAGCAACAUCACAAAUCGUCAUAAAUUGAAGAACAGAACCUAAGUAGAGAAUUACUCAUAUAUUUAUAUUGAGGGAAGGAAAUAUAUCAAGAAAGUAGAUUUUGAAAUAAAUAAUAGUACUCUUUCUACUUUAGCUUGAUUUGCAUGUCGGAAAAGAUUGAUAGAAAAGCGACAAAUCCACAAUACAUGUGAGAGUCGACAUGGCACUGUGAAAAGUCUUUCUUCGAAACUUCUUUGCAACCACAUCCUUUGCAUUUGCCUUCAUUUAUUAUAAAUUUUGGAAUAGCUUUUAACUUUAUUUUUAUUUUUAUUUUUAUUUCUUUGUCGGAAUGUCCUUUUGCCUUAAUUAUUGGAUCAGUGAUAAGAUGAAGCCACUGCAAACCACCAAAAAUUAUAAAGUCGAUGAAGAUAGACAGAAGCAACAUAGGUAGUGGUCCAAUCAGUGCCUACAGCUUUCUUUAUCCCUGUAAUAUCCCACAUCGACUAACGGAGAGGAAAUGAUGUACCUUAUAUGUACAUGUCCACCUUUAUCUAGCACGAGACUUUUUCGAAGUUAAGUGAGUUUGGGCUAGAGCAAUCCCAGAAUGGAUGACCCACUGGGAAGUUGCUCGUGAGUUCCCAAAAAUAAAACCGUACCCAAAGCGGACAAUAUCGUGCUACGGCGGAGCUGAUCCCGAGAUGUGACAAUCCCUCUUACAAACAUAAAUAAUAUGGUAUAAUUUAUACACAUGUAAUAAUAUGAAUGGACGACACAGACCAAUUACAGUGAGAUACAUGUACAAAAGUACCUCAUCAAAUUUACAAAAUAAAAAGUUAGGCACACAUGUGAGAUUGUGAUUUGUUUAUAAUAUGAAAUGACUCAUCCUUACAUAUGCAAUGAGCCAAAGAUUUUCCUUAAUCAGUUUGGAUGGAGAAAAUUAACUCCGAAUUGAGCUAAAAGUUAAUAAUUGAAGAGGAGAAAUUGAUAUUAAAUGACGUGCGGAAAAAAUCGUGGAAAAUGGGUUUCGAAAUUUCUAAGUUAAUUUUCCCAAAAGAGGAAUCAUUUCACACUUUCUAUUGGAUAAGAAUUUAUUUUUCAAUAUAGUUUCUAUCACUUACAAAAUUUGACAUAUAUAAAUUUAAAUAUUAAAAUUAUUAAUUGUUAAAAAUUUAAAUAAUAGUAAUAUAAAUUUCUUCAUUCAUUCGUUCAUCCAAAUCAAAGGUAAAUAGUGCCCUAGUAUAUUAGGGACGAAAAGUACCAAAACAAACCCCAAUACCCGUGCUAGUGUUGACCUUUUUAGUAGAAUUUAUCUUAUCUAUUUCUAGUGUAAUACGUGUUUUUGGACUUGUGGUGAUUAUUAACAGGUGGCAUUGGUUAUCUCGGAUUGGUGUCGGUUUCUAAUGAGUUGGUUUGUAAUGCUAAUUUCUUUUGCUCAUUGUUUCUGGGUUUCUGUAGGUUUAUUGUCAAAUUUUUGUAUUUGCCAGAAGCCUCAUCCAAAAUUGUAUAUCGCCCCCUGUUGCUGUAUGAAGGGAAAACAAAUAAGGUUCUCCAAAAAAAACAUAUUGGUUGAGACUUCACUUUUUCUUGCUGAACACAUGUAUCACGUGUCAACUUACUUUCUUUCUUCUUCUUCGUCUUUUCUAUUUUUUAUUUAAUUAAUUUUGUUUAUUUUUAAUUUUUUUUCAGUACCCCUUUUUCUUUUGUGCAUUUACGCGCUAUACGAACUGAUAUAAACAAUUCAUGACGAUUAAAUGGGAGCUUUCCAGUUCUUAACUUUACCUUAUCUUCAACUUUAUAUCACAUAUUGUACUAAUCCUUUUAAAAGCAUGACACUUUUGUGUGUGCAUUUUCUUUUGACGAUACGUUCCUUUUAAGUGAUCUUGAUGCUUGUUAUAAAUUUUGUGCAUAAUUAAGUGUUCGUUUGGCAUUGCUUAUUUGGGGUAAUAAGUGAUUUUUUAAAAAUUUUGAGAAGUCCAAUCCGUUUGGUAAACUGUAAGAAAAUCACUUAUUGUUAAAAAUUGCGAUGAGAGAAAGCUAUAGGGGAAAACAGCUAAUGAUGUGCUUUCAUUUUCUGAUUAUGCAGGAAUCAGUUUCAAAGAGGCGCUAGGUUUAAUGAUUAUGCGGCAAUCAUUUUCUGAUUAUGCGUAAAAUCAAUAUCAACAACACUUUUAACAAAAAAUUUACCAAAUGCCAAACUGCUUUCUCUUACAGCUGAUUUCUCUCAUAGCAAAUCUGAGAGCGAUUAUUUUCACUGUACAGCAAUGCCAAACUGGAAGUUAGUUUCUUGGUAUUUAACUCUUUUAAUGUUUUUAUUUAAUUAUAAAAUUUAAUUUGCCUUCUGGAGUAUACAUGUCAAUUUACUCUUCAAUAUGAACUUUAACUAAUUAAAUACGAUUUUCCCGACUUCAAAUAAUUAAAUAUAAUUAGGGACGUGGAGUUGUUGGGCUCUGAUAUCAUGAAGCAAGUAGAGUUUCCAUCCUACAAUCAAUUGUGAAUGGAGGGAGUGACCAAACUUCUUACAAGCCAUUUGUGAGAUUUCUUAACUUUUCAACGUACAUAAGACAUUUCUUCCCAUUAUCAUAUAUAUAUAUAUAUAUAUAUAUAGUAAUGUAUAGAAUUAAAACUUGCUACUCUAGCUAGCUAGCAGCUUUCUCAAUUACAUUUAGAGAUGAAUAAUAUGGCAAAAAAUAUGAUAAAUAUGUAUAAUUAUUAUCACACCUUUUGUCAGAUAAAAAUGGUGUCUAGAAAUGUAAAUAUAGAAUGAAAACUGAAAUGAAAAGGACUUGCAUAAUCAUCACUCUACAGUGAGAGGCAUGAAAGAUGAAUACGGAGAGACCAAGCCAAAUUAAAAGAUGUGAGAAACUCAGGUUGAAUUUCUCUCUCUCUCUCUCCCUCCACCACCCCACUCUAUCUUAAAGGGUCUAUAAAUAGGGAGAGCUAAUCCCCAUUAUGUUCACUCAGAAAUCACGUCUUAUCUUGUCUUGUUAAUUAUAAGCAAAAAAAUGGCUUCCUCGAAAACUUUUCUUCUGCUUGGGCUUAUGUUCGCUGUUGUCAUCCUCAUCUGCUCUGAGGUCUCAGCUCGUGAGCUAGCUGAAACUACUACUCCAUCUAGUCGUGAGUUUCUCCCUUUGUUAACAAAAACAUAUAAGUCUCUUUUAUUCCUCUGAUUUAUGAAUUUAAUUUAUGCAUGGCAUCUAUCCUUUAGUUGACGAGACGUAAUAACAUAUCAAUAAUUUUUUACAAAUCUGGAUGUUUCAUCAUUUUGCAUGUACGUACGUAUAUAUAGGUCGACGCAUACUUUUUAUAUAUUCAUUUAUCUUAUUCUCUUUCUAUAUAUAAAAGGAGGCGCAGUGUCAUGUAACCGUCCAGGCGCACUGUGCCAUGGCCGUGGAGAAAAAGGCAAUAACCCUAAACCUGGAGGAGAGCAUUGUAAAAAGAAUCCAAGUCUCAGAGGGUGCUAUAACCAUGGAGGUCAUGAACGUGGAGGAGAGGAAGACCCUAUCCAUAAAAGGCAUGGUCAUGAACACGGAGGAGAGCAUGACCCCAACCAUAAAGGCCGUGGUCAUGAACAUGGAGGAGUAGUGCUUGAACCCAUCCAUGGAGGGAAAGGCCACGGUCACGAACGCGGAGGAGAGGGAGACCCUAACCAUGGAGCACAUUGUAAACGUGGAGAAACCAAUAGAGCGUGCUACGGGCAUGGAGGUCAUGAACGUGGAGGAGAGGGAGACCCCAUCAACCACGGCAGCAAAAACAGACCAGGACAACCAGGCACCGCUGAGACCGAAACAAAGAAUUAGAUAAAACCUUGGCCUGUGUACGUGUGUGGAAAGUUUGUUUGUCAAUAAAAAGGUCUAUUACAUAUAUUGGUUGAGUAGUUGUGAACACUCAGGCAAAAUCAGACCUACUAUAUAAGGUUUAUCUCUGUACUGUUACGUAAUGUAGUCUUGGAUCCUGCUUGUUAUAUGUACUUAAUGCAUGUGUUUUAAUUUUCUGAAUUGAUAUUGUGUGUGGAAAGUGUCUAGAAUUUCAAGUUUACCUUUAAUUGCUUACUGAGUUCCAUUUGAAAUCUCACAAUUUUCUGUUUUGAUUCGUGUCAUGAAUAAAUAAUAAAUAAACUAUGAGAGGGACCAAAUAGAACUAAUGCACACCCACAAAAAGUAUCAAUUAUGGUCAAUCAAUGCAACUAGCUUCUAAAUAUGGGUGGUUAGAUCCAUAAUAAGAUGAAGCCAUUGGAAACCACCAAAGUUUAUAAAGUUGAAUAUCCUUACACAAUGGUAAUUUUCCUUCUAAAUAAACAAAAUAAAUCUUAAAUUUUAACCUGGUGAUUAUUUGUUUAUGUCUAAUCUCAUUUAUUUUUCAACUAAUUUUUGUUAGUAGUGUAUUAGAAAAAACUAUUAGUGUGCUCAAAAACAUAAAUUAAUUGAUGAAUGGUCUUUAGAGGAUCCUUUUUAUAAUUUUAGUUUCCGUCUUUAAAAAAAAUUAGUUAAGACUACAAUUUUUUUAAAAAAAAUUAGUGAACACAUGUAUCACGAGUCAACCUACUUUCUUUCUUCUUUUUUUCCUUUUUUUUUUUUUUUUUUUUCUGGGAGUGCAUUUACACGUACAAACUGAUUUAAACAAUUCCUACACAACAGCUAUUUGAUGAUAAAAUGGAAGCUUUCCAGUCGAGCUACUUUCUGUUAAUUUAUCUUUAACUUUAUGUCACGCUGAGUCUACUAAUCCUCUUACGAGCAAGACUUUUUUUUUUGUUCCCUGAGCUUUGAAGUAAGACACUUUUGUGUGCAUUUCUUUUGACGAUUAUGUCCUUUUUAGGUAGAGCUUGAGCUUGUUUAUUAAUUAUCUGCGUUAGUUUCUAGUACUUAAUGUUUUUUUCUUUGCAGACGUGGCUUAGGCCAGUUGGUUCAUAUAGUGAGUUUAUCUCCGUACAUAUUUUAAAUAUACGAAAUAUCCAAUCCAAUAUUAAUUACCAAAAUAACCAUUUGUGUCUGAAAAUAUAAAUAUAAGAAAGGAAACAAAAAUCGAAAAGACUUUUGUAAUCACUCUACAGUGAGAGACAUGAAAAAUGAAUAUUAUAAUGAGUGAGAAUACUAUUCCUGUUGUAAAUGCAUGAGUUGGUGGAUGGCCACCAUACCUCUUAAUAUUCCACCGUUGGAUUUUAUGUAACCUAUGCACUAAGUAUUUGUAAUUAGUGCUUGUAACCUAUAUGUAUAUUGUAAAUGAUGGUAUUCAAUCUCCUAUCUUGUAAGCCUAUAAAUAGGUGGUUCUACCAAAGAUUUAGGGUAGAAUAAACAUGGUGAAACUUUGUCUUUAGCAUAUCACUUCUCUCUACAUUUUCUCCCUCUAGUUUUAUAACAAUUCCACCUAUUCGUGAGUUUCUCCCUUUGUUAACAAAAUAUAUAUAUAUAUAGUUUUCUUUUAUUCCUCAGAUUUGUGAAUUUAAUUAAGCACAUCAUUCAUACAAAUCUAUGACAUACCAAUAAAUUUUGAUAAAUUAUCCUGAUUUUUCCGUAUAUAACAUUUUUGUUUCUAUGUUAACUCAUCAGGAUUUAUUAGUUUGAAAUUAAUUAUGAUUGUUGUACAUAAUCUUGGAUUAAUCUUCCUAUGGAAAUAGCUCCUCUACAACUACACAAUUUAUUUAUUUAUUUUUUUGAGGUCCUUUCCUAUUGAAAGGGGCGAUAGCAUAUUAAACUCACACACACAACACGGAUGCUAGGACUCGAACCCAGGACCUUGCCUGAGGGAGCAAAUACUCCAAACCACUACACUAGUGGGUCCUUUGCACAACUACGCAAUUUAUAUAGUUGUGAAAUAGCUCCUCUAUUAAUUAGUAAGAUUAUUCUAACAUUCAAGAUAAGUUCUAUAAGGAGAAUGCCCCAUAUAUGAUGCCGUGAAUUAGCCAUCCAUAUAUAUAUAUAUACAUACAAGGAGUUUUAGUUGAGGAAUUCUUCAAAUAAGCUUAUUUGAGGGACAUCUUUGUAGUGUCCAUUUCGUAUUAUUUCACUAAUCCAAACUGUCUAUUUUGUAGAUACUCAUUCAAAGAUCAUUUCUACAAAAAAUCACUUGAAUCCGAUAUCAUUUGACCACUCAAUUGACGUAUUGAAAUUUUAGUACUUUCUUGAAGCAUCGUGUACAUUAAUUUUGUAGGACACAAUUGGAUGUCGAAACAAUUUUCGAUUUGUCUAAUUUUUUGAAAGGAUGAUUUAUGAAUGUAGACUUAAAAAAUUGAUGGUUUGGAUCAUUGAAAAAAAUUCAUAGAGGACCCUAAAGGGUGUCCCUCAAUAGAAGGGGACUGUAUAUACAUAUACAAUUAUUCUCUUAUCCAAAUAUCUAUACGUUGUUACCAUACGGAUGUAAAAAAUACAUGGCGUUCGCACGAUAAUAACGUUUGUACUGUCCAAUAGAAAAUAAACAUAUUUGAGAUUCACCCUUGUAUGGCCCACUACACAUUAUAAUUAAUGAUCUGAACUGUCUAGUUUUUAAAUAUUCCCUCUUAGAUCAUAUAUAUGCAAAAAAAUCAUUUGAAUUCAAAACCAUUUGGCUACUCAACUAUAUGAUUGUUAUCAUAAACUUUUUUUUUUUUUGAAGCAUCGUGUUUGUGUAUUUUAUUAGUUCCAAUUAGAUACCUUUUUAACUUUUAAUUUAUAUGAUUUUUUGCAAGAAUGAUCUAUGAAUGAAGGUUUAAAAAAUAGAUGGUUUGAAUGGUUAAAUUUAUUUCCGUAGAGUAACCUAAAGAAUGUCCCUUAAAUAAAAUUAUUUUAGAGAUCCCUCAAUUAAGGAAAGAAAAAGACACAAUCGUUAUCCAUUUAUUAAUCCUGCUCAAAUGUGGAAUUCUAAUAAAGUUGGGUGCAUUAGGGUUUGUAUGAUAUUAUAUUUUUCUUAUAAAAUAGUUUCGAUGACAUCAUUGUAAGACAUCACAUAAGUCGUCAUAAUUUGAGAAGCCAUUAAAUUAGAUUUAAAGGUGGAUAUAGGUCCAAGAGAAUGACACUGUAUGUACAUAUAUGGAGGAAAAGAUAUAUAUCAAGUAAGAAUAUUGUAAAAGAUUCUGGAAAAACUACAAAUCAACAAUACAUGGCAGUGCGAAAAGUCUUUGUUCAAACCUUUUUUUAUUUCGGUAGAGAGGAGGGCUAAAGCCCAAUACAAAACACGAACUAAUAAUUAAUAUUAAAUGGUCGAUAGCAAGGGAGCAUCCCAAAUAUGGAGACCCAAAGGCUUAAUAAUUUGGCAACCAGAAAAAAAAAAAAAGCAUAUAUCAACAACAUAAUUGUUUUCCCUAAACACAUGAUGAAUCUGACACAUACCAUCAGACAUAAUAGGUUUGCAACAAGAUAUAAGACUGAACAACGGGUGCAAGGGAUCACAACUAUGAGCAUUAUGACCUAAUUUUUUAAUAAUUUUUUUUUGUAGGAAUACCUUUUAGCUUAGUUAGAUCCAUAAUAAGAUGAAGCCAUUGGAAACCACCAAAGUUUAUAAAGUUGAUGAAUAUCCUUAGACAAUGGUAAUUUUCCUUCUAAAUAAACAAAAUAAAUCUUAAAAUUUAACCUGGUGAUUAUUUGUUUAUAUCUAAUCUCAUUUACUUUUCAACUAAUUUUUGUUAGUGGUGUAUUAGAAAAAACUAUUAAUGUGCUCAAUAACAUAAAUUAAUUGAUGAACGGUCUUUAGAGGAUCGUCUUUAUAAUUUUAGUUUCCGUCUUUAAAAAAAAAUUAGUUGAGACUACAAUUAAAAAAAAAAAAUUAGUGAACACAUGUAUCACGAGUCAACCUACGUUCUUUUUUCUUUUCCUUUUUCUUUUGUGCAUUUACACACGGAUUUAAACAAUUCCUACACAACAACUAUUCGAUGAUAAAAUGAAAGCUUUCCAGUCAAGCUACUUUCUGUCAAUUUAUCUUUAACUUUAUGUCACACCGAGUCUACUAAUCCUCUUACGAGCAAGACUUUUCUUUUGUUCCCUGAGCUUUGAAGUAAGACACUUUUAUGUGCAUUUUCUUUUGACGAUUAUGUCCUUUUUAAGUCAUGAGCUUGAGCUUGUUUAUUAAUUAUCUGCAUACGUUAGUUUUUGGUGCUUAAUGUUUUUUUCUUUGUAGACGUGGGUUAGGCCAAUUGAUUUGGACAGUGAAUUUGUCUUUGUAAAUGCUUUAAAUAUACGGAGUAUCCAAUCCAAACUAAUCACCAAAAGAACCAGUUGUGUCUAGAAAUAUAAGAUCGGAAACUGAAAUUGAAAGGACUACUUUUGUAAUCACUCUACAAUGAGAGACAUGAUAGAUGAAUAUUAUAAUGAAUGAGAAUACUAUUCCACCUAUUCGUGAGUAUAUAUAUAUAUAUAUAGUUGUCUUUUAUUCCUUAGAUUUGUGAAUUUAAUUAAGCACAUCAUGAAUACAAAUCUAUGACAUAUCAAUAACUGUUUGAUAAAUUAUACUGAUCUGUCCGUAUAUAACAUUUUUGUUUCUAUGUUAACUCAGGAUUUAUUAGUUUGAAAUUAAUUAUGAUUGUUGUUCAUAAUCUUGGAUUAAUCUUCCUAUGGAAAUAGCUCCUCUACAACUAUGCGUUUUAUAUAGUUUUGAAUGUGCUAUUAAUUAGUAAGAUUAUUCUAACAUUCAAGAUAAGUUCUAUAAGGAGUGUUGAUGCUCAAAAAUGGUCCAACACUUUUGGGGCAAACUUAGUGAUGUUUUGAUAUUCAGCAUCUUUUGAGCUUCAGUAGAGCGAUCGAUCUGCAAGAUAGAAAACGCUCCGUAAGCCCUUGGGCACCAGUGUGGUACCAGUCGAAGGCUCUAUGAUGCUUAAGUAAGAAUAAGUACGGAGUGUAUAGUAAUCUGGACAGAGUAAUGGCUGAAUUGCCGAAAGUCUCGGUUAUACCCUUUGUGGGACUUGUGCCCACUUUUAUAAGUCUUGGGGAGGUGUGCAUGUUAUGUGAAACUUCGAUGUGGGAUUGUUGAUAUUGCAUGUGGUGGCUCCACGUGUCUCAACAAGGAAAUGGUUAGUAAGAGGUCUUGUGUUGUAUUCGACAGUAAGGGGUGCCGAACGCUCCUUACCGAUGGCUUCUUACUUUCCAUGUGGGAUCUUCUCAUUGGUCAAUCAUAUAAGGUAUAAACAGGAGUCCCUUAAGUUUCCAUCUGAGAGAAUCUUCUUAGUUGGGGACUUGCUCUUAUCAUCAGUACCCUGGUCAACCAGGGUUUUGUUUACAAGGCGUUGCUCGGUAUAGGAUGUUUAAACAAUCCAUGGUGUUCCGUUCGGUACCCCUCUCUGGGGUAGGCAUUUCAUCGGCAGUGUUAGUGUUUUUGUAGGAAAUUGUAUUCCUGGCCUUUCAUGGGCCAUAAAAGUAUGUAACGUUCGGUAGAAGUGAUCUCCCAAACAGUAAAGCGUACUGGGGCUACCUUCUUGGCAUGAUAAAUACGCAGUGCCGAUCGGUAGUUUUUAGAAUCUUCUGAACAUUUACGUGGAUAACAUGACGCUUAGUCUUCUAUGUGUGGUGUGCGCGUUGGGAAGCGAAACUGAGAGCAUGGGAUAACCUUCCGUGCAUAGCGUGUAGGUUGCUACCGCACAUUACUGGUGCCACGUGUCGUGAGCACGCAUGCGAAAUGAAGUAAUGAUGGCCUCAGUUGCAUUAUUGAGGCGAACCAAUUGGUUUCGUCUGUAUAAAAAGGAGGUGACUUCGGAUUUGGAAAUCACUUGUAUUGUGAGAGCCAUUUGCGAGCUUGUGAAGAGACGAUUUCCGGCAAGCAUUCUUCAUUGAGAAGGCGAUUUUCGGCGACUGUUUACACGGCGGAGAGAUUUCCGGUGACUUUGUCAACCGUAAAAAACAAGGCAUGUUGCUCUCUUAGCUUUCUUUUUCGAUCAAAUGCACCCUUUUGGCUUGAACUAGUCUAUGAAUAUGUAUGAUCACGAAGAAUGUUCGGUAAUCUAUUUGCCGUAAGUAGCAAUAAUCAUAGGACUCCCUAGUUUGAUCUUUGCAUGGCAUUUAGUUUCCCUUUCAUUUCUAUUUGUAGGAAAGAUCAGGCUGGAAUUUUUUAGGAGAGGGCACCCGUGUUUGCAAGGUGAAGAUCCGGCAGACCACCCUGGCCAUUUUUUGAGAUUGGCUGGAAGCCUAGCCCAGUUGUGCAAGGAGGAAAACUCCCAGCUGCCUGGCCUUGCUUUGGCUGGAAGAUUCGGCCAGCUGUUGCAAGGAGAGGGCCUAAAUAGUGCGAGUUGGCUGGAAACCCAGCCCAUUUGCAGGAAUUGGCUGGAAGCCCAGCCCGGAUGUUGUGAGGGCACCCGGUUGACAAAAAGGUCACGCAAAGUGGCUGGUGAGACAAUUCCAAAGCGAUCUUGAAUUUACUUAGUUGACCAUUUAUUCCAAACCCAACUAGUUGUAUUUUAUUUAUUUAUUGCUAUUUGUUUAUUGGCUAGGCUCCUUGGAAUUGGAUACCACACCCAAACAAAAAUAAACCAAGAAAACAUACAAAACAACAAGAGACCAAAAGAACAGAGAAAAAAGCACAAUAACUCACAAAGAGAAUCAAGGGAACUUACUUGGGCAUCCCGCUAAUAGAGUCUACUAAAUAUUCUUCUGUUUAACAAGCAAAGAUAAGGGUGCAAUCGUUAUUCAUUAUAAUAAUAUUAUUUUUGACAAAAAGCAUUUGCAAUGGUUAUGAUCAAUGCAAUUUUAUUGCAUGAAAUUGAACAAAAACAAUAAAAUCUCACUUGCAAUGGUGUUAAAUGCAAUUACAAUACAUGGUGCUAUGUGAUGAACCCUGUAUUGCAAUUGCAAUAGGCUAACUAUGGACCCAUAUGUCAAUUAAAAAAAAUAGAAAAAAAAAAUACAUCAAUUAAUGUAUUAUGUUGUUAAGAGUAUCCGCAAUGGUUGUUCAAUAGUUCAAUGCCAAAAAAAAAAAAAAAAAAUUCAAAUAUUUUCAAAAUUGUUCUCGUUUUAAAUAUCUCGAUCUCUUUGAGAAUAUUUCAAUUAUACAAUUUUUAGUGUUAUUAAAUUUAUCCAUUUUAUUUUAUUUGAGUAUGUGAAAAAAAAUGUAAGAAGAUAUAAUUAUUGAUAUGAAGUUAUUGAACUGUACCAUUACAAAUAAAACUGUUGUUCAAUUCAAAAGAUGCCAAAAUAAUUCAAUAAUUAAACUAUUAAUAUUGAACAACCUUUGUGGAUGUUGUAAUCAUGCUCAAAUGUGCAAUUGUAAUAAGCUGGAUGCAUUUGUAUUUGUAUAAAAUAUUAUAUCUUUAUUGGAAAAUAGUUUGCAUUAUAUUAUUGUUGCGACAUCACAAAUCGUCAUAAAUUGAAGAACAAAACAUAAGUAGAGAAUUACUCAUAUUUAUAUUGAGGAAAAGAAAUAUAUCAAGAAAGUAUAUUUGAAAUAAAUAAAUAGUAACGUUUUGACGUUUGCUAGGUUUCUAUUAGGCCUGCAAUUCGGCUGGAACAGAUCAAAAACCAGUGUUUCAAAUUUCAAUCCGAAAAAAUUCGAAAUUCAAUAUGCCUUCCGAUUCCAAUCUGAAUUUUAAAAAAAUUUCAAAUCUUAUUCCUAUUCCAAAUAUUCGGAUAUAUCGGAAAAAUCGAAAAUUUCCAGAAAACAUUAGUCUUAAAGAUUUUAUAUGCUUAAUUAUGCAUUUAGCAUUAAUCUCAACUGGGCAUUUUGUUAAAAGCCCAAAUUGGGGAAAUAAAAAGAGCCCAAAACGAUUUUGAAUUGCAGGCCCGCUUACAACAGUACGCUAGCCUUACUGUGCUGAGGUGAAGAUAUUUAUAGAGCAGGAAAAGACUGAAGUUCUGUUUGCAGUUGAUGUGGCACUGGCAGUCUGGCACUGAAGUUCUUUUUGUUAUAUGGUAUGUUUGGUGUUGAGAGCAUGGGGGUUUCAGUGGGUUUUCGGGUAUGAGAAUUGUUGCACAACCAGGAGAUAUAAGCAUUAGAUUGCAUGAAUAGUUUUUGAAUUUUGUUACAAUAGGAAUUAAUUUUGAUUUGUUUCUCUUUGAAUUUGGGUUCUUUUGGAUUUUGUGAGUGGGCUGCUGUGGUAGCGUCGGAGGGGUUGGAAGCUCGAGAAGGAAAUGUUAUUAACGCUUUCUGCUCUUCGAACAAAGAGGGGCUCAAUUAGAGACAGGGUGCAAGGCGGGGUUGCCAUUGGAGUAGGAAAAAAAUGUGCUGGUGCUUGGCAACGGGUUAAACUCAAAGUGAGAGAGAGAGAGAGAGAGAGAGGAAUGAUAAGAUCUUUUGGUUGUUGGGAAGGGUGGUUGGGCUGUUCGAGAUAAGGCAGUGGGGAGGGUUGGAGCUGCUGGUUUGUGUAAAAUGCGUAUUUUUAAUUUUUUGUUAUUUUAACAAAAACAAAUAGUUCAGGGCAAGGAGUCUGGGUUUCCAUUGGUUUAUUGUCAAAUCUUUGUAUUUCGGAGAAACAUCAUCCAAAUUUGUAUUUAGCCUCCGUUGCUUUAUGAAGGUAAAACUAAGGGCUGUUGGGUAUCCUAUUUGGAUCUAAUUUUAUAAAUUAAAAACAAAUUUUAAGUCUAAAACUUAAAAAACCUAUUUGGUAAGCCCAUUUUUAAAGACCCAAACCCAAAACAAACUCGAAAACACCCAAUUAUUGAAAACAAAAACAGUGAGGUUUUAUAAUUUUUUUUUCUUCUCUCUCUCUCUCUCUCUCUCUCUCUCGUCGGUUAGUGGUUCUGGGUCCAAAUCGUGUUUGCAGCUCCAUCAAGGUCUCCUUUGUCCACUACCCGACCCCAAAUUGAUUAAUCAUUUUUCAUGUUUUGGGUUUCUAGGAUUUCUAUUGAAAUCUCAUAGGUUUUUCUUUUUCUUUUGUUAAUUUCAAUUUGGAAAUUUAAGGUUUUUUUAAUUUUAAUUUUAAUUUUAUUUAGAUCUUAAAAAUAGUUUGGAGUUCAAUACCAAACAAGUUUUUAGAUCUUAAAAACACUAUUUGAAAACUCAUUUAAAAAAAAAAAAAAAAGAAUUAUAGUUUUUAAGUUUAUUGUUUUGAGUAGGAUAUCAAAUAUGGCCUAAGAUUCUCAACCCAAAAAAAAAAUAAAUUAUUGGUUGAGACUUACUUUUUCUUGCUGAACACAUGUAUCACGAGUCAAGGAUACCAAACAUGGCCUAAGAUUCUCAACCCAAAAAAAAAAAUGUAUUGGUUGAGACUUACUUUUUCUUGCUAAACACAUGUAUCACGAGUCAACCUGCUUUCUUUUUUUUUUUUUUUUAUUUUUUCUUCUUCUUCCUCUUUUCUAUUUUUUUAUUUAAUUUGUUUUUACUUUUUUUCUGUCCCCCUUUUUCUUUUGUGCAUUUACACGUUAUACAAACUGAUAUAAACUAUUUGAGACCAAAAAAAACAAACAAACAAACUCAAAUAAACAAUUCAUGCGCUCCACAGCUACAUGAUGAUAGAAUUGAAGCUUUUCAGUUCUUAACUUUACCUGAUCUUCAACUUUUUAUUACAUAUCGUACUAAUCUUUUUAAAAGCAAGACUUGUCUCUUUUUUCUGAGCUGUAAAAUAAGACAAUUUUGUUUGUGCAAUCUUUUGACGACACUUUUUGUUUUUGCUUUUUUUUUUUAAGGAUAUUUUUUAUUGAGAGGGGCGAUAGUAUACUAAACUCACACACACUAUACGGAUGAUAGGAUUCGAACCCAAAAUCUUUUCUUGGGAUGCUAAGACACUAUACAUCCUUAUCUUGAGCUCGUUUAUCAAUUUUGUACAUAAUUGAGUUAGUUUCUUGAUAUGUAAUCUUUUUAACAUUUUGCUUUAUAAUAUUUAAUUUGCCUCCCCGAGUAUAAAUGUCAAUUUACUCUUCAAUAUGAAGUUUAACUAAUUUAAUAUGAUUUUUUCGACUUCAAAUAAUUAAAUAUAACUGGGUGACGUGGAGUUGUUGGGCUAUGAUAUCAUAUGAUGCAAGUUGAGUUUCCAUCCCAAAAUCAAUUGGGAAUGGAGGGAGUGACCAAAAUCCUUAUAAGUCAAUUGUAACUUUUCAAUAUAGGACAUUUCUUCCCAUUCUCUUACAUAUACACAUAUACAUAUAUACUAUAGUAAUUAAAGAAUUAAAACUUGCUACUCUAGCUAGCAGCUUUCUCAAUUACACAUUUAGAGAUGAAUAAUAUGGCAAUGACAGACUACAGAGUUGAGCAUAUAUAUGAUAAAUAUGUAUAUAAUAGCUAGCAGCCUCAGCUCGUGAGCUAGCUGAAAUUCCUACUCAUCAAGCUACUCGUGAGUUUCUCGCUUUCUUAACAAAAACAUAUAGUUCUCUUUUAUUCCUCCGAUUUGUGAAUUUAAUUAAUCACAUGCAUACAAAUGGUUGGAAAUAUGAGUACUAAAUUGCUAUAAAAUAAACAAAAUAAAUACUGCACAUAAAACAGAUUUUUACAAAAAGGAGAAUUGAAUUAGAAGAACCUUAAUUGAGUCGAGGCAAGUGUUGGACACUCUGACCUUAAGACGAAUUACGCCCCACACUGGUGCUUAUGGUUCACUAGCGUUCGCCUCUCAGGAUACAAUGACUCCCCUCUUUAUGAAAGAAGCACUGCAAUUCACAAGAAACUUUGAACCAAAAUUAUGAAGGAACCUCUCUUUAUGAAAACUCUAAUGCUCUCUAUAUAUGAAAGUAUAAAUGUAGAGAAUUGAUUGAAUGAAUAAAACUGCAGGAGGAUUGCUCUAUUUAUAGAUGAUGAAAUACCCUUUCCAAAAAGGUAUCCCAAUCUGAAAAGGCAAACAAUGCAUCCAUUGGCCUGAAGAGUUGUCACACCAAACAAUGCAUCCCUUGGUUUAAAGAGUUGUCACCCCCCAUGUAAAGAUGUCUUUAACCCAAUGGUCAUGUCUUUAACCCAAUGAAUUUUAUUAAUUUCCAUUCAAAUAGGAAAAUUAAUAUUAGUUAAUAUUAAAUUUCCAACAAUCCCCCACAUGAAUGGAAAUUGACUCAACUAUAUGCAAACAAAAAAUAAAGACAUUAGAGAGAGUCCCUUAUUAGAAGAAUACUGCAUCUGAAUAGGUAGCUUUUGGCCUUGAACCUUCCAUAGUGGAAUACUAUUGGAUUUACUUGGCUAAUCAAUGAACGUGAUGUCUUGAACUGUUCAGCCGUUUGUGUAAACCCAGACAAUAGCACUCACACAAUACCCUUCUAAACAUAUCUAGUUCGAUUGGUUGUGCUCGUUUUGGCCCUGAGCAACUCCUGGCAUUCAUAAGUGCUUUAGAGAAUUUAGCCCUGAAAAUUCUCAUAGAAACGGCCUCAUUUCACACUCACAUAGGUGACUUCCUAUUAAGAGUAUCUUGCCACUACCCCACUCGGAUUUCCAAGCUAUAGGAAUCAUUAAAAUCAAAGAUUACCCUAAAACACGCUACAGGCAACACUGUUUCAUCAUAGGACAUGGGUAGGAGAUGUAAUCUCGGCAGUGCUACUCUUUAGUCAUCCAUAAUUUGGUUGUCCCUUUUGAACCUAGAUCUUGGGAUCUCCAGUCAGCUAGGUUGGGUAUCCACUAUGGAGACUUUAAAUAUUUAGGCUUAUACUCUCAUUCUCCUCGAUGAUCAACUAACUCUCUAGUCUGACCUUUAAAUAUUGGAUCCACUAGGUUGACUAUUUAUGUAAUAUAUUGCCAUCAUAAUUUCAUAUAUGGAAAUAUAUUCCAUUCAGGAGUAGUUGUACUACAUUGAGCAUUUAAUUUAUUUUGUUAAGACUUAAUAAUUGCUCCAACUGAGUAACCUUCUAAUACUCAGUUAGACACCCCCACAUUGUGGUACUUAUAGGAAGGUCUCUAACCUUCUCAUACCCAUAGAACAAAAUAUCGAUAAUUUCGCCGAUAUUUCGGCGAAAUUAUCGUUUUUUUGGGGCUACGAUAUUUUAGCACAUUUCCAUAUAUAUAUCGUCAAUUUAUCGAUAAUUUCCUCGAUAAUUUCGCCGAUAUUUCAAUAACGAUAUUUUCGUUCAAGUUGUAGCUUUAAAUGGACAAUAUAUCGCGAUAUUAUCGAUAAUAUCGCGAUAUGAACUUACAAAAUUAAACUCAGCCUUCAGAUGAACCCCUCAGCCUCUGAAACUCAGCCUUUCUCUGUCUCUCAACUCAGGAAAAAAAAAAAAGCAGAAAGAGGAGAGCGAGAGAGAAGGGAAGAAGAGGAAAAAAAAAAUUAUGGAGUGGGUUUUUAUGUUUUGCUAUUUUGGAUUGUGAUGAAGCGAUAGAGAAGAGGGAAGAGGAAGCAAGGAAAGAGACGGAGAGAUAGAAGAAGAAAGAAAAAAAAAAAAGCAGAUAGAGAAGAGCGAGAGAGAAAAGGGAAGAAGAGGGAAAAAAUGUGUGGAGUUGGUCUUUAUGUUUAAGUGUUUUGGAUUGUGAUGGAGGAGAGAGAAGAGGGAAGAUGAAGAAGAGAAAGAGACGGAGAGAGAUGGAGAGAUAGAAGAAGAAAGGGAGAGAGAGAGAGAGUGGGAGUGUGAAACGGAAGAGGAAGAAGAAUAAAUAAAAAAAAAUAAAAAGGGAGAGAUGGGUGAAUGCCCAAAAGAGAGAGAGAAGGCAGGUUGCAUGUAUCUGCAACCUUGGGAAGUUCAAACAAAAAAAAAGGUUAAAAAAACCUUGGGAAGUGGAAGAGGGAGGCAGGAAAACGUGAAAGUAAUUGGGAAGUGGGAAAUGUGACUUAAUUACUUAAUAUAAUUUAUUUUUUUUCUAUUUAAUUCAUUUAAUGUUAUUGAUUAUUUUAUUAUUCAUUAUAAGUACUUACAUUACUAAAUUCUCCUUCAAAUUGUUACUUAAUUACUUAAAUCUUUAUAAUCAUUUUCAUUAUUUGCUAUUUAAUUCUUCCUUGGAUAAAUUUAUUUAUGUUCUUAGUUAAUUUUUAAUCUUCACUAUUAUUUUUUAAGCCUGAUAAAGUGCCUAAUUUUCAUGAAAAAUCAAAUUGGUUUACAUCUUUAAUUAUUUUUUAAUUUUUGAUAAAUAAUAAAUAUAAGAACGUGUACCAUGUCCAAUGAAUAACGUGAAAUAAAUUGUUGCUUAAUUACUUAAAUUUCUAUAAUCAUUUUCAUUAUUUCCUAUUUAAUUCUUCACUGGAUAAAUUUAUUUAUGUUCUUAGUUAAUUUUCAAUCUUCACUAUUAAAGUGCCUAAUUUUCAUGACAAAUCAAGUUGGUUUACAUCUUUAAUUAUUUUUCAAUUUUUUAUAAAUUAAUAGAUAUAACAACGUGUACCAUGUCCAGUGAAUAACGUGAAAUAAGGUUACUCAUGUAUCUUAUCAUGCAAUUUAUAAAGAGUAAAAUAUUGUACUAAAAAAUGAUAAAUAAAUUACUAAGGAGUGUUUAAUUCUCUUUCAUUAAUUACUUCAGAUUUUCUAAGUCACAGAGUUUGUCAGGUCGCAAUAUAAUCAACUUAAAUCACACAAACCCACUAUGCAAUGCAUUUUCUUCCAAUUUUUUGUGUCAAAAUAAUAGAUGAUUGACUAAAUAAACUUCUUCUAAAGUUUCAUUAAAAAUUUCCAAGUAUUUAUCAUAAUUUCCGUGGUUUUUAUCCAAUUUUUAUCGAUAUCGAUAUUUUCCCGAUAUUUCCAUCGAUAUUUCCGUGUUUUUGAACCACCGAUAUUUCCGAAACUAUCGAUAUUUAAGACCUUGCUCAUACCUUAUUUAAGAGAAAUUUAAACUCUUGUGAACAUCAAAGCCUCUCUCCACAAAAACGUGGUGCUUAUGAACUAAUCUAGAAAACUUCCAUUUUCUCUGUUAGUAAAUAGAAUUCCAAAUUUUCCUUCAUGUCUGUCACCCCCACAAUUUUUACAUAAUUGUGGAAGGUAUUAAGCAAUCUGUUAAUCAUUUUUUCCAUAUGCCUAAGAAGUAGAAAACUUUUACUUUAUCCUUAAAGAAUGAGAUAAUAGUUCUAUAGUAUUAGUUUAUAAUUUCCUUUAAAUCAAUUUAAUGUUGCAUUAGUAAUAGAAUCAUGUUUAUAACAUAAUUAACAUGUUCUAGUUACCAUACCCUCAUUAAUUGAUUAAAGCAAAUCAUUAUAAAACUAAUUUUCCUUUAUAAAGUGCACAUCAAUUUAUACAUAGGGUAAGGCUUUGGUACCCUUUGUCCGUAUGCAUCUCAUUCUGUAGGUAGUACAAUGGAGAUAUUUAUUCUUAAAAUAUCUUCACUUCUUAGGCUCUUUGUAAUAGAACUACUAAUUAGCUUUCCCCCUUUGAAGCCUCAAAGUUUUCAUACCAAGUGCCUCACUCGAAAUACCUUGACUGGUUUCUAACCAUGACCAACAUGGUUGCUGGCAUGACCUAUGAUUGUUAACAUAGUCCUAUAUGGUUUCUCAUUUCUCAUACAGCCACACAAUUUACAAAACAAAAUUUUUGCAAAUUUCUGAACUGUAAACAAAUUGAUAUGUCUCGUAAUAGAGAGCAUGUGGGUUUGUACACUUUCCCGCAUAUCAAUUCUAUUGGAUUGCAGCAUGAAAAUGCCUCCUGGAAGAUAUCAAUGUUGGUUUGAAAAUGCUGCUAUAAUAGCACCUACUAACUUAAAAGAAUCUAACCAAAUGGGUUUGUAUAUCUCCAACAGCCCCAACACGUUGCAUGAACCUAAUAUUCUAUACAAAAUCAUAGAAUAUAUGUUUUGACAUAAAAUGGGUUGCCUUCACAAAAUUUUGUUUUGCCUAACACAGCAAAACUUCCAGAUUUCGAUGUCCAACAGAAACAAAUGCCAAACAAAAAAAUAAGAAAAAACGAUGCUAUAAUUCAGAGGGAAAUUUUCAAUUGUAUAUAUACUUUGUCUAACAAUAGAAAGAGAAUGCAAUCAGACUUUCUUUGUGGCAAUAUUGAUGAGUGGGUCCUAUUAUGAUAACUUAGAUGUCUGCAACUUUGAAUUGUAUAAAACAAAAAGAAACUGAAUGGAAAUCCAAUUAUUAAAAAAAAAAAUGUUUACCCAGAAGUAAUGAAACACUUGAAUGAAUAACCAAUUAAUUUUAACUCAAGUCAACAAUGCAGUGAAUCUGUAAUACGCAUCAAAAAUCAUUUUACACUUUUUCAUCUAAAUGCAUAAUAUCACAGACUAAUAUACAUAGCAAUUAACACAAAUUAAUUUGUCUUAAGAUUGUUGGAAAUAUGAGUGCUAAAUUGCUAUAAAAUAAACAAAAUAAAUACUGCACAUAAAACAUAUUUUUACAAAAGGAGAAUUGAAUUAGAAGAACCUUAUUUGAGUCGAGGCAAGUAUUGGACACACUGACCUUAAGAGGAAUUACGCCCCACACUGGUGCUUAUGGUUCACUAGCGUUCGCCUCUCAGGAUACAACGACUCCCCUCCUUAUGAAAGAAGCACUGCAAUUCACAAGGAACGUUGAACCGAAAUUAUGAAGGAACCUCUCUUAAUGAAAACUCUAAUGCUCUCUAUAUAUGAAAGUAUGUAUGUAGAGAAUUGAUUGAAUGAAUAAAACUGCAGGAGGAUUGCUCUAUUUGUAGAUGAUGAAAUACGCUUUCCAAAAAGGUAUCCCAAUCUGAAAAGGCAAACAAUGCAUCCCUUUGUCUGAAGAGUUGUUACACCAAACAAUGCAUGCCUUGGUUUAAAGAGUUGUCACCCCCCAUGUAAAGAUGUCUUUAACCCAAAGGUCAUGUCUUUAACCCAAUAAAUUUUAUUAAUUUCCAUUCAAAUAGGAUAAUUAAUAUUAAUUAAUAUUAAAUUUCCAACAAUGUGCACAAGAGAUAUCAUGACCAGAACAUACAUAUAGUGAGAUUCUUUAUGCCUGCCAUUUAUCCUUUAAUUAAUGAGACAUACCCUGGGGAAAGAGGAAAAGCUCAACCAACUGAGCUAUAUAGGUUUUGAAUAUCUACGCACAUGGGGGAGGUAGCGGAAGGGGGAAGUGGAAGAACUCAACCAACUGAGCUAUACCCCAUUGACAUAUGUAUAGUAGAGUUGACUGCUUGAAACCUAGAACCUAUAACAUAUAUUAAGAUUGUUCUAUACAAUCUUGGAACAAUCUUCGUGCGAAGGUAUUAUUCCAACAUUUAAGAUAAGUUCUUAUAAUUAAAGAGAAUGUCUCAAUUAAGAAAUAUUUAUGUUUAAGAUUAAGCCCCUAUUUUAUUCACAAAUAAUUAUUAAUAUUGGUUUCCAAUUUAACGAUAAUGAUCAGUGCCGCCCCCGGGAAAAGCAGCGUCAUGUAACCGUCUAGGAAAUCAUCAGUGCCAACCUCAAGGAAAAGGCAACCAUCCAGUACAUUGUAAACCUGGAGAAACCAGUAGAGCGUGCCACAGGUAUGGAGGUCAUGGACGUGGAGGAGAGCAAGACCCUAUCCAUAAAAGGCAUGGUCAUGAACAUGGAGGAGAGCAUGACCCAGACCACAAAGGCCAUGGUCAUGAACAUGGAGGCGUAGUGCUUGAACCCAUCCAUGGAGGGAAAGGCCACGGUCAAGAACGCGGAGGAGAGGGAGACCCUAACCAUGGAGCACAUUGUAAACGUGGAGAAACCAAUAGAGCGUGCUACGGCCAUGGAGGUCAUGAACGUGGAGGAGAGGGAGACCCCUUCAACCAUGGCAGCAAAAACAGACCAGGACAACCAGGCACCGCUGAGACCGAAAGAAAGAAUUAGAUAAAACCUAGGCCUGUGUACGUGUGUGGAAAAUUUGUUUGUCAAUAAAAUGGUCUAUUAUAUAUAUUGGUUGAGUAGUUGUGAACACACAGGCAAAAUCAGACCUACUAUAUAAGGUUUAUCUCUGUACUGUUACGUAAUGUAGUCUUGGAUCCUGCUUGUUAUAUGUAUGUGUUUUAAUUUUCUGAAUUCAUAUUGUGUGUGUGGAAAGUGUCUAGAACUUCAAGCUUACCUUUGCUUGCUUAUUGAGUUCCAUUUGAAAUCUCUCAAUUUUCUUUUUUGAUUUGUGUCAUGAAUAAAUAAAUAAACUGUAUGAGAGGGACCAAAUAGAACUAAUGCACCCACACUUCAAGAAAAACAGCUAUUAGUGAUAAACAAUUGGCCACAAAAAGUAUGAAUUAUGGUCACUAGAUGGUCACUAUAAGUUUCACAAAUUUUAUUCAGUUGCCAUCCCUAAAUAUUCAUUGGUCACUAAAAAGGUAAACAAUGAGUGACUUCCUCUAAAUGAAAAUGCCUAUUAGCGACCAUGAGUUUAAUCACUAAAAGGCUUUAUAAUUCGAUCACUAAGACACGCAAUUUGGUCAAUGAAACAUGAGUCAUUUCCUAUUUUUUUGGUGGGUGGGUGGAGCCAGAAAUUGAUGUAAAAAAUCAAACUCUUUUUUUAUGUGACAAACGAACCUAAUUUUGAAGAAAUCCAUAAUUUUAUCACAUUCUCAAUUUUUUUUUCUUUACUUUCUGUAUGAAUUCUAACACUCAUUCCCAAUAGCAGAAUAUAAAGUCAAAAGAAAUUUGUAGGACUAAAUUUUCAUGCAACAACAUUUGAGAAGGAGAACAGGCCCAAAGAGGAACAAUUGGUAAAUGUACGUGGAUCAAUUGGUAACUAAUUAGGUACAUUUUAUUUGUUUUAAAAAAAACAUUAUAAAAUCUCAUCUAAUUUCUUUUCGUACAUAGUCUCCUGAAGAUAAAAUUUUGAUACAAGAAAAGUAUAUAAUACAAUGUGUUUAUAUCAUAUCUUACAAAGCAACUUUAAGCAGGGUAAAUGUAACACCCGGACUCCAAAUUAAACCCCUUAUUUAAAUUAUUUAAUAAUUUAAGGGAAAUUACAAAUUUACCCUUGAGAUAAGGGUAUUUUGGUCAUAUUCUUAACUGGAGAGAGUUUGGGGCAGUGCUAGUAUUUUUGGAUAUGUCGUACUGAGACGAGUUCAUAGAAACGUGGUGGGCUCGAAUCGGAGUUGUAACGAGAGAUAUAUGGUCAAAAGAAACCCAGUGGCACAAUCGUAAUUAUUUUAAAAUGGGAUUUUUAUAAAAAUCAGAUUUUUUUUUCUCUCUCUCUCUCUCUCUCUCUCUCUCUCCUCGUAUCUCCGGCCACCGGCCGCGGCUGCGGACGGGAUCAGUGCCAAAAGGACCGGCUCGGCCUUGGCGUCACGACCCAGCCCUCCCCCGACAUCGGUCGUUGCUCCAGCCGCCGAAAAAAGGCGAUUUUCGCCCGGUUUUCGCCCGAACUUCGCCGGCUCCGAUCUCCCUCCUCCGGCCGCCAUUUCUAGCGAUCAAGGUAUGGAAAUUCAUCCCUUCUGCAUGCUCUAGCUGAUGGUUGGGUAGGAUUGGAUCGAUUCUUAGCGUAGCCAAUUCGAUUUUCGAAUUGAAAUUCAGCUGGUUUUGGGAUCGCGAUUCCGGCCACUUCCGGUCAGUUUUUGGGGUAGGUCAAAGAACAAAAGUGGCUCCAAAUAGGGUGUUAUACCUAGGGUAGGAGUUUGGAGCCGUGGUUUUGAGAUUUUCUAGCGAAAUGUUAUCGCUUUGGGCACCCACGCUCUGCCGGCGCGUGGGCACUGUAGAAAAAGUGGCACUAUGUCUCGAUGAGAUCCUUAGGUUGUCACAAGUGCGUAGGAUUUCGCGGAUCUCAAUUCGGACAUUGUUUGACUAUCGAACAGAUAUCGCCUAUUGUGCGUUAUCCGGGUUCGAUAGGUUGGGACCGUUGGAUGGUCCCAAAUUUAAUAUAUGUUAAUCUAGUUAUUUCUAGCAUCGUGUAGGAAUUCACGGAUUGUGAAUCGGAGCCCCGGAUGUUCCGAAUAAUAAUUUAAAGUUUAUAUUUUAUAUUAACCGUCAGAUCGUGCGAUCGUGAGCGAUCCGACCGUCCGAUUUGAACCACACUUGCAGGAUGAGUGUCCUAUACCUUGUAAAACCCAUAGGGACUUUCGGAUCGGAAACUGGAGGUCGUGAGCUCUGUAGGCCCGUUCGACCAGAGUUAGGGUAGUUUGACCCUUGGUUGACCGUGAGUCUCCCGGAGUAAUCUCACCUUUCCAGGGGGAUUAUCGGGUGCUAGACCAUUGUGGAGGGUUACACAAUAUUAGAAUUAAUAUACACUUAUAUAUGUUUGUAUAAGGAUACAAAGGAGUCUAGAGGUGUCAGUUUGGAGUGCUAUACGCACUACCUUAGGUACCUCCCCGGAUUUUGGUUACACUACAAGUACCACAAAGUGAAAGUUAGGUCCCACGUGGCGUAGGUUAUCCGGCGUGCGGACAGAUCCCAUAUGUGGCGUUGGUUGUACCGGCGUAUGGGGAGAUUUGUGAUAUGAUGUUCAGGUCUCACCUGGAGUAGGUUAUCCGGCGUUGAGACAGGCCCCAUACGUGGCGUUGGUUGUACCGGCGUAUGGGGAGCUAUGUGAUAUUAUGUUGAGGUCGCACGUGGCGUAGGUUAUCCGGCGUGUCGACAGACCCCAUACGUGGCGUUGGUUGUACCGGCGUAUGGGGAGAUAUGUGAUAUGAUGUGCAGGUCUCGCGUGGCGUAGGUUAUCCGGCGUUGAGACAGACCCAAUACGUGGCGUUGGUUGUACCGGCGUAUGGGGAGAUAUUGUGAUAGUAUGGCAUGGUCGCACGUGGCGUAGGUUAUCCGGCGUGUUGACAGGCCCCAUACGUGGCGUUGGUUGUACCGGCGUAUGGGGAGAUUAUGUGAAAUACAGAGAAAUGAAAUAAGGUAUCGCCUAAGUGUGGAAUUGGGUUUUAUGGAAGAACUACGUGUAGCUUGAUCCCUCAAGGAGGGUACGUAGGCAGCCUAAGGUUAUUAGGUGCAGCCGCAGACUAAAUGUUAGUCAUAAUUUAUAUUUGAAUUGUUGCCUUGUUUAAGGCAUGAAUUGUUUUGUUAGCGUGUUUGGUAGUUUGUUGAGAAUUAUUGGAAGGCCGAAGGCCGUUUAUGUGAAUUGCAUGAAAUUAUAUUGUGCAUGCUGCCAGUUGUGGAUAUUAAAUGUGUUUUGAUGCAGGUUGAAAUUUUGGGAAAUGUCCAAUUUAUAGAGGAGACUCUACAGAUUUCAAAAGAAAUAUGGAAUCUCAAUUCGAAAACCAGGGCCUCAUCAAGUAGAAAUUGGAAAGUAAAAUUUUUUCUCUAACAAAAUUCUUAAUGGGUGAAAUCGAUUUAAAAAAUAAUUAAAAAAGAGACCUAGGAGAUAAAAUGAUAAGAGCUAGAAUUGGAAAAAAAAAUGGUUAAGACAGAAAACCUUUAGUUGGCAACAGAGGCAAGCUCACGUGAAAAAUAAAUGAUGUGGCAGUAACACGUGAUAGAUAAUGAUGACUAGUCAUGCAAACGAGAACACUACAAUGCAUGCAAUGCAAUCAAAGAUGGAUUACCUUCAAUGAGCUUUGAGAGCAUGCAUCCAUCAUGAAGUUGAUCUCAGCCAUACUAUAUUGUCUUAGCUUCUUGAGCUUGAUUAAGUGCAUAAAAAAUUAAAAUCAAUUUUACAUGUUUGUCAAGUAAAACUAAAAAUUUAGUUAACCAAAACCUAACAACCCACGACUACACCCAAGACCACACGCAAUGAAGCGACUUCAUGCUACAACUUUGGAACACAUACAAAUAGCAUAAAAACCACGCAUUAAGGCCUGGUCAUGGUUUUGCUAAAUAAUGAAAAUUAACCUACAAAAAGAGCACGAGUUUUAUAUUAUUUUCUUUGCCAAAUAAACAAGUGAUAUAAUAUAUUCUUUUUUAAAACACACAAAGAUAAAGUGAAUCAAUCUUAAAUAAAUAUAAGAUUAAAAUAAAAUUCGUUAGCUUAUAUAUAUGUAGUUGUUUUCUUAUCUGAACGUCUGGAUGUUAUUAUUGUGCGGGCGGCAUUGUAAACAUACACUACUACGUUUUACUAUUUGCGCGACAUGAUUUUGCGCAACGAAUAUAAGUUCGUUGAGCAAAAUGCAAUAAAGCGACGGAAAAAAAGUUUCGUCGCGCAAAAAAUUGAAAACUUGCGCGACCAAAGUUUUUGAAGCAUAAAAUCUCUUAGCGCGACAGAUAUGUACUUUCGUCGCGCAAAGUGAGCGAAAAAAAACUCGAGUUUUUUGUUGGCGCCAAACACUUGCGCGGCGAGAGCAAUCGUCGCGUAAGAAAACCUAGCGCGACGAUGGGACACUUCGUCGCUUAAAGGUGAACACAAAACAGGGAUCGAUCCAGUUAAUUGGCUGCAAAAACUCGUGCGACGACAGGUUUCAUCGCAAAAGACAACUUAGCGCGACGAAACCAUUUAUCAUCGCGUAAGAAAACGAAGGAUUUAAUUUUUUUUUUUUUGCGCCAAAAUAACUGAGGGGGGAUAUUUUUUUUUUCGCGAUGAAUUAGUUUUCGAUGCGUAAAGCUGAUGUCGGUACAUUCUUGCGCGACGAAAUUUAAAUGUUACGCGACUGAAUUUUGUUUUUGCGCGACGAUAUCUAGAAUUUGCACGACGAAAGUUUGUGCGAUGAAAAUAUCGUGCGUCGCGCAAAAGUUUUAUGUCGACAAGUUUUUGCGCGACAAAAAAAAUCGUUUUGUCCGACGGAAAAAUGGUUUUUCGCGACGGCAUUAUGCGCGACGAAAUUUAUUGUUCGUCGCACAAAGUCCUUCUUCUUCAUAUCAGAAUUCUGCCAUUGCAGAGGCAGAAAGCAAAAACAUUUUCUUUCUGCCUCUCUCUCAACCUCUCUGCCGCUGCCUCUGCUGGAAAUUCAAUACGUUCAUUGGAUAAGUAUUUUUUGUCGUUAGUUUAUAAGUAUUAAUUUAAAUUCGUACUAACGCUAUUAAUUUUUGUUCUCGUUAGGGAUAUUUGUAAUUAGCGAUUGGUGGAGAACGAUUGACAAGUUAUUUUAUUCGUUUUAUAUAUUAAAAAUGUUAAAGUUAGUUUGUUAUGUGUAUAUUUUUUUUGUGAAGUUAUAUUUAUAUUAUGUUGUUAAAUUGUGCGUGACGUAGCACAAUGUGUUGUGAUGUACGAAGUUAAUUGAAAUUAACUUCGUACUUUUAUUUGUAUGUUUAGUAACAUUUAGUUUCCCGUUCGAGAUGAGUUGGAUUUCGUACAUGGAUGCGUAAAGCAUGACUGCGGUCCAAUUAAUUCUUGAAUUGUCCCACUAUUUGGACAGUUUGGUAAUGCAUAGUGUUGUCACGUAAUCUACGGCUACAGGAUUAGAUUUCGAUUGUGGAGAUUUCGGUGUCAUCUCGGUACGUUUUUCAGGUGGUACAUAGGUAUUUAUACCUAUGCCCACCUCAAGAAUUGUAUCGAGAUGCUGCCGAAAUUCAUCCAUGUUGAAAUUUAAUCUCAUGUAGCCGUAGGUUACGUGACAGGACUAUGCAUUCCCGAAUGGGAUAGGGCCCUUACCGGAGGCAUAAGGUGACAUUAUAACUUCGUAUGAACUUGUUGUGAUUGUUGUGUUGUGAUUGUGGUUUCAGGAAUUAUGAGCAGAAGGUGGAUACAGAACCCGAAUAGAUGCGCAGAUGAAUACUUGGAUGGAAUCGAGGAUUUUAUUGAGUUUGCACGUAGACACAACCCGGGUGCAACUAGAAUCCGAUGUCCUUGUAAGAGGUGUAAUAACAUGUUGUGGGAGACAAUUGAAAAUGUUGGAUUUCAUUUAGUAAGGAAUGGAAUGAUUGAGACAUAUAACAUUUGGAACCUUCAUGGGGAAUAAUUAGACCAUGCUUCGUCUUCAAAUGCCACAAGAAUGGACAGUGUUGAACCUAUUGUGGAUCUUAAUGAUCAAGUCAUGGAUAUUAUACAGGAUGCUUUUCCAUUUGCAUCGACCAACAUCAAUCACGAAAGGGAAGAUGACGUGCCUACACCAAUAAACAGCGCGGAGUUUGAACAAUAUGAAAAACUGUUAAAAAAUGCCAACCAAGAGUUAUACCCGGGGUGCGCGAGCUUUUCCGUUCUCAUGGCCAUUGUAGAGCUAAUGCACGGAAAAAUAAAGUAUCGUAUGUCGAACCUGUGUUUCGAUUACUUUUUGGGGGUUUUCAAGAGAAUGCUUUCGACGGACAAUUGUUUGCCGAAAGACCAUAAACACGCGCAGAAGGUGUUGAAUGGUCUUGGAUUGGGUUAUGAAAAAAUUCAUGCUUGCAAAAAUAAUUGCAUGUUAUUCUACAAGGAGCAUGAAACGUUGGAUACAUGCCCUAUAUGCAAUGAGUUGAGGUUCAAAAUGACAUCUCAGAAUAGAACGACUAAGAUCCCACAAAAAGUCAUGCGUUAUCUGCCCUUGAAACCUAGGUUGCAGCGAUUGUAUAUGUCGACGCAUACUGCCACAGACAUGAGAUGGCAUAAGGAAAAAUGGGUAGACGAUGAUGUGAUGCGGCAUCCUGCAGAUGGGGAGGCAUGGAAAGAGUUUGAUCGAACGUUCCCCGAGUUUGCUGCUGAUCCCCGAAAUGUGAGAUUGGGACUUGCCACUGACGGAUUCGAUCCGUAUGGGGUUCUGAGAUGCAUGAAAAAAGAAUACAUAAUGAUGACUAUUUUGAUAACUGAGGAUCCUGGGAGGUCAAUCGAUGUUUACUUAAGGCCGCUGGUUGAUGAGCUGAAGGAUUUAUGGACAAACGGUGUUCGCACGUACGAUAAAUCAACAGGGAAGAUGUUCACUUUGCGAGCAGCAGUUAUGUGGACUCUGAAUGAUUUUCGAGCAUAUGCAAUGGAUUUUGGGUGGAGCACAAAGGGUUAUAUGUCCUGUAUGCGAGGAAGAUGUAACUUCUGGUUGGCACGCGGGAAAAGUUUGUUACCUUGGUCAUCGGAGAUGGUUGCCAUGGGACCACGAGUGGCGGGAAAAAGGUAAAGAGUUCGACGGGAACACAGAGCGUCGCCUCAGACCUAGAGAAUGGUCCGGUGAUGAGAUCUUGGAACAGCUUAAUCGUUUGGAUUUUGCUCCGUUUGGAAAAACAGUUAGUCGAAUCAGACCUUCUACACAUAUGAACUGGACUCACAAGCCUAUGUUGUUUGAGCUCCCAUAUUGGUCGAAACUCAAAUUAAGGCACAAUCUAGAUGUGAUGCAUGUUGAGAAAAAUGUAUUUGACACAUUGGUGGGCACGAUUCUAGAUAUCGAGGGCAAGACAAGGGACACAAUCAAAGCCCGUCUUGAUUUGGAAAGAAUGGGCAUACGAAGGGGUUUAUGGAUGAAUAGGGACAGUGAUAAAGCUAGAAGGGAUCUUGCAUUCUUUUCUAUGAAACCGAAUGACAAAAAAGAGUUUCUAAAGUUUGUAUCGUCUGUAAAGUUUCCUGAUGGGUAUGCUUCUAAUAUAGCACAUUGCGUGAAUGUUGACGGGGGUAAAUUUACUGGACUGAAGAGCCAUGACUGCCAUGUGUUUAUGGAACGCCUACUUCCUGUGGGUAUUCGACAUCUAUUGCCGGAAGAUGUUGUAAAGCCAAUCAUGUUGUUGUCCAGAUUUUUUUCCCAACGAACGGCAAAAACAUUGCGAAAGACAGACAUGUUUCAGUUGUGCCAUGACAUUGUCCAAGUCCUAUGCAAGUUUGAGAUGAUAUUUCCUCCAGCUUUCUUCACAAGUAUGAUGCACGUGAUGGUUCACUUGCCAGAAGAGGCAUUGCUUGCUGGUCCUGUCAACUAUCGCUGGAUGUAUCCAAUAGAAAGGUAUAUAAUCCUUAUCGUUUGUGUAUGCAUCAUUAUCACAGGCUUGCUAAUUUGUAUCAUAUCGUUUUAUUUUGACAGGCUUCUCGGAGAGCUAAAAAAAAGUGUACGCAACAGGGUGAAGCCCGAAGGAUUAAUUAUAGAGGCUUGGGUUCAAUAUGAGUCGCUUACUUUCUGUGAAAUGUAUUUAAAAGAUGUGGAGAUGGCUUUCAAUCGUCCUCGGCGCAAUAAUGACGGAGGUAUGAGAAAGGAAAAACUUUCUGUUUUUGCCCAAAGCGCACGACCUUUUGGAGAUCCUGGACGAGGAAAGUCGUUUUCUAGAAAUGACAUGGAGGUAGCACAUUGGUUCGUACUAAAAAAUUGUGAUGAGAUAAUGGCAUACAUAGAUGAGCAUGAAGAGAUGAUGAAGUGAGAACAUCCAUCACAUUUAGUUGCCUAGAAACACCGUGAAUUGUUUCCACAAUGGUUUUUGGAUUCUGUAAGUUAUAAAUGUUUUGUAUUUGACAAAUAUAAAUUGUAGUAUUUAAUUUUGUCAUACUAACAUGUGAAUGGUUUUGUAUUAUAUUAGGUGAAUAAGUUGAAAUCAUCGAAUUCCCCCACUUACAGUGAUGAGUUAUAUAACUCGGCGUUCGGCCCGAUUCGCGCUGAAUUGUUUUCGGGUUGUUAUAUUAACGGCGUCAAAUUUUUGGGGGCUGCACGAGAUGACAAGUUGUGUACGCAAAACAGCGGUGUCCAUGUCCCAGGUGGAGGCAAAAGUACGAACAUUGAUUUCUAUGGCAAACUCACAACUGUCGUUCAAUUGCUUUACAAAGAUCGAUACCAAGUAAUCAUGUUUAAGUGUCGAUGGUUUGAUAGCAACCCAAAUAGGCCGGGAAGUGUUAAAAUCGACCAUGGCUUACUAUCUGUGAACAUUAACAGAACUUGGUAUGAUGACGACCCUUACAUUUUGGCAAAUAUGGCAACACAAAUUGUGUAUCUAGAUGACCCUAAAGCCGGGAAGUUGGAAAGUUAUUCAGAAGAUGGAUCAUAGGAACGUGUAUGCUAUACCAGAACUAGACCCAACUGACAACGACGUCGACAAUGUGGCUGACCAACGUUUAGAAUCUUCAAUGGAAAAUGAUGCGGAAACACUUCGAGAUACACAUGUUAUACAAGAACCGUUUCAAAUACAAGGAGUGUCUUCAAUCGAAAUACCGAUUCAGUCAAUUACAAUUGACCUCGGUGAUCUUCCAAGAUUUGAUGUUGCAGUGGGCCCGAGCAACGACGAUGAUGUAGUUAUAGAGGAGGAGGAGGAGGAGGAGGAGGAGGAGGAGGAUUGGGAGACCGAAAGUGAUGAUAGCGAUGAUAACGAAAGUUAUUAUAGUUUAGAUGAUGAAUAAUGAAUUGUUUUGUAAUUUUAUUAUGCUAGUGUACAGAUUUUGUGUAAUACAAAUCUAGUUGAAUAUAUGUAGUUGUUUGAAUAUAUGUAGUUGUUAUAUCCAAACCUUAUAUAUGUGGACAACUGAAAUAAUAUUAAAAUAAAUUUAGUUAUAAAACAUUGGUAAAUCUAUAUAUCCAAACCCUUUUAAUAAUAAUUUUUAAAUUUUUUUUGACAAAACACGUUUACAAAAUGAAAAUGAUAAAACAUUUGUUAUAAAACAUUGAUAAAUAAAUAUAUCCAAACCUUUUUCACACAAAGUUUGAAAAUAAUUGACACCAAACAUUUUUCAAAAAUGAAAAUCCUUGCGCGACGAACUAAACCUCGUCGCUCAAAGUUUGCGCGACCCACAUACACUCAUCGCGUAAAGUUAAAACAUUGCGCGACAACCUAUCAUCCGUCACGCAAUGAAAUUUUGCGCGACGACAGGUUUCCCCUCGUCGCGCAAAUAUAUAUUAUUUUAUAAUAUAAUAUAUAUACAUAUAUAUUUGAAGACGAUCGAGUUAGUUCAUUGUAUUCAUAUAGGGUCAAGGAGUGUAGCUGUAAAAAAUCAUCAAAAUCGGAUUUAAAAGAACCGUUAAAUCAUGACUUUUCAUUUAUAACCGUUCAAAAGUUUUGUCCCGUUACUUGAUCUCUGAAUGUUUUUUUUUUUCAAUUUUUGGGGUCUAAGAUCUCGAAGUAUAAACAAAUAAGUUUGAUGGCUGGAUUACUGAAACUACUUUCGUAGAAUGCGUAUGCCAUCAAAACCAUAUAUUCACCAACAAUGAAUAGUUUACUUAUACUUUCGUUAAAUAUAACAUAAGAUUACAUGGUAUCCCCCCUAGUGUAAACAUCUUAAAUUGAAGAUCAAAUUCAGUAAUUGUAUUCGUAUAGGGUCAAGAAAUGUAGCUGUAAAAAAUCAUGAAAAUCGGAGUUAAAAUAACCGUUAAAUCAUGAUUUUUCAUUUAGAACCGUCGAAAAGUUUUGUCUCGUUACUUGAUCUCUUAAUGUUUGUUUUUUUCGAUUUUCGGCGUAUACGAUCUCGAAGUAUAAAAACACAAGUUUGCCGGUUGGAUCAUUAAAACUAGUUUCGGGUUUAGGUUUCUGCAGUUUAGGGUUUAGGGUUUAGGGUUUUGUGUUCAGGGUUUGCGCGACGAAAAAAGUUGAUUGGUCGCAGGUAGCCUGCCGAAAACAGUCUUGUGCAACAAACACUUAGUCGUUGUCGCGCAAUCUCAGUCAGCCCUUUCACCCUCUUCCUCCUUGAACACUUAGCCAAAAUUUUUUUCGAGUUUACAGAAAGCAGACUUGCGCGACGCUGUUCAUAUUCAUCGCACAGUCUCUUUGCCAAUAAACCCUAAACCCCAAAUUUUGUCGGAAUUUCAACAUUGCGCGACGAAUAAGCUUCUUUGGUCGCGCAAAGCCUGCAGAAAACAGUCUGGUGCGACGAACGCAGGCUUCGUCGUCGCGCAAUCUCACUCUGACCUUUAACCCUCUUCCUCCUUGAACUCUUAGCCAAAUUUUUUUUCGAGUUUACAGAAAGCAGACUUGUGCGACGCUGUUCAUAUUCGUCGCGUAAUCUCUCUGCCAAUAAACCCUAAACCCCAUAUUUUGGCGGAAUUACAACUUUGCGUGACGAAUAAGUUUCUUUGGUCGCGCAAAGCCUGCAGAAAACAGUCUUGCGCGACGAACGCAGGCUUCGUCGUCGCGCAAUCUUAGUCAGACCUUUCACCUUCUUCCUCCUUGAACACUGAGCCAAAUUUUUUUUUUCGAGUUUACAGAAAGCAGACUUGCGCGACGCUGUCCAGAUUCGUCACGCAAUCUGUCUGCAAAUAAACCCUAAACCCCAAAUUUUGGCCGAAUUAGAAUUUUGCGCGACGAAUAAGGACAGCGUCGCGCAAAGUUUUCAAUAUCUCCCGCUAAACCCUAACGUUUGGUACACAGGACUGUCUUAGCAUGGACUAUGCUUAGGGACUGGCUUGGCUUGGUCUAAGUUGGAUAACACUUAUCCUACGUUUGGUGUAUGUUUGGACUAGGACUAGAAUUUUUUUAUUUUUCAAAAAUAUCUAUAUAUAUAUAUGUAUUUUAUAAUAUAUAAAAUAUAUAUAUAUAUGUAUAUAUACAUACAUAUAAUAUAUAUAUAGGUGUAUAUAUGUAUAUUAUAAUAUACAUGGGUAUAAUACAUAUACAUAUAUUUAUAUAUAUAUAUAUGUAUGUAUAUUAUAAUAUAAUAUAUAUAUGGGUAUGUUAUAAUAAUAAUAAUAAUAAUAAUAAUAACAAUAAUAUACAUGUAUAUACGUGUAUAUACAUAUAUUAUAUAUGUAUGUAUAUAUAUGUAUACAUUAUAUAUAUAUUAUAAAAUACAUAUGUAUAUAUAAUAUAUGUAUAAAUAUUAUAUAUUAUAAUAUACAUAUAUAUACGUAUAUACAUGUAUAUAAUAUAUGUGUAUAUAGGUGUAUCUAUAUAUUAUAAUAUAUAUAGGUAUAAUACAUAUAUAUGUAUAUUAUAAUAUAUAUAUACAUAUAUAUAAAUAUAUAAUGUAUAUGUGUAUAUACGUGUGUAUAUGUAUAUUACAAUACAUACAUGGGUAUAAUAUAUAUACACAUAUAUGUAUAUAUACUUAUAUAUAUAUUACAUAUAUACAUGUAUGCUAUUAUUAUAAUAUUAAUAUGUGUAUAUGGGUAUAUUAUAAUAAUAAUAUACGUGUAUAUAUCUAUAUGUAUUUAUAUAUUAUAUAUGUAUAUAUGUGUAUAUAUACGUGUAUAUAUGUACAUUAAUAUGUAAUAUAAUAUAUAUUACAUAUAUACAUGUAUACAUGUAUGCUAUUAUUAUAAUAUUAAUAUGUAUGUGUAUAUGAGUAUAUUAUAAUAAUAAUAUAUGUGUAUAUAUCUAUAUGUAUUAUAUAUAUAUAUUAUAUAUGUAUUUAUAUAUAUACAUGUAUAUGUGUAUAUACAUGUAUAUAUGUACAUUAUAGUAUAUGUGUAUGUAAUAAUAAUAAUAAUAAUAAUAAUAGUAAUAUAUGUUAUUAGUAUUACAAUAUAAUAUAUGCAUCUUAUACAUUGGUGAACAUAGGACUAGCUAAUCCUCCCUUUCUACAUGGGCUUAGUAGUCCCCUCUUAAUGAGGUGUUUUUAGUGGGCCCGGUAUUAGCAAUCCCAUCUAAGACUAGAAUUAAAUGAAACAAAUAUGGUACUAAAUUUAGUCCAAUCCAGUCCAAGCCAAGACUGUGUACCAAACGACCCCUAAGUCCCAAAAUUUUGGCGGAUUGACAACAUUGUGCGACGAAACACAUUGUUAUGCGUCGCGCAAAACCGCGCAACCCUACCCUGAUACCAAAUUUUGGCGGAUUAAUAAUAUGGUGCGACGUAAGUUAUACUUAUGUCGUCGCGCAAGGGUCAAUUAAAAUAUUUUGCGCGACGCUUUGGUGUAUUCGUCGCGCAAAAUCGAAUAAAAUUUCAGAAACCACGCGAUGGCCUCCUUUUUCCCCAGAUUUUGAUUUUGCCCUAACUCUCUCUCUCUCUCUCUCUCCGCCGUCACCUCAGCCCCCUACCCCAGUGGAAUUGGGACUGCGCCGCCACAACGUUGGUACCCCAGAGCUUCCCCGCCGUCACCGUCGAGCCAGCCGCCAUAAUUUCCUCGAUUUUCACCGAAUCUGCGCUGCCGUCGUUCUCUCUCCUCCGGCUACCAAAUUCGACUUCUGAGGUAUGGUUUCUGGACUAUUUUUGAUGCUUUAGCUGAUGGUUGGGUAGGAUUUCUGUAAUUAUUGCAAUAGGGCAGUGGAUUUGAAACCCUAAGUUUCAGCGGGUUUUUGAAUUUCAAUUCCGGCCACUUCUGGCCAUUUUUUGGGGUAGGUCCGAGAACAAAAGUGGCUCCAAUUGAUGUUUUCAACCUAGGGUAGGAACCUUGGCCCUUAGUUUUUAGAAUUUUCCUGCGAUUGGUAUCGCUUUGGACACCCACGCCCUGCCGGCGCGUGGGAUACUAUAGCAGUCAUGCAUUGGGUCCCAGUGCAAUUCGCUAGUUGUCACGAGCGCGUAGGUGUUUUUAGAUUGGAAUUUGGUUACCGUUUGAGUCUCAAACGGAUUUUGCUUAUUGUACGAUUUUCGGGUUUGUUAUGUUCGGACAGUUGGAUCGAACUCAUACUCACGUAUUGUGUUCCUUGUAUUUCUAGGAUCGUCUAGGAUUCGACGGAUCGUGCAUCGGAGUCCCGGAUACUCCGAACUCGCAAACCCUAGGUCAAGAAUCUUAAUAAAAUUGUAUGUGCUUUCAAAUAUUUGUAUAUUUUAUUAAUUUGUAUGUGUAUUAAUGAAAUUGUGCAGAUGUCAGACCUAAUUAGACGUCGUUGGGCGGUGACGACUACGCAGAGUUCGGAGCCCCCGGCUCAGCCGACAUCUGCUGCCACUACGCCAGCAUAUGCUGCCACUGCGCCAGCACUGAUGGACCACUUGGCAGUUGGUCCCGUGGGGUCCCAGGCGCCUGCUUCAUCAGUUUCAUCAGUGGCGUAGCCUGUUAGCGCCAGGCUGCGUCAUCGGCCCACCAGCACCACCGACACCACAUCCACUGAUGCGUCGGGGUCACAGCCAGGUAUAGAUUUCCUUAAACUCCAGUUAUUUUUAUUUUUAUUUUUGUUUUUAUUUUGUUUUUGUUUUUGUUUUUAUUUUUAUUUUUGUUUUUGUUUUUGUUUUUGUUUGUGUGUGUGUAUUUUAUAGUUAAAUUUGUUAUUUAUUUAACAUUAAUGUCAUCUUUCUUUGCAGCCAAGAAGAACACCCGAGGACCGUGUCAGCAGUUGAAGACGGCGAAGGUCACCCGAGUGACCAACAGUCGUAUCAACAUCGGAUACGACAAGCGACAUCGGGCUGCACCGACGGCGGAGUUGCAUAGCUCCUUGGCCCACGACAUUGGUCAUGUCGUUCGGAGCCAUUGCCCGAUGAAAUGGAAGUCUUGGAAGGUGAUGCCUGACGAGAUCAAGACGGAGGUUCGCGGCCAGUUGUCGGUAUGUAGGCCUUUUAAUUCUUUUUCUUUCAAACUUUAUAUUUCUAUUAUUUAAAUGUAUGUAAUUAAUUUAUUGCAGACGAACUACAACUUGGAGGACCUCGACGACGAGUCGUUGGCGUACGUCAACAGACUCUUCUCUGAGAGGUACAAACAGUGGAAGAGCGACUUGCACCACUAUUUUGAGGCGUUUGAUGAUCUGCAAGUCGCUCUUCAGGAGGGGUGCCCGAAGGAGCUUGAGGGGCGGGAGGAUAGUUGGGCGUGGCUCUGCGCUCAUUUUCAGGCACCCGCUUUUGUGGUAAUUUGUAAUAUGAAUUUCAAAUUUUUUAUAUUUUUCUUACUAAUGUUUUUUUAAUUCUUUAUAUUUAAUUUCAAUUUCAACUAAUACGUUUUAUUUUUUGUAUAACAGAAUAAAGCCAAAGUCAAUAAGGGCAAUAGGAAGAAGAAGACUCUUCUCCAUCAUUCGGGUUCCAGGCCGUUCUCCUAUAGGAUGGAUGCACGGCGGCAGGUAAUAAUAAAAUAAUUUUUAUUUAAUUUUUAAUAUUUCAUUAUUCUUAAUUUAUUUUUUCGUACUAAUAUUUUUCUUCUCUUGUUCAAUUUAGGGGAGGUCCAAAUUCCCAAAGAUCGACGUAUUGGCGAUGUUUAUCUUCGACCUGGGAAUGAGUUGGCCGAGGCCCUUCACGUAAGUAUUAUUUAAUUUUAAUUCUUAUGUUACGCAUUCAAGUUUAAAGGUUAUUAUAUGAAUGUUUUAAUUUAUAUUUUAUGUUAUGCUAAACAGAUGAUGAUGGUGGAGAGGAGCCAGUUGGUUCUUCAGGAGUCCGCCUCCCAACUUCCUCCCGAUACUCCGAUCGAGUCUGUGGAUCCUCCACAGGAUGCUGGGUUUCAGAUCUUGACGGAGACAUUGGAUCAGACUCUAGGGAGGAGACCGGGGACAUAUUGUCGAGGGAUGGGGAAUGCCAGGCGGAGGGAACCCAGACCCCGUUCAUCAGCGUAGUCAAACAAUCAGGUCAUUGCUUUGACAGCACAGAUGGCCACUCUUCAGAGUCAGAUGUCGGUCAUUCUGCAGUCCCUGGCACAGUCCGGCAUUCCAGUCCCGCAUUUUGAUGCGCCGACCUCUGAGCCCAUCCAUCCCGAGCAUCCCCAGCAGACGACGGCCCCUGUAGACCUCCAGACCUUUGAACACAUGUGCCAGACGACAAUGUAGAUUUUGGAACAUUAUUUGAUUAGUUUUAUUAUUUUCAUAAUUAUUUUUUAAAUAUUUCUCUUGCAGCAUACAUUUAUUUUAUUUUAUAUAAUAAAUCUGUUCUUUACAAUUCAUUUUUUUAUUUAUUAGAAUUUCAUUUUAUUACCCAAAAAAAAAACCAAAUUUAUUUUUUUAUAAAAUAAAAAAAAGUAAUAUUAAAAUUAAAUAAUAUUUAUAUAUAUUAAUUUUGCGUGACGAAAUCUUUCUCGUCGCGCAAAUUUACAUAUUACGAAAUAAAAAUGAUUCAUUUUUUAUUCUUGCGCGACGAACAUUUUCGUCGCUAAAAAGGAUAUGGGCGACAACAGUUUUUCGUCACGCAAAAUGUGUAGACACGAAUUGGACGACGAAGAACUCUUGGUGCCGCAAAUAUCUACGAGACGUAUUGCGCGAUGAAUAUUAUUCGCCGUGCAUCGUUGUGGCGACGAACCUUUUUUCGUCGCGCAUAAGUUCGUGCGACGAACUGUUGUGUCGUCUUUGAACCUUUUGUGUAACGAAGGGUAACUGUCGUACAAUUUUGCACGACGAGUGAAACAAUUGGUCGCGCAAAGUCUUUCUUCACGCUCUUUGUGUGACAGAUUGUGCGCAACGAAUUUUCUGUCGCGCUUGAGUUUGUGCGACUAAAUGUAACUCUGCGCGACGAAAUUGUCUUCGUCGCGCAAAUCGUAAAAUGUAGUAGUGAUAGAGGAAAGAUAGGAAGAAUAGUAAAAAAUACAUGUCGUUCGUAUGGUAAUAACGUCCAUAUGAAACUUUUUGAGAACAAGAGUUCAAUCAUAAAACCAAACGGCAUACAAAGACAUUGGAAACUUAUUUAUUGAAGAUAUAUGUGUAGACUUGAUUUUCAUCUCUGUUCGUUAAACGAUUUACAAAAGGGACACAGUGGGCUACACUAAGUAAAUGUCUUUGUCAUUUUACUUUUAUUUAUUUUUAUAUUACUCCAUUUACUUAAGUUUACAAUGUAAAUAAGGAAGUACCCCCCAUUUGGAUUCAAAUAAAAAUACUAGAAAAUCAAAUUCCCACCAAAUCAAAAUAUGAAAAAUCGAUUUUAGUGCAAAGUACGAUUUAGGCUAAAAAUGAUGGCUCAUUAAAUCAAUAUAUACUUCAUACUAAAAUCCCAUAAAAUAAAGUUUUCUUAUUUGAUGUGUGAAGAAUAAAAGCCGCCAAAAAUUAUCUUGAGAAAAUGAUUAUUCUGAAAACCCAUUUUUCAUACUUAGUCAAUAUUUUUACAUAAAACAACUUUUCAUGUAUGAUAUGAAUGCAUGAAGGAACCUAAAUCUAGGUAAAAAGCCUUAGAUGUUCAAUCUACUAUGGUGUUAAACCGUAUUUGGUUUAUGUUAAAACUUAUUAAAAAUUAGUCUAUGGAGCUAUGAACUAGCUUGGUUUAUACGAUUUAAUGUUUACUUUUAUUUCUAGAAAGACUAUAGAAAUUGUAAGUACCAAAAAAAAUAAUCAUUAAAUUUUAAGCUAAUAACUUUAGCUAGCCCACCCGUUGAAAAAUUCCUGAUUCCGCCCUUGACGUCCAUAUGAAACUUUUUGAGAACAAGAGUUCAAUCAUAAAACCAAAAGGCAUACAAAGACAUUUGAAACUUAUUUAUUGAAGAUAUAUGUGUAGACUUGAUUUUCAUCUCUGUUCGUUAAACGAUUUACACGAUUUACAAAAGGAGACAAACCAUCAACGUUGGUGGAAAAAAAAUGAGUGUUUUUUUUUUCAAAUUAAGUCCACAAAAUGUGAUCAACUAGGUUUCAAGUGUUCCUCUCCUUUAGGCGUACGUCUUCAGUUCAACGAUGUCCACAGAAAUUCUUAUCUCUCCCUCUCUUCCCCCACCACCCACUCUAUCCUCAAGGGUCUAUAAAUUGGUUGAGGCGAAGCCACAUUAAGUUCACUCAACAAUCUUGUCUUCAUCUAAAUUGUGUUGUUAAGAAAAACAUGGCAUCAUCCUCCAAGACUUUUCUUCUUCUUGGCUUUAUGUUUGCUCUUGUGAUCCUCAUCUCCUCUGAGGUCUCAGCUCGUGAGCUAGUGGAAACUGCUAGUCAAGUUGCUAGUGAGUUUCUAAUCUUUUAACUGAUCACAUAACCCUAUGCAUGUCAACUGAUAUAAAUUCUUUUUAUACGAAGGACGACUUAUAUAUAUAGAUUACUCUUAUUGCAGGUAGACCCUAUUUUGAACGCGGGCCAGUCACAGGGUAUCGCUCCCCCCCACCCCCCCCGGGAGAGUAUAGGCACGACCAAGGCCACCAUGAAAAACCAGGACUUGGUGUUGCUGAGACUGAAACUGGGAAUUAAAUAGAUAACCCUUUUUCAGUGGAUAUUGCAGGUACUAUGUGGUAAUAUAAUAAGGAUUUGUUUUAUCAAUUAUAAAGGUUAAUGUAAUGUAUUGGUUGAGUUGUUAAUAAAACUCUCAAUCAUAAUUAAUUAGGAUUUUAAGGUUUAUCUUUGUACUAGUACUCAUAUCAUACUGUCUAGGAUAUGUGGCUUUUUACCUUUAUAUAUACGUUUGAAAUCUAUCCUAGCAAUUUCUUUUUCCAUAAUUUUUGUAUGAAUGAAAAUCUCUCCAAGAGUAAUUUUUGUUCCCAAACGUAACAACCCACGACCUCACCCCAAACCACAACCUAGACCACAUGCAAUGAAGCGACUUCAUGCUACAACUUAGGGACACAUACCAUACAAAUAGCAUAAAAACGAUGUGUUAAGGCUUGGUCAUGGUUUUGCUAAAUAACGAAAAUUAACCUGUGUAAAGUGCACAAAUUUUAUAUUAUUUUCUUUGCCAAAUAAACAAGUGAUAUAGUAGUAUAUUCUUUUUUAAAACACACAAAGAAACCAUAUUCUUCAAGAAACCAAUCAAGAAUCUGAUUUCAAUCUAAACAUAUGAAGAGUAUGAAAUGCUAGAUGCAGAUUUUGAAGAAGAGAAGCAUAUUUCAAAAGCAAUAUGGAAAUCUCAAUUCGAAAAUCAUGGCCUCACCAAGUAGAAAAUACAUAGUAAAAGUUUUUCUCUCAAAAAAUUCUUAAUGGGUGAAUUCGAUUUCAAAAAUAGAAGCAGAUUUCAAGAUCUAUUUGGAAACCUCAUUCUAAAAACCAUGAACACUCUCACAGAGAAAAUGGAAGAGGUAAAAGAUGCCUCUCAACAAUCCAAAAAUGAAAGUGUUGGAUGCUCUCUACCAUUAGCCACCCUUUUGAUAAAUUAGGGCAUCACAAAACAAAGACACCUGUGAGCUAAUUAUAAGAACUAGAAUUGGACAAAAAUGGUUAGGACAGAAAACUUACAGCUGGCAACAGAGGCAAGCUCAAGUGAAAAAUAAAUGAUGUGGCAGUAACACGUGACAAACAAUGAUGACUGGUCAUGCAAAAGAGAGCACUACAAUGCAUGCAAUGCAAUCAAAGAUGAAUUACCGUCAGUUUGAGCUUGAGAGCAUGGAUCCAUCAUGAAGUUGAUAUCAACUAAUAAUUCUUUUAUUGUUGGGUUGGAUCCACAAUUAAUCCUAUGGAUCCUUAGGAUUGGCGAAGCCAUACUAGAUUAUCGUAGCGCUAUCCUAGAUUAGUCUAGCUUCUUAAGCUUGAUUAAGUGCAUAAAAAAUUACAAUCAAAUUUACAUGUUUGUCAAGAAAAACAAAACAUUUAGUUAACCAAAACCUACAACCCACGACCACACCCAAGACCACAUGCAAUGAAGCGACUUCAUGCUACAACUUAGGAAAACAUACAUAUAGCAUAAAAAUGAAGCGUUAAUGUAACAUCCCACGUCGACCAACAGAGAGGGGGUGGUGUGCCUUAUAUGUACAUGCCCACUUCCAUCUAGCACGAGGCCUUUUGAGAGCUCACUGGCUUCUGAAUCAUGGGAAUUCCGAAGUUAAGCGAGUUGGGGCUAGAGCAAACCCAGGAAGGGUGACCCACUAGGAAGUUGCUCUUGAGUUCCCUGAAACAAAACCAUGAGGGCAGAGAGGGGGGCCCAAAGCGAACAAUAUCGUCCAAAUCAAACAAGGAGAAGGGCAUGCAAAACAAUGAUGAGAGAAAUUGAGUAACAAUCCCAAAAUUGACGACCAAUGUGUUAAACAUAUUGACCCAGCAAGCAGAGCAUUAUGAGCCUCAUAAAAGAGACUUGGACCCAUCUGCCCCAUCAUUGAACAAUGCCAAACCAAAAUCGCCAUCAGCUAUCAAAUCAAACCACAAGGCGCAGUUUGCUCAACUCCAUUAAAAAAUGGCAUGGACAUUUAUACAAUCUUUUUGUGCAGGGUGAAAAUGUAUCGAUAAUAUAUAUAUACGUUUUGCAGACAUAAAUGAGAGAUGACGAAAAUGUAUCGAUAAUAUAUCUGUACGUUCUGUAUUGAUAAUAAAUGAGAAAUCGAAAUAUUAUCAAUAACAUAUCGACAAUCAAACAUCCUGGGGACUACAAUAAUAUGUAUGAUUUGUGUGGUCCUCAACUACUCAUGGGGCAGAGUUCAGAUGACCUAUCCCCUCUUCAGCCCCACAAGAUGCAGAGAGCUGCAGUUGGCCUCUCAAUGUUGAUUUGGUUUGGGUAACAAUUCUAGGUAAACCAUUAUUUCUGAUGUUGGUGUUGGAUUUCGAAUGUACAAAUUUGAUAUGAUUUGUUCAACUAAUUUGAAUUUG
rnacentral:lncRNA from 1 species